rnacentral:lncRNA from 1 species
AAGAAAGUGAAGAGCUUGAUCCACAGAGCUGAGAAACGGUGGAAGAGGGUUUCCUUCUAAAGAGAGAGUAGAAAAUUUCUCCAGAGAUAAAGGUGCAGGUGGAUUUCUUUCUAGAGAGAGAUUUGAAAAUUUCUCUAGAGGGAGAAGAGGGUUUUCUCUAGGACUUUCCGAGAAUAUUCCCAGAAUCCGAACUACUUCACGUGGCACAACAUAUGGGCCGUGUGAGAUAACAAUUGGGUCAGGGAGAAGGAGAUCUUGAGGUACAGCAGCAGCAGGGACUUUUCUGAUGCCUCUCGUAGUGCCGGGUUUUCUCACAGAUAGAAACUUGUUCCGUGGGUCAUUCUUCAUCCUGACCGAAAAACCGAACCUCAUGGCUGCCUUGCCUGCCUGCUAUAGAGAGGAGAAAUAGAAAGAGAGAGAAGAGAAAAAGAAAGAGAAGCUCCCUGGUUCGUUUGUUUAAGUAAGUAAUCGAUCGCCAACGGCUCUUUCUUUCUUUUUCUUGGAUCCUAGAGAGAGAGAAAGAAGAGCAAUAGAAAGAGAAGCUCCCUGGUUCGUGUGUUAAGUAAUCGAUCGCCAACGGCUCUUUCUUUCUUUCUGUUUCUUGGAUCCUGGAGAGAGAGAAAGAAGAGCAAUAGAAAGAGAAGCUCCCUGUUUCGCGUGUUAAGUAAUCGAUCGCCAACGGCUGUUUCUUUCUUUUUCUUGGAUCCUAGAGAGAGAGAAGAGCAAUAGAAAGAGAAGCUCCCUAGUUCGCUUGUUAAGUAAGUAAUCGAUCGCCAACGGUGAUUUCUUUAUUUCUUCUUCUUGGAUCAGAGAGAGAGAAGAGCAAUGGAAAGAGAAGCUCCCUGGUUCGUGUGUUAAGUAAGUAAUCGAUCGCCAACGGCUCUUUCUUUCUUUUUCUAGGAUCCUAGACAGAGAGAAGAGCAACAGAAAGAGAAGCUGCCUGGUUCGCUUGUUAAGUAAGUAAUGGACCGCCAACGGUGAUUUCUUUAUUUCUUCUUCUUGGAUUGGAGAGAGAGAAGAACAAUAGAAAGAGAAGCUCCCUGGUUCGUGUGUUAAGUAAUCGAUCGCCAACGGCUCUGACUUUCUUUUUCUUGGAUCCUAGAGAGAGAGAACAGCAAUAGAAAGAGACGCUCCCGGGUUCGCGUGUUAAGAAAACAACUGAUCACCAACGGCUAUUUUUUUCUUUUUCUUGGCUCCGAGAGAUAGAAGAGAGAGGAGAGAGACGAGAGAAAUGGAAUGAGAAGCUCUCUGGUUCGCAUGUUAAGUAAUCCAUCGCCAACCGUUUUUUAUUUUUAUUUUUUUCCGGUGGCAAGUACCCAAAGGCUCUCAAGUAUCCUGCAUUAUUAUUAUUAUUUAUUUUUUUUUUUUUUUUUUUUUUUCUCACCUCAAAUAUUUAUGAUAUUAUAUAAGAUGCGGUUUCUAUAAGGCUGCGACCUUAAACAAUCCAAUCAAGACACCUCCAAAUUUUAUAAUUUUGGUGUAAACGUUAAAAAAAUUUCCUAAUUUCGUGGUCUUUGAAUAAUUAAAGCUCUAAUUUCGUGGUCUUUGAAUUAAUAGCACUUGCGAUUUUAGCACUUGGAGAGGGGACUAGAAUUCUAACCAUAACAAUUCGAAUUACCAAAUGCGAGUCCUAAUUUAUCUAGGAAAUUUACACUACCUGCACAUUUGGUUCGUGUGAAAAUGUUUUUUAGCUUUUUGGAAACAUUUUCACAUGAAAAAAUUCUCUCAUGUGUGUCAAGUGUAAGAACAUUUUCAUAUCAAUUGGUCUUAAUGUAUCUUUUCAUACCAAUUGACAACUAAUUGAUGCAAAAAUAUUCUCACAUGACCACAUAAGAGAAUUUUUUCACGUGAAAAAGUUUUCUAAAAAACAUUUUCACGCAAACAAAAUGUGUCUAAAAUCUAAAACAAUAGCGGGUGUAAUUAGGCUUCCAAGGGUUUAAGGAGAGAGAUUUUAGGUCGGAGGGAUAAAAAAUUAAUGGAUUUGAUUGGAAGUCAUAUUUUAGGAGAAGUAUUGGAGUUUCCCGAGAAAAAGCAAUUUUAAAUUAAGAGAGAAAAAAUUAACUAUGACAAAAUUUCAUAACCACUCAUAUUUGUUCUUCCUUCUCCCUAAUGAUACAGAUAUAGAUAAAACAAUAGUGUUUACGAAAAACGACUUUAUAAAACAAUAAUUGUUACAAAAAGCAACUUUGUCAAACUGAAAAACAACCUUCCUUAUUCAUCACCCUUUAUCAGCUUGAAUGAAUUGGGCACCUCCACUUCUCCCAUGAACUGCCCUGUAAAAAGUCCACCAAUAAACCGAGAAAGAAGCUAAUGCGAAAUCCACAAUGACAACCCCCCAAUAAUGAAUCCAUCACAGGCCAAUUCAGAAUAUCUCCCUUCAUUGUCUUUGGGCAUGGCGGGUAAGCAUAGCAUCAAAUAUAACGGCUAAAGGCUAUUUCCCUCAUUCCUUGAGUCGGUCACAAUAACAGCUUGGAUCUAGAAACGGCAAUACAUCUCUCAAUAUUGCAAGCUCACCUUAUUUCUUGAACCUUCGCAACACCCAUUUCUCGGAGAGGAGCUUCUUAACGGAUUCGAGGAAAAGAUACCGCUCCAAAUCUCAAAACCUUGGUUACCCAUUUCUCAGAGCUGCAUCAGACAACCAAUUUAAGGAAAAGAUGAGACCCAUGCUCAAGUAUGUAAGCCCUUGACCAGACAAAUUCCAGACUUGAGCUUCCUCGAUUCCUUCCUAAAACCAGCCAAGACAGCACAACGAGCUGACCUAAGGACCUUCACGCCAUCUUUCAAGCAAGCAAACAAAAGCCUAAAAGCAACAUGGAAUCUCUUAGCCAACAAAGCCCAUGCAAAACCGAGGUAUAAGUAUAGCAGUCUUUUACCUUCAUCUCACUAAACCGCUUGAUGGCUAAGUCCACCCGACCAGCUUUAAACAACCCAUGAAUCAAGCAAUUCUUAGCCACAAUGCUCGAUCUCCAACCCCUUAUCUCCAUUUAUCUAAAAUGCCUUCUCGUGGCAUCUACAUCACCUAUCUUACACAACCUAUCAAUCCGCAUUGUAUGGGUAUAUUCAUCACUUUUUUUACCCCCAUCGUCUUUUUCUCAUUCACAAGCCGAAAAGCUGAGACCAAGUCCCUUCUUUACAAUAGCUAUUCAUCAUGCUGUUGUAAGAAACAAUAUCAAUAGGGGCCCCACAGCCAAGCAUCCGGUCUGUGCAAGCAUAAGCCUCUUCAGUCAUACACAACUUGGAAAUAUCACUAAUCAUUGUACAAUCUGCAAAGGCAUCGCCAUCGAUAUUGUAGCCCUUAUGCUUCAUUUCAGAAAAGAGCUCAAAGCCAACAUUGGCUUUACCUGAUCAAAAACAACAGGUUAUGACAGUUGUAAAAGUUAUGGCAUUUGGGGUAUAACCCAUCUUCUCAAGCUCCUUGAGGACCCUUCUCGCUUCAUGUAUCUUGCCACACCUACACAGUCCAUCAAUUAGUAUGUUGUAUCUGAUUAAUUCUUGAGGGCAACCGAGCCCAUCAAGCUUCCUAAACAAUCUAAGGGCAUCACCUAUGUCACCAGCCUUGCAUAGACCAUUGAUUACGGUAUUAUAUGCAGUUAAGGUAGGUGCAAUGUUCCUCGAGAACAUGUCCUGGAUAAUCUGGUAAGCAUCAUCAGACCUUCCAACUUUGAAGUAACAGUGGAUCAUUGAGCUAUAGCUCCAAGCAUCAGGAACAAUCUCAGUCUCUAGCAUCACAUGGAACAAAUCAAGGGUCCGUGAUAUAAGCUCUUUCUUGGUAGCACCGGCAAUUAGAGUAUUGUAAGUGAUAACAUCAGGCUAGGUUCCAGCUUCUUUCAUUUUGUCAAGAACUGAGUAUGCAGCAUCAACACUGAGAAACUGGCAAUAUGCAGCGAUUAAGUAUUGUAAGUCACAACAUCGGGAAGAUACCCAAGCCGUAUGCCGACUAUAAUUAGGGCUUCGGCCUUUUCCAAGUUUCUAGCUUUGCAAAAGGAAGAGAUACAAAUGUUCAGCAGCCGAGUUGAUAAGCCACUGAUCAUUAUUUAAGCUCGUGGGAUAAAGAAAAAGGCUAGAGUCCUGCAUAUAAUUAAAAUGGUGAACUAUACAAUAACUAAGAGAAAAUGGAAACCAUUGUUUAUUGGGUCAGCACCGUACAUUGGAACAGUGGACAACGAUAGAUCAAGCGUGGGACCUGUCAUAAGUAGCCCCUGUCUCUCCAUCAUUUCCAUGAAUGGUGGUAACCCAAUUGACUAUGGUUUUUGCAUGGAGCAUAGGAUUAUAUACGAUACUUAGUUAACAACACCCUUUUCUGUUUCCGAUAGGUUAGUCAGGUUCAAACGUACAUCUCAAUGUUGAAACUUUCAGAACCUUCCAAUUGAGCAAUGGGCUCAAACCCAAGACCCCUCAAUUCCAGGUGCAACACAUAGAAAAAGAAAUAAAAGGGCAGAUUCCAGAGCAAAUCCACAAGUAUGACUUGCAUUCUAUAUAGAAAGGGUCUUAAGACCAUCACUUGUUAACCUGCCCAGAGUCUGCUCUUGAAGAUUAACCUCUAAUGAAAAACAAGAAAGGACGAAUAAACUAGGCAUGGAAACAAAAUAUAAAUUUAGACCUACACAUCUUUAAAGGACAAACAAACUAGGCAUCUAUUGGAGUAUGGAAUAUGGCAAUUGUAAAGUGUAAUUCUUUUCUUGAUGAGGAACUGUGGAGAUUUCUUGUAUUUUACUGAUGGCCCAGGGCCCCACUACAGUAGAUCUUCAUUGCUGCCAUCAGGGACAUCGAGUGAAUGCCCUUUGAUAUUUAGACUUACACAUCUUGAAAGGACAAAGAAACUAGGCUCUAUUGGAGUAUAGAAUAUGGCAAUUGUAAAGAGCAAUUCUUUUCUUUGUAAGGAACGGUGGAGAUUUCCUAUAUUUUUGUCACACCCCAAGAAUUUACAAUACUGUUAUUCUUGAGAUGUGACAGACAAAACAUAUAUACAUCUAUUGAUAGGAUAAAUUUACAGUGGCGAGGUCUUACAAAGUAAAUAAAGAAAGCUAGUACAACAACAGUAUCUUCCAAGGUUGAUCUUGACUAUCACUCAAAAUGAAUCCGCAGUUAUUCUGAAAAAAUGUUUACCAUAGUUUGAUGAGUUUGGCUACUCAGUAAGUGAUCAUCAUAAUCCUAAAAAUAAUCAUGAUUGAAAGANNNNNNNNNNNNNNNNNNNNNNNNNNNNNNNNNNNNNNNNNNNNNNNNNNNNNNNNNNNNNNNNNNNNNNNNNNNNNNNNNNNNNNNNNNNNNNNNNNNNNNNNNNNNNNNNNNNNNNNNNNNNNNNNNNNNNNNNNNNNNNNNNNNNNNNNNNNNNNNNNNNNNNNNNNNNNNNNNNNNNNNNNNNNNNNNNNNNNNNNNNNNNNNNNNNNNNNNNNNNNNNNNNNNNNNNNNNNNNNNNNNNNNNNNNNNNNNNNNNNNNNNNNNNNNNNNNNNNNNNNNNNNNNNNNNNNNNNNNNNNNNNNNNNNNNNNNNNNNNNNNNNNNNNNNNNNNNNNNNNNNNNNNNNNNNNNNNNNNNNNNNNNNNNNNNNNNNNNNNNNNNNNNNNNNNNNNNNNNNNNNNNNNNNNNNNNNNNNNNNNNNNNNNNNNNNNNNNNNNNNNNNNNNNNNNNNNNNNNNNNNNNNNNNNNNNNNNNNNNNNNNNNNNNNNNNNNNNNNNNNNNNNNNNNNNNNNNNNNNNNNNNNNNNNNNNNNNNNNNNNNNNNNNNNNNNNNNNNNNNNNNNNNNNNNNNNNNNNNNNNNNNNNNNNNNNNNNNNNNNNNNNNNNNNNNNNNNNNNNNNNNNNNNNNNNNNNNNNNNNNNNNNNNNNNNNNNNNNNNNNNNNNNNNNNNNNNNNNNNNNNNNNNNNNNNNNNNNUAGAUCCCAAAAUUUUGUUUUAGGGUGGGAGUGCUCACAUCCCCUAUUUAAAUUCUUAUAACGUAUUAUUAUAUUAUUUUAUUACGCUCUACCUCAUACCUGAGGUGUCGCGUUAAAAGUCUGCUUUUAACGUACGAAAACCACGUCCGCUAAAGGACGUUGCCAGCUGCAAGCAGGAAGCAAAAGCAAGCAAGCAAAACAGGCAAGCAAAAGUUAAACGAAGUAAAAGUUUUUGAAAAUAGUGAUGGUCCCCAAGGACCAUCAUACUCAAACAGACCAUCACCUAUUUAAAAGCAUCUUUUCUCCUUUUUUUUUUUUUUUUUAAUUUUAGGAUUGUUACAAUUUUACUGGCCCCACUACAGUACAUCUCCAUUGUUGCCAUCAAGGACAUCGAGUGGAUGCCCUUUGGGGUACCACAUAACAUAAAUCCCUCAGAUUAUAUAUACUUUCCUACUUUCAAAUGCCACAGCAUUGCGAAACCACAGAGGCUCUCAGUUAUAAAGUAAGAAAUUGUUCAAAGUCUUCAGUGUUUUUUGUUCUUGUGGCGAUGUUUAAACCAAUUUAGUUCAUUGAUUAAAGAAACUAGUGGGUGGGCAAAAGGCAGAAAGUUGAAUAAAGUACCCUUCUGAAAAAUAAUUUAUUCAUCAUCAAAGCCUUUUUUCCAACUAAUUGGGGUCGGCUACACGAACCCUGGUCCGUCAUUCUACUCCAUUAAGGGUCAUACCUCAGUGAGGCCAUAAGUCCCCAAAUCUUUUUUCACUACAACUAAUCAUGUCCUUUUGGGCCUACAUCUUGCCCUUUUUUAAGUCUUCCACUUGAACUUACUCGCACCACCUAGCAGGCAUUGUACUGGGUAUGCACAACACAUAGCCAGCUCAUGUAAUUCUACUUUCUCUCAUCUUAUCGCCUAUUGGGGUCAAACCUAAAUUCUCUCGAAUGUAUUCUGAAAAAUAAUUUAUUGAAAGGCAAAAAUGUGUGCAAGGAAAAAUACAAAACAGAGGUACAUCGAAAAAGGGACAAAGAAUAUUUGUAUGUAGGAUUGCUUUGUUAUGAUAAGCUUUUACAUUUUCCUCUUACGUCUAGUAAGAGAGAAUAUAAAAUAUCAAAACUACAUAUUACUUUGCACAAAGGAUUUAGAAAAGCAUUAAUGCUAUUUGGACUGGACCAAUUAGUGAUCAAGGAGGGCACCGAUUCGAUCCAAACCAAUGUUUCAAAUGCAGAAUACGGUCCCGAUGCAGUCAAGGAACCGAUGCGCCUCGAUGCGGUCCCGAUGCAGUCAAUGAACCGAUGUGGCUUCAGUGUUUUUUGUUCUUGUGGGGAUGUUUAAACUGAAAUCAAUUUAGUUCAUUGAUUAAAGAAAUUAGAGGGUGGGCAAAAGGCAGAAAGUUGAAGAAAGUACCCUUCUGAAAAAUAAUUUAUUCAUCAUCAAAGCCUUUUUCUCAACUAAUUGGGGUCGGCUACACAAACCCUGGUUCGCCAUUCUACUCCAUUAAGGGUCAUACCCUCACUGAGGCCAUAAGUCCCCAAAUCUUUUCUCACUACAACUAAUCAUGUCCUUUUGGGCCUACAUAUUGCCUUUUUUUAAGUCUUCCACUUGAACUUACUCGCACUACCUAACAGGCAUUGUACUGGGUAUACACAAUACAUAGCCAGCUCAUUUAAGUCUACUUUCUCUCAUCUUAUCGCCUAUUGGUGUCAAACCUAAAUUCUCUCGAAUGUAUUCUGAAAAAUAAUUUAUUAAAAGACAAAAAUGUGUGCAUGGAAAAAUACAGAACAGAGGUACAUCGAAAAACAAAAUCAGCUACAAAGAAUAUCUAUAUGUAGGAUUGCUUUGUUAUGAUAAGCUUUUACAUUUUCCUCUUACGUCUCGUAAGAGAGAAUAUAAAAUAUCAAAACUACAAAUUACUUUGCACAAACGAUUUAGAAAAGCAUCAAUGCUAUUUGGACUGGACCAAUUAUUGAUCAAGGAGGGCACCGAUUCGAUCCAAAUCAAUGUUUCAAAUGCGGGAUACGGUCCCGAUGCAGUCAAGGAACCGAUGCGCCUCGAUGUGGUCCAGAUGCGGGCACAUCACCUUGAUGCAAUCAAUAAAUAAAAAAAUUCCAUAAAAUCUCAAAAAAUAGGUUAAUGCAUGAAAAAAAAAUAUGGAGGUGAUUUAUGAGAUAGUAGGUAUCUAAUUUAUUCAUUAACUCCAACAUUAUCAGUCGUCGGAGACUCUGAAUCCCCUGAUAGAAGAAAUUAGAAAUCGAAAAUAGAAACUUGAAACUGACUUUAUAGAAGACAUUAGACCUUAGAAAACAUAAUAUUAUCAAUCUCCUUCAAAACAACGUCCAAGCUAAUCCCAAAUCGAAGCCCAACCAAUAUCUAGAUCAAAUCAACAAUUUUUUUCAAAAAACAUUUUUGUCGAUUUUAUUUUCUGCCUCUUCAUCUUAUCUAAAAACGGCCACAUUUGUGGCUUUUUUUUGUGUUUGAGAGGAGGAGGGGGGGGGGGGGGGGGGGGGAGAUUUAAUACCCCCUUAAAACCCUUUCCCCCCUUUUUAGGGGGAAAUGACAAAAAUACCCAUGCUUACGGGCUCUAUUUUCUCCCAUGAGCUAUGUGGCGCAUAUGCGCCAUGCGCUAUGCAAUGGGAUGUGGCUCAUAUGCAGGUACAUCCCACCAAAGCACAUAUGCGCCCCUAUGCAAUGCACUUCAGGGUGCAUAGCAUAUUAUGCAAUGAUGCGACUGCAUUUUAAAAUAAUGAUCCAAACCAAUUUGACAGGCCAAUUCACCUGUCGGAUCAGCCUGGAAAUCAUAAAUAAAAAAUCUAUAAAACAUACAAAAACUUGUCAAGACCACUCCAAACCAGUAAAGAACUGGCUAGUUCAACCAGAGCAACUGGUUGGACCACCUGGCUCAAGCCAGUUUUUGACACCUUUUGACCACCAGGAGAUUCAGUGAUCAGACCAGGCUAAUCCCAAGCCUAGUCCCUACUCCAACAGGUCAUCCCAUCCAGUCCUUUCCAAUCUUAAUGUCAUCAUAAAUCAUGCUUGAUUUUAAAGGUAAUUAAUGAAAAAAGGUUUGAUUUGAAUAUGCAUAAGAAUGAACGUGAAUAUAACAAGAUUGUUUCAAUCAUUUCUAUGAAGAAACUAGAAGAAGAUGAGGCAAAAGCAACUGAGCUUUGGUCUCUCUCUCUCUCUCUCUCUCUCUCUCUCUNNNNNNNNNNNNNNNNNNNNNNNNNNNNNNNNNNNNNNNNNNNNNNNNNNNNNNNNNNNNNNNNNNNNNNNNNNNNNNNNNNNNNNNNNNNNNNNNNNNNNNNNNNNNNNNNNNNNNNNNNNNNNNNNNNNNNNNNNNNNNNNNNNNNNNNNNNNNNNNNNNNNNNNNNNNNNNNNNNNNNNNNNNNNNNNNNNNNNNNNNNNNNNNNNNNNNNNNNNNNNNNNNNNNNNNNNNNNNNNNNNNNNNNNNNNNNNNNNNNNNNNNNNNNNNNNNNNNNNNNNNNNNNNNNNNNNNNNNNNNNNNNNNNNNNNNNNNNNNNNNNNNNNNNNNNNNNNNNNNNNNNNNNNNNNNNNNNNNNNNNNNNNNNNNNNNNNNNNNNNNNNNNNNNNNNNNNNNNNNNNNNNNNNNNNNNNNNNNNNNNNNNNNNNNNNNNNNNNNNNNNNNNNNNNNNNNNNNNNNNNNNNNNNNNNNNNNNNNNNNNNNNNNNNNNNNNNNNNNNNNNNNNNNNNNNNNNNNNNNNNNNNNNNNNNNNNNNNNNNNNNNNNNNNNNNNNNNNNNNNNNNNNNNNNNNNNNNNNNNNNNNNNNNNNNNNNNNNNNNNNNNNNNNNNNNNNNNNNNNNNNNNNNNNNNNNNNNNNNNNNNNNNNNNNNNNNNNNNNNNNNNNNNNNNNNNNNNNNNNNNNNNNNNNNNNNNNNNNNNNNNNNNNNNNNNNNNNNNNNNNNNNNNNNNNNNNNNNNNNNNNNNNNNNNNNNNNNNNNNNNNNNNNNNNNNNNNNNNNNNNNNNNNNNNNNNNNNNNCUCUCUCUCUCUCUCUCUCUCUCUCUCUCUCUCUCUCUCUCUCUCUCUCUCUCUGCAAAAGGGAUAGAUAUAGUAUGGAUUUCUCCCGCAACUCUCCCCCCCCCAAACAAAAAAUAAACCCCCACCUCCCCAAAAAUAAAUAAAUAAUCAUGAACAUACCUAGUAAGCACUGAGUCCUUGAAUCAACUCAAGUUAUCCACCUGGUGGCCGGUUAAACACGCCCCUGAUAGCAUAUGUCACCACCCCACUCGUACUUGUGGGGCCUUGCACACCUAUCACUCCAUUUGCAAAUCCACCCAGCAAAGGAUGAACGUUACCACCUGUAACACUCCCACCAUGCAUCACAUUCAUGGGUGGCUGGCCCUGCAUGGCAUACGACGGAUGAUAACGAGUCGAGCCCAAAACUGGUGCCUGAGGCAAAGGAGCACCUGGUCUUGCAGUAUACAGUCAGAGUGCAAUGCAGUGACGGGUAAGGAAUUUGGCAUUGAGCCCAUUGGCACGGAAGAAGUGAGAGAAGAUAGCAUUGAUAAGAGAGGAGGGGGCAUAGGAAAUGAAGAUGAUGACAAGGAAUGCAACAAACCAGGUGGGAGAGGGGGUUAGGGCAUAUGCAUAUGUUGAGGCAUAGCCAACUAGGAAGGAUGUGGAACUGGGGGCAAAGGAGUUGGUAGAGGGAGAGAGGCCAUUUGGGGAGGUCUAACUUCUUGUGGGAUUUGGUGGUAUUGUGUGGAUUCCAAGAGAAAAGGAUGAGACACUGAAGGGAGAGGAGGUUGAGCCACAGACAUUGGAACUUGGAGAGGUGGCCUUUGUUCCCCUUGUUCUGAUGAAUCCGGAAUAGGAAUAGAUAGAGGCAUUGCUACCCCAACACCAGGAAUGGUUCCUUCGUUGCAUGUCAAUCCAGGUGGAAAAGCUCCAGGAGAGGCUGGGGCUUCUGGUAAUGGGAAAUUGCUUGAUAGACGGCCUACAAGUGUAGCAGCAUCACUGGGACCUGUAGAGGAAGAAAUGAACCAGACAUUUUUUAUUUUUUUUUAAAGUUAGAAAAGAACCAAACAUGAAACUGUGGAAGACUGGAAGCAGAAUAAAUACAUAUUUCUCUGCCUGCUAAAAUUUCAAGGGAAAAUAUAAGGACUAUAUCCACAUGAAAGUACAAUGUGAUCCAACUUAAGACAAAGGCAGAACAAGGUGUUUAAAGACAUUUUUCAGCACCAUGGGUCACUAAUGCAGAAUAAAAGGGAGAUGCCGGUCAAUAAAGCCUGACAAACAGUGAAAAUUUUGACAAUCUCAGAAUGGCCCCAAAACUAGCCAAGAUCUUCUUAAUGGCUCCAAAAAGUCACCUACCAAGUUUCGUCGCAUUCCGACAUGUCUAAGGUAGCGCAGACGAAGAAACAGUUUCGGCAGAAUCAGUCCCUUACACCCUGAAAUAAGACCCCUAUAACUACAACCCUAGUUCGGAGUAUCAAACGGCCGUGGGACCACCGCCAUUGGAUCUGGCAUGGUUGAAAACCCCCAAAGGUCAAAUUUCAGCUUAAACGGACACUCCAGGAAGAAAUUAUGAGUAAAAGACCAAAACAUAAAGAGCUGCACACUAUUCCCGUGUGGCCACCCUGCAACUAAUCUCCAUUAAAGGAACAGUCACGAAUAAUGACUUGCGGUGCUCAUAUCUCACUCGUCCGAGAUCGAAUCACGCUUAAGCUUGUUGGAGCAUGUUUGUCUUGUCGAGAAGAGCGUUUUGAUAUGUAGCACGUCCCGUGACGAUGACCGAGCCGGGAGAAAAGCUAGAUAGAAGUUGCCAAUUCGUGAAGAAAGUUGUAGGAAAUCAGCAACGACACACCUCGCUGGAGCGGCCAAAUCAUGUCGUUCGCGUAUCUGAUCGAUGUUAGACCAGCUGCAUCGGUGCGUAAGGUCCAUGGCUAUCACAGGUUCGAACCCCACGCGUAAUGAACGAUCGGAUGUUACACAAAAGCAGGUCGAAGUCACUGCAGAUUCCGGUGACCGGAUCCCAAAUUCCUGCCAAAGUCCAAAAUUGCCAAAACUUCGUUCAGGCAACAAAUCGCCUCCCGUUUGUUGCAACGCGGUCGUGGUAACAUAGUUCAAUUCAGCGAAGAAAUAACAUAAAAACAACAAGACAAAGACGCACUAUCGAUCGAAAGUUUCCAAGUUCUAUUCAAAUUUUAAGUUAUGUGAUCAUGCCUUUAAAGUGUGAUUCAUGGCUUAAAAUUAAUAUCAAAAUGAUCGUAGUAUUGAGCCCUACAUGAUGGCAAUCAUCUUUCGUGCAUUCGGAUGCCGAAUCAUCAAUGGAUCAUCCAAAAAGAAUCAAGAAUGUCCCAAGUUCUCAGCAGGGACUGUUUUGGAAUUUUUUCAAUUGUUAGGCAGGGGCUAAUCAAUCAGUUUACACCCUAUUUUCUCAUUUUAUUUAAUUCAAAAAAUAUAUAAUUAUCAUCAAUUAGGGUUAGUUUCGGGUAAUCCACCCACGUUUUAGCCUUAGUCUAUAAAAAAAUGCUACUUCUCAUUGUAUGAGGAGGCUCUUUUUUUUUCGAUUAAAAAAAAUUCUCCUUCGUUGAGAGUAAGAGUGGGACGCGUUUCUUUUUUGAGAGAGAGGAGAGAGAAAGUUUAGAGCAACACCCUUCCUACUUUUAAGGUAUUUUCUCUCUCUUCCCUCCUCUCUCUUCUCCUCUCUUCUCUUUCUUCUUCUUCUUCGUCUUCUUCUUCUCCGCUGAGUCUUCCUCAAAGGCCAUGCACGGCAGUGGCAGUGUCGCGCAUGCCUCCUUCUCUCCUCUCCUUCCCUCGACAUGGUUUGCGCAUAGCGUUAAUCGUCGUUGUGCAUAACGCCGUCUUGAGGAGCACAUGGUGAGCUGAGCUGCGUUCACGCAACGGGCCGGACUCUUGUUUUGGUUUAAAGAUUGGCGUCGCGCACAGCAUGCACAUCGCCGACCGCGAACCAUCUUUCUUUCUUCUCACGGGCUACAGACGGCACAAGCUCUAUCUUUUCGACGUCUUGCGCAAGCGCAGACAGCGAUACCCAUGCCACGCGUCUAUCACAGACGACGAUGUCUAUCGCUGCUCACGAAAGGUCGCAGCAAUGACUAUCGCUGCCAGCAGGCUUUUCUCAUACCCUGAGCUCAUCGUAGAUGGCAAUGACUAUCGCCACCCGCGAAGGGUCAUGCUGCCUUCUCGCGUUGUCGACGGUGAUGGCUAACGUCGUCUGCAGUUCAGUACUCGUCCUCUCGUCGUAAGCAGCAGUGUCCAAGACCAUCCAAGGACCACGACACUGUUACUCUCUAGUUGUGCACGGCGAUGCCUAACGCCGUCUGAAUCCUUUUCUCCCUCCUUCAUCUCUCGUCUUCUCUUUCUUCUCUUCUCUUCUCGCUUGACUAAGGAUAGACUUAGUCUAGUACUGUCAUAGCAGUCUGGCUGUCGAGCAGCAUUGCCUUCGCGUUGGUCCAGAGUACCAUGCCCGUCUUAUUGCCACAUCAGAUUAUGACGAUCAUAUUGGCCUUGGUUUCGAGUAGUAUUGUCGUGGUGCCGGUCUGAGUUACCGUGCCCAUCUUGCUACCAUUACCUCUUCCUCAUCACCUUAGUCUCUCAUCUUCUCUAUGAAUAUGCAUCGUCCUAAGACAAGGGUGGGUCCUUUGGCCCACAUGUCUUGCAAAUUAACCAUGUUAGUGCAGUGCAGAAAACAAGGAGAUUGCAGGUCAAGGGAGGCGAGUUUGAACCAGUUGAAGCAGCUAACAUGCUUUCCGUCGUGAUCUAAGAGGGUGCCCACACGAGUCAGCCCGAGUAAGUCACGGACCCAAGUGAGGUUGGUCCCCACCUCACGUUUUAAAAUUCCUCUCUCACCAGUUGGCCACCUGCCCUUGUUCUGUGAACAAGGUUACCAAGAGAGCAAUCUCAGGUCUUGGGUCUUACGAACCCGAGACACGUGUCACCCGAUCACCUAGAUCCAGGGAGGCGAGAUCGAGGCAUCUAACCACAAGGACCCCUUAUAAUUUUAUUUUUUAGUAUCCUACCCUGGUCUUGUGUUACAAAGAAAUGUUGUUUCGUUGAACAAUCAUAAAGGAUAUCACUGUUUUGCUAUUAUGCUUAAAACAUCUAGGUAAUCUUGAUUGUAAGGUAAUAAACCCAUACCCUGAUUGUAGCCAGCAACAUGUUUCUCACAAGAAGUAUCUCCCAAUAGGUUUCUACACCAAAACCUUGUUGUGUGGUCAUUGUUGCCACUGCAUUAUAUCAAACGACUGCUAAUUAAGUUGUUGUUAUGGAACAGUGCUUCAAGCAAGGAUACUUAAACCUUCUUGCCACAGGAAAUUGAAACUUAAACAUCAAGUACGUCAGGGGAAAAUGCACAAUGCUCAUUGAUUAUCGAAUAUGGUUCAGCAUUGGCUUAUUAGAAUUAACUGACAAGGUCAUCAAACUCAAAGAGUUUAGAGAUUACCCAUAAUACAGCUAUUAAACAUGCCUUAUUCUCUAAUAUUAACUUGGGACCUGAUGAGAAUCAAACUCUAUAUGCCAUGUUGCAGGACUCGCCACCCUGACCGCCUCUACUUAGAGCUUGCUCUCAGCUAUUAGACAUUUCUUUUUAACUAUAGUCAUUCUAUGUUUUAAACAGUAAGUGCAAGAUUUCCAUCAAACCAAUAAAUUUUUCAAUUUUUCAAAUGUUCUCCUGCACAUAAAGGAAAUCCAUUUUGAUUUGAGUAUAAAGAAGCAAAUUUAAGAGCAAAUAUGCCCUAUUCAUGUCAGAUCGGCUUGGUGAGAAUGUGAGUAUGGCAAUUUGGCAAUGUAUCAGAGGAAAUUAAAUUGUUUUUCCAUCAAAAAGACAUCACUGAUUAUAGUUGCGGAAAACAUACAUUCUCAAAAAAAAAAAAAAAAAGGAAAACAUCAGAAGUCCUAAUGCGAAAAAAGUUAAAGAUGGUGAAGCACAUUUUGCUUAACCCCCCAGAACAAGAUCAGUGAUCACCUACAAAGGAUAUAGCCAAUAGGAUGCUAGGCAAGGUCCCACACAUUGUUUUCAUGUGCAUUAUUCACUUCAGCGUGAGGUGUUUCAUGCCUAUCCAUUAAAUAUAAAGACCGAUAAAUGUGAAGAGCUAACAAUUAAGACAAUUGCAAUUACAAAAGAUAGGUAUAAACAAAUUGGAACCAUAAAUUGUAACUAUAAAAAAACAAAAUGCCAUUAUUAGUACUAUGAUGCAAGACAAAAUUACUCUUAUUUUUUAUUUUAUGUAGUGAUGUAUAAUUUAAUUUUAACGCUUCUAAGUGUUUUAGGAAUUCUAGCUUUUUUUUUAUAUAUUUUUAGGAGUUGUUCAGAAAAGUAGUUAGAUUGCUUAUGGAAUAUUUGUUUUAUUAGAUGAGAAAUAUUAUUACGAAUUUUCAUUUCACAUGGGACUAUUUGUAAAUCUUGUUUUGGUGAAUGGAAUUAUGGACUUUUGUACUCCAUAAAGAUAUAAAAGACAUGCGUGGAGGUCUAGAUCACAUGACUUUGUAAAGAGGAAAAAGGAAAAAAAAGCUUUUGUUCCCCAGUUAGGUUUUUGGAGAGGCACUUGUGCUUUGCUUGGAAAUUUUUUAUUUUUUGUUCUUCAUAAAUUUCCACAUCAAUUGGUAUCAGAACAUAGGAUUCUUGAGUAGCAAGGGUGAAAAUCUUCGGUCAAGUCUAGAAUUUAUCGAUUUCAGCCAGUGUUGACUAAUUUCAGCCUAACACUUGUCAAAUUCAGCUUAAAGUUUGCAAAUUUUUUGCCUAGGGUUUGUGAUUCAAUGAACCUACAACAUAAAGAAGGGAUUGUGGAAGGAGAGCUCCCGUAGACCUACCUUGAGAUGCCAAAGAUAAAGAGAUUGAGGAUCUUAGGAGGCAAGUUCAGCAGCUUGCACAACAACUCAUGGGCAUAAUCAUGGGCAUGACAAUGAUCUUUUCACAAAGAAGAUGUAGAGCACAAGCCCAUGCUCUAUAUGAAGAGUCGAGUGAAGAAGAAAGUGAUAGACGACCUAGACGUGGGGAACAUCACUUUAGGGUUUUCAAAUUGAAGGUAGACAUUCAUGAUUUUAAUGCACAUUGUAUCCAAAACCAAUGGGUUGUAGAUUGGGAUUCUCAACUAUUCUUUGAGCUUGCUCAGUUGAAGAACAAUAUCUUGUAGGAAAUAUGAUAUACGAUGAUGAACAAUAUUUUAUGGUUGAGCCGAUCUUUGGGAAAGAAAACGAUGAAGGCCUCAAAGGAGAAUCAAUUGAUGAAGUUGUUGGUUCAACAAUCGAAUCCAGCCCUCAUCUCGAAGAUGACCACAUGGUAUUUUCUAGGGUUGAACUAAGGUAAUUUCAACAAGUUUAUGUGAUGGAUAGACUCUAUCGACAUAUAGUGACCCCUCUCCUCGAGAUGUUCUCAAAAGGGUGUAUAUGUUUGUCGAUUGAUUUCGAAGCCCCAAUCUCAAUGCAUAGUCUCAAAGCAUAAUGUUAUGGUUGAAAAAGGUUUUGGAACUAAUGCCAAGUAACCUUAGCCUGCUUCCAAAUUUAAAGAUGAGUUUUUUCCAAUUAAGGGAGUCUGAUGCAGGACAAAAUCAUUCUAAUUUUCUUUUAUUGUUUAAUUUUCAAGGAUGUGUAUUAAUUUUAAUUUUACGGUUAUUUUCAAUUUUGUGAAGUUUUUAGGGAUUAUAAAGUAUUUCUGUAUUUUUUAAAAUUUAUUUCCAAUUUUGUAAAGUUUUUAGGGAUUAUAAAGUAUUUCUGUAUUUUUUAAAAUUUUAGGAAUUGUUUAAAAAAGUAGUUAGAGUGCUUAUGGAAUAUUUUGUGUAUUUUAAAUUAGGACCAGUGUUUUAAAAAUCGCCGAUCCGAUCCAAAAUCGAACAAUCUGAAUCGGAUAUCGGUGAUACCGCACCAGAUCGGGUAUCCACUGUCUUCAAAGCCCCAUGCAGCUUUUUACCAUGCCCUAUGCAUAUUAACUUAUUUAAAACGCCUUGUACCAUGCAGCUUUUUACCAUGCCCUAUGCAUAAUAACUUAUUUAAAACGCCUUGUACCAUGUCUUUUAUGUGGUGUACUGCUCCCUCAUCUUUUCGAUGUGGGGCAAAUGCUUAUUGUCUAUCACUCAUCGAGAAAGUUACUAAUGUUUGCUCCGUGUAUGGAAACUUGGCAAGUAUUAAUGUCCGGUAUCACCAAUGUGGGGCAAGUAUUAAUGCCCAAUAUCACCACUAAGGAUCCACAUUUAAUUUUGUCUAUUCACUCGACGAUGUGGGGCACAUAUUAAUGUCCAUUGUUAAAAUUAAAUUAAGCUUUUUGUAAUAAAAAAUAACCUUUUUAUUAGAUAUUAGGCACUAAGUCAUUGGUUAAUAGAGAUUAAAAGAAAAACAAAAAAAUACUAGCUCAUAGGAUAUUAGAACAAUAAAAAAUAAUAUUAAUACUAGUUUAUUGACCAUUAAAAAGAUUAUUAGUUUAUGCGACAUUUUAAAAUAAAAAAAAUAACACUAACUCAAACGACUUUAAAAUCUAUUUUAAAGUUGCUUCGUCAAUUAUCCCACAUGGCAAGUAUGAUAGUUAUAUAUUUUUCUAAUUUUAUUAUAAUAUACUUACAAAUUUACGUUUCUAAAUUCUAUACUUUUGUAGAUUUAUUUAUUUGUAAGGGUCACACCUUUGUUUAUUAUUAAUAAUUAUAUAUUGAUAAUCAAAUCUUGCAUUUUAUUUGUUUAUUUAUUCACAUUAUAAAUUAUAUAAUGUAUUAUUUUUAUUACAGCUGUAAAUAAUUUUUAAAAAAAUUAGAUGAUAUUAUAAGACAAAGUUUAAAUUUAUUCAUACAGGGAAAAAACAUCUCAAUAUUCGCAUAUUAAUGAAAAAAAUGAAAGUUCUUAAUGUAGCACCCCCAUUUCUUAUUGGAUUCCUAAAAAAUAAUAUUUAUAAUGAUUUUUAAUAUUUUUUUUGGAUUUGUUUUAGGCCGAAUCUGACCGAUUCUCGAUCCGAAACGCCGAUUCACCGAUCCGGAUGGAUUUUUGGGGUGCCCGAUCCGGGGCACCGAUCAAUUUUUUAAACCACUGGUCAGGACUAUUUAGUCAAUCUUAUUUUGGCAAAAGGAACUAUGGGCUUUUGUGUUCCAUUUAACAUAUAAAAAGAGGUGCGUGGAGGGUUAGGCACCUGUUCAAGUGACUUUGACAUGGGGGAAAAAGGAAAAGGAAGCUUUUGCUCCUAAGUUAGGAUUUUGGAGAGGAAACCCUGGUUCCCUUCAAAAUUGUUGUUUGUGCUUUGCUUGGAAUAUGUUUAACUUUCUGGUUCUACAUCACAAUGUAUUAAAAACUUAAUGCUCACAGGAUCAGCAACUUAUAAAUCAGGAAUCAACUUGCCCAAAUAAUUGGAAAAUUGAGAACAGCACAGGGACUUUGAUAAAUUUGGAACACUUAGCAUAUAUAGGACAGAAAGACAAGCUUAUACUGCCAGCAUCUUGUGUAACUUAUUCAUUUCAUGUGGCUUCAAUUGAGACGAAAGAGACAUUACCCAAAGAGCCAGUGAAAGAUAGAUCCAUCAUAACUCCCACUCACUCACGAAAUACUCUUCAUGGAAUGGAUGCCACACCAAAGCUAGCAAAAUAACUAUGCCAACAUUAUCAAAUAUAAUCAGUUAUUUUAACAAUACAUUAUCAGAUAUGGUCUUCCUAUCUUGAUACCAAACAUAAAUAAAAAUGAUCAAAGCUUACAUGAAACUGUUAAUGUUUCCCAUUGUAUUCAUUCAUUGAUUACAUUGAAAAUAAGAAAAGUUUGUGGUGAACUCGCAUCGAAGCAUCUAAGAAGGACCCUAGAUAGUCUAGGGCCAUGGGCUGCAAUUUUGCCACUCAUAUGAAGUCAAUGCAGUGCUUGUGGCGAAAAAAGAUGUGAGAGAAACCUAAAUAUUAUCAAUGAUGACAUCAACAAUAAGGUUGUACAAAUCUGAUGCAGUAUAUUAGAAGGUACAAAGAAAUUCUUAUACAAAUCACAAGCUUGAAACUCAUGCCUGAUUGGUUAAAUACAGGCACCAUCAAAUAGAAUAAAUAGAUAUACAUAAAGAUUUGGGCAGUGGGCAGAAGAAGCAUUAGACUGGAGUUCAAAGCUAGAGCAGAUAUAAUAAAAAAAAAGAAGGAAGCAACUACCACGCAUACCAAUCAAGUCCACAAUUAGCACACAAUCAAAUCAGUUUGUUACUUGUUACAAAGUAAAACCAAUUAACCUGUAAAGAAGUAAACAAUAAAAAAGAGUCCACCAGAUGAAUUACAAGUGCUUAAAAUUGCAAAAGUCCAUUGGCCAUUGGGGAUGAUUCUAUUAUGCAUAAAAUAAUGAAUUAGAAAAAAAAUAAGCAAUAAACAAAUUACCAACCAGUUACAUCCUUGCGAUGACCACGAUAAGAUUCAAGCUCCUUCAUAGUUCAUAUAUCAUAAAGCUGAAAAUACGAUAAAGGUUUUAAAUGGUGACUAGGGUCGAGAUAGUAACACUGGGGAAUCAAUCAAUGGACUAUUUACAUUGUUGAGGAAAAAGAAUGCCCGACAAACAAUUAUAAGUGCAUCAUUAAGCCUUUGAAAAAUUAUCCAUGCAUCAUCGAGUCAAUGAACAUCUAUGCAUGCAUGUAGGUAUACACAGCAUCAACACAAUAGCAUUUGGUGAACUUAAACAAACGCAUAUCAAUUUGCCAUAUGACCCUUCAUGAGGACAUUCUAAAAAAAUUAAAAAUUAAAAAUAACUCAACCUAAAGAUCUGCUGAUGUAACAAAAAGCAAGAGAUCAUUCCAACAGGUAGUCAUAUUAAGAAAAACUUUCUUUACAGGUAAAGAACAUCAUCACCAAAUGAAAGAAAAACUCAAAUAGGAUCAAAAUGGUGCAAUUGAUACACUUUUGGAAACGUCUAUGUCCUUCAUGGCCAUCUGGAGAACCAUGAUUUGCUAACCUACCACCACAUUAUUAGUUGGGCCAUGUGCAAAGACAACUAUCCAGCAAUUAACUAUGAAAUAUCUUUCAUAUCAUAAAAUAAUAGUGCUAAACAUAAUUGGAGUAUGGGAGACCAGUCAUCUCCCAUUAAAUGACAUUGAUAACAUUCCCUAAAUAAAAAGCAAUCAUAAGAGGCCUCGUGCAAAAAUGCACGAAUGCAUGGUCCCCAAGGCCCCAGUCCUUGAGAAAGUAGUGACCUCAAAGUGGAUCAUUACCACUACAAUUUAAUGGCCACAUUCAUCCCUGAAUACUCCAAGUUCCCGACCUUACUUCCUUACCUUAAAGAAACAUGAUUUGUAGAAAACAGGCUGAGCACCAGUCUCAACACAGAAGACCUAUUACUACAUCAGUUCCGAACUUAGUACAGUAAUACUAAGAUAGAAAGUGCAAACUAUAAUAUGAGAUGAUCAUGCAGCUUUUCAUCGAGAACAAGAUGAUAUGCUCAAAGCUAAAAGAACACAUUAAUUCAAAGUAGGCCAUAGAUAGCCAUUGGAAUUGCCAGAUCUCGAGCAAGUGACCACCAGAUUAUUUAAUGCAGUCAUAUUCAAGAUGCAGCAUUAGUAAACAUGAGCAACCUAGAUAGGUAAAAUAAUGAACUUAAGGCAUUCAUAAUUAAAUAUCAUGAAGGCCUGCUAAGAAGAUGCCAACCUUAAUGAUCCGAUCUUUUGAAGACGUGAGAACCCAAUUACCAUUUUGAUUCUAUUUGACACAAAGCACCCAAUUCUUGUGACCAUGUGUGCACAUUUAUAAAUGCCAAGUUGUAUUUAUUAUAUUUAAAUGGAAGUGAAUCAUUAAAUUUUCAUGGAAGCAAAUCUGAUCCUUUCAGUGAAAAUGCGUUCCAACUCACAACGAACAAAGUUCUUUCCCUGAUUUUGCAUCCCAAAGUUUCACAAGGCUUUCCUUGCCACCUAUGACCAUCCAGGUACAUAGAACAUCAUAACAUUAAGCACUGCACAGCAAUAAAACAAAGUGCAGGACAUGUAAAACGAUUCUUGCAUCCGAACCUGAAAUGAGCAAAGAUUUUGUGGGGUGCCAAUCAACACUCUUUACCUUCCAUAAGUCACACGUCUGAAUUUAAACACAAAAGAGACUCUCAAGUUAUCCCUUGUUAGCCGUAAUUACAUGGAUUAUCCCUUUACCAUGAUAAAACUAAUAAAAAGCACUAUCCAAGGCAUGCAUCUUCCAGUUCAAAGCAACAGGUCCAGUUAUCAAAGAACUUCAUAGCAGGGGUGUAAACAUAUUUCUAGAUUAGGUUUCAUAAGAACAUUUGGAACAAGGAAAAAGUAUAUGAUGGCUUGAUGAGAACAAAGUAGAUAAGGAUAAACAGAAAGAAGGAAAAUGAGGACCACACAAGAAAAGGAGAAAAUGUAUCAAUGAAAAAAAAUACUGCAACGGCAAAAAUAAGAAAUAAUUAUGAAGACAUACAAAUAACACUUUAGUGCAUGCACAAUAAAUCUAAUAUAAAGUACUACUGAAAAAAAUAUCUAAUAGUGAUCUUGCAUUCACCAAGGAAAGAACUUUCAAUAGAUAAAUAAUCGCAUAUAACGAAGCAAUGAGCUAUAAGAAAACUAAACAAAAGGAAUUUCAAUGGAAUAAAUAAUAUGAACAAGAUAAAUAAUCUAAAUGGCAACUCUAAAGCAAUCAAGAUGUAGGUUUGACUUGGUGGAGAGACGUUUUCCAAACCCCAUCACAUGCAUCUUUUCUAGUGUAGCCAAAAAGAGUUCCACUAGAUAAAUAAUUCUAACUAAGUAAUGAGCCAUAAAAAGAACUAACAGUCAAAUGCGAAGUAACCAUAUGCUAAUAGAUUCUCAAGGAGUAUGGGUAGAGAUUAAUACAUAAUUGGAGGCAUUUAGUUAUUUCACAAGGAUAUAUAAGGGCCUAAGUCAAUGAGGUGAAGCCUUAUGGAGAUUGUGAAUGAUGUGCAGGUUUAAAUAAUGUAUUAAGAGGGACCUAUGAGAAAGACAAUCGGGGAAAGACUGGAACAGCGGUUAAGAAGGAAAUGAUGUGGCCAGUGAUGCACUUGUGUGCUCACAAAAGUACUGGGGGGUAGUUAUAUGAGAAUAAGGUAUGGUUAAACUUGCAAUCUGAACCAAUGUUCUCCAUAAAGGGAUAUAAUUUUAGCUUUGAAACUGGAGAAGCAAUGUAAGAAAUUGAUGGAGCACAUUACAAAAGCAUAUUAAGUUAGCUGAUCCCGCUCAAUAAAAGUGGGUCUUAUUGAACUACAAAGUCCAGGGGAUCAACUAUAUCCAGUGGCCUCAAUUGUAUUAUUUGCCAUAAUCCCUUCAUUAGUUUAUCUAUUCUCAUAUAUAACACCACUAUUAAGGGUUGGACACAUAGCAUUCAAACUACAUGGGAGACCUAAUAUGACAGAGAAUGUAGGAUAGGUACACAACACAUAGACGUAGUGUCCCAAUACACAUACACACACACACAAAGGAAUCCCCAAAUGGAAUAUCCAUAGCACAUGAUAACAUGAAUGUAAUAUUUACAUGAAAAUAAUCAAUUUGACUGAACAUUUUGGCUGGUUUAACAAUGAGUAUGCAAAAAAUCUUAUUGGUAACGUAGGUUUUGUUUCUAUUAAUUUGACCCUUUUUAGCUUUUAAUUUGACCCUUUUUAGCUUUUCUUUUUUUUUUUCUAAUUUAAUUUCUUAUGAUUUUGGUGUUUGCUCUUCACUUUUUUCUAUGGAGUACUUUGAUUAGACUACCUUUUCCUUUAGAUUUAUCUUUUGAUAGCUUCAGACUUCAGAGUUGUCAGAAUUUGUUUUAAUCAUCAGAAGCCUGAUCUCUUUAUAUACUGAUGAUUAUUAUAUCAGUUUCAACAAUGAAUAUAAUCUCAUUAACAAUGAAAGUUUUCUCUACUAAAAAGCUACUUUUUAUUAGCCUUCUGUAUUUUUCUCUAAUUUAUUUUCUGCAUUAGUUCAUAUUAUUUUUCAGAUUUUUUUACAAAUUGCUUUGAUUUGCACAUUUUCUGAUUGUUCAUUGAUCUUGGUACAUGCCAUGCUUUGCACGUCGCUGUACUAGUAUGUUAAACACACAAAAGUCCAGGUUCUCCAAAGACAAAAGUAAGGCGCAAUUACCAGCUAGUGUCCGCUCUUCUUGGCAUUGAGCAAAGUCCCACACUUUAACAGUACCAUCAUCAGAGCAAGACCAACUUCAGGUCCGUCCUUGAGAAACUGUGAAAAAGAAUAAGUCCAUAUAAUGCCCAUGAAUGAUUAAUAAAUACCUUUCUGUUUGCAAUCAAAAGUUAACCAUUUUUUUUUUUUUUUGAGAGAUACAGAGUCAAACAGUAUACCUCAAGUCACGAACGGACUCUUUGUGUGCAGAUUUAUUAGCCUUCACAUUAUUCAUGUUAGUUUGCCAAUACCUAUUGAAAAAACACCUUGUAGAAACAUUAGUGCUUGAAUGAGAUAGAGUGAAACUAGUGUUCUAAAACACAGCUCGAGGGAAGAAAUGAAAAAAAUUUUAAAAAAAUCACAAAAAUUUUAAAAAUGCACAAAAUAAAAAUAUAUAGAACAUAGAAUAUUAUGGGCUCUGAAAAGUAAAAAAAUCUAAAAAAAGAAUUUCAGAAAAAAGGAAAAUAAGAAAAAUCAUAAAAAACAUAGAAGUAUAAAAUAAAUCAGAUUUAUGAAUCUAAAUUAAAAACGAAAAAUACCCAAAAUUUCAAGGCCAAGCCCCCGAUCUUUGUACUUGAUGAGAACUGAUGCUUCAAAUCCUUGUCAAAGCUUCCUCAAACAACCAAAAUCAAAAUCCCCUUCACUAGUUUUGGCUUUUCAGUUUGGAUCUGGGAUGUCCUGAGAUCUUGAAAACUUCGAAUGAAUAAUAAAUCCAAAUUAUUAUGUAAUUUGGAUUUAUUAUCAAAAAAAAAAAAUUAAUCAAAAAAAUAAAUCCAAAUUAUUAUGGCCUAUAUAGUACCAGCAAGUACUAUACUAACACGCCCAAGUACGAUGAAACACUAGCGAGUCAACGAAAGUGUCGCAGUAAUGGAUGAGUUUGUACCAGUACUCGCCAAAGUAUGGUAUUCGGUAUCUUUAGGACAAUGGUGUCAUAUUCGGUUCAGAGUGUUAUUUGGUUUGGUGACAAAACUUAAGCAAUUCGGUGCUUUGGCUGAUUCGAGGGCUGAUUCAAAAGAAGACUUUGGACUUUUUUUUUUAAUUUAAUAUAAAUAAAUUAGAUAUUUAUAUAUAAAAUAUAUAUAAAUAAUAAAUAAAUAAAUAAAUACAUAAAUACUUUUAUAUAGCUAUUUCUUUGCUGGCCAAAGCAGACCCGAAGAAGACCUGAAUCAUACCCGAAGCAGCCCGAAUCUGGCCGAAGCAGCCUGAAUCUAACCGAAGCGGCAGCAUCCAGCUUUACUUCUCUUCGGUUUAUGUCCAAAACCUGAAGGCUUCUGCCUCUUCGGCCGAAGCGAAACGAAUUUGACAACAUUGCUUUAGGUACCAUAGUGCAGACACAGUAGCUACCAAGCUCUAGUAAGUCACCCAAACCAGUCAACGGGGGCAAGUGUUUGAACACUAAGUGAAACCAAAACAACAAAAUUAAUAUUUACAAUUGGCAUACUUGAUCAGGCCACCAUCAUCACUCAUGACCAUCCAAUUCACGUUAUGACUCCAUACCAUGGACCUUAUUGCCGAUCAUGAGCCUUCAUGCUUUGGAAACACAAAAAUGACAACGAUUAGCAUUUCGCGAUACUCCAAAAAAGAAAUAUGAAGGCAGCAGAGAACACACAUAAUCAUCCAUUUUGAUUGUAUCAAAGUACAAUACCUGAAGAAACAUUUCGAAAUUAAAUGAUUUGUCCAUUCCAUUGAGUGAAUUCGCCACUUUGAAAACCUGUGAUAAGCCUUCGCCCUGUGGGGACCCACUUCAGCCAAAAAAACAGAGAUUAGAGUGUUUGUCACAAACAAAAGAAGGAUUUUUAGCAACAUUGCUAAAACAUACUCAUGCAGUGAAACAGAGAGCGCAAAUUAGGCAGAACACUGCCAACAGGACAAAAUCCGUAUCAAAGAUGUGCAAACUAAAUUUAUGUUGCACAAAGGCAUACUCAAAUUACAGAAACAAGCAUGGAAACAAAUAAAAACUUGCUAGUUAACUACAUAUCUUUAGUUUCUUUCCAUCAGUAGAAAGAAAAUAAAGGAAACACUCUAUGCUCUUAUAUAAAUGAAAAAUAGUCCAUCUUGAAAUCGCUCUUAAAUACAUCAUAAUAAGCUAGGAAAGCAAAACCAGGAAAUCAUAUUCUUGUGGCUAAAAUAAGAUUUGCAAGCCAUAACCAGUAUUACACAGACACCUCCCUUUCUCUUGUCUGGUUUGUAUACGCAUGUCGACACUUAACUACACGGGUCAACAUGCCUAGACAAGUGACCAACACGUUUUUCAUACGUGAACAAAAAAUUACAGCAGCUCAACUCUAUGCCGACACAUAUAUACACUAUUUGGAUAUCAAACACACAAUGUCUAUAUUGUGUUUUAUAUAGAAAAACACCAUGAGAGGUCAAAAAGAGCAAAGAGUAAGCCCAAAAAGACAUGGUUAGAAGUAAUUAGAAACGAUAAUGAGACAUAUGGCUUUACUGAGGAUAUGGCCCUUAAUAGAACAAAAUAGUGGAUCAGGAUCUGUGUAGCAGACCCCAAUUAGUUGAGAAAAGGCUUUGACGGUGAUAAACAUUUCCAUUAUGGGUUUUGUCAGAAAUAUAUAAUAUUCAUCCUUUUGCAAAGUGCAAUAUAUGCUACUAUUCGGUCUCUUACAAGUGCAUUUAUCUGAGUAGAAAAGUCAAACUAUUUAACUACUAUUACACGGGACUCAAAAAAAAAGGAGCUCUCUAGUGCAUUUAACUGAGUAGAAAACUCAAAACAUUUAAAUACUAUCACAAAAGACUUAAAAAUCCUCUUACAAAACAUGUAUAUUUUAGAGUAAUCACAUAGGACUCCACAAAAAGAGCUCUCUUCUCACUACUUUCAUCCAUAUCCUUUUAGGCCUUCUCGUUGCCCUUUUAGAGCCUUCCACUUGAACCAUUUCGCCUCUCCUAACCAGUGUUGUAUUAUGUCUACGGUGGCCGGCCUAGCUAAAUCUACUACAACUAAUAUAUUAUAGAUAUUGAAUAAAUUAAAAUACCAACUAUCACAUAAAUCACAUUUAUGUUUCUAUCUAUGCAUUAUUAUAUUUUGGUAUUUUUAAAAAAAAAUUAAAUGUAUAGACCACAUUAGAAGUGAUGUGCCGUCGUCGAGACCACAUCGAGCCACAUCACCACAUCCCACAGCUUAAAACAUUGGUUAAAACAUCAACUCCUAGAUAUAGGCAUCGCAUAUCAGGAAAGGAAUAUAAGCCUACAGUUUCUUGGAAAUUAUUAGCAUUACCAACAUGGAAUAGUGGCUUUUGCAAGCUAAAUUCUCAAUGACAAAUCAUGAAAGAAAGAAACAAGUUUUCUUAAGAUUCUGAAUUUCUAACCUAACUAUGGCGAUAAGCAAAAAACCCAGUAGCACCCCAAGAAGUGCACCCUUGUUCAGACCUGGCCAACAUUUAAUGAACAAACUGCUUAAAUGAUUACCAAAUGAGAGAUCUGUGAUAAAAUUUCAAAUCGUUAGAUCAUUAAGGACCUUAGCCAAUCAUAUUUACAUAGAUAGCAGCCCCAAAAACGGAUUGUUGUCAGUGAACUUGGAACAUUUUAUUUUUCUCACACUUGUGAAGGCUCACAAAUGGCAAUAGUUGACAUGGCAUAAUCAACAAGGUGUGACAAGUGGCUCACAUAAAACUUUAAGGACCAGAAACCUAGUUUAAAAAUGUAAAUGAACAAACAAGCUCAAACUAUCUGACAUAGGGCUCAUAUAAAAUCUAGGACCAACUAAGGAAUGAGUUCGACCAUUCGAAGGGAAAAACACUCCAACUGUCAAUUAAUGUAAGAGUGUGUAUAUCUUGACUUAUGUACACGAUAUCCCACAAAUACCAAUAUUUGUAGAGGCAUGGUAUAUGUAGCUCGGUAAUCAAAUAUCACGAGACUGGUUGCAUAAAUGUCGAGUUAUGAAGGGUUCAGUGUUAAAAUUUAUUUUAAACAAUGUCGAUUUGUCAGCGUUCUAAAAGGUAUGAUGUGGUGCCUAGGUGGUAAACGGCAGGGGGCUUGUUUCUGGGGACAUCCCUAAGCUUGAGAUUUUGAGGCUGUUGCUAUUAAGAAAUAACAAUAAGGAAAUUACCAUUUUACGUAAAUGAGCCUAGGAGGCCGCCCAGGUAGUCAAGGUGGGUGGGGUACCCACUUCGUUUGAAGAAGAACCAAAUAGGCCCUACUUUUCUUCAAAUAGGGCCAUACAUUAUUCAAUUGCAGAUGGGAUUUUUCUCAGAUGUGAAGAAUAUUCAAUGACUGUUAGUAGAUGGGCCUCAAGGGGAUUAGAUAAACCUUCAGGGACACCGCCUAUCCCUGGCAUUUGGAACAAUUGUUUGACAGAAUUUUCGAUAUUUGUAGAACCCAUACAAGUCUUCUUCAAGUACGUGUACUGCGAGGCAAACGCAGUUGUUGAUACAACCCAGAAUACUGCUUUCGUGUAUCUAGAUAAGAGAGACAAGCUUAAAAUUUACAAGAGGAACCACAGAAUGGCAAAUUAGUCAUUGAGUCUAUCAUUUUAUAUCUUUUAUUUAUUUCUUGAGUCUUUUUAUUCACUUAGGGGCAUAAGUAAUAAUUUCUAGAGUCAUUUAUAUUUUUUUAUUCACUUAUAGCCUUUUAUAAUGAAAGGGUCAUUAUUAGAUUAAAUAGAUGGCCAAGAUUAAGCCUUGUUUAGGGUUUUCUAACAUAAAAGAUGUACUAAAAAAUAAUGAUCGAUUAUAUUAUAGACUUUUAUCAAAAAACGUAAAGCAACAAGUGCUCCCUUUAUCUUUGUUUUUUUAAUCUUUUCCUAAUUUUGGGUCUUCCCUGUCUUCUUCUUUGUUAAACCCUGGCUUCAAGCUUCUAGGUCCGUGCCAGGUUGGUAUCAAAGCCUGACGAUCAAUAUGGACAAUAUUGUAGCACUGUAGCAUAGUAUUGUAGCACAUACAAUAGCACAGUAUUGUAGCACAUACAAUAGCACAGUAUUGUAGCAUCGAUUUUUUUGCCCUAGAUCAACAACAAUGCCUCAACACAAAGGAAAAUGAGCAAAGCAACAACCAUAGAAGCCUUUGAUGUUAGUUUGUGAGCAGUGUACUAAAAAACGAUAUGCCCAACACCUAACCGCCCAAGAGACCUCAGGCUGCACGCCUAGGCCUUGGUGCCCCGUUCUGGGCAAUUGUUCCAAGGCAAGUGCCCAGACGGGCACCCAAUGCCAAAUUUUGGGUGGGCACCCAAGGCCAUGGGCCUUUUCUCAAUUUUUAAAGAUGCCCAAAAGGGCAUAGAGGUUAAUUUUCAUCCCAAAAAAAGUUCAAAUAGAUUAUGGAAGUUAUUUUCAACCCCCAAAAGUUAAAAGAACACUUCCAUAAGCCUUAAAUCUCUUAGCUAUACCUAUUUUUUAGAAUCAAAAGCAUUUUUUGUGGUUUGAAGAAGCAUCCUAAACUUUUCUUUUCUCAUUGGAAUUAUUUUUAGGGUGCUAUUGAAGGUAUUAGAAAACUUUUGAGGUGAUUAGUAGCUUGAUUGAGGUCACAAACAUCGAAGAGUCAAGAUUGGGCGAAAACGGCUAGCUGAUAAUCUUUAUUUGAGUUUCAUUUUUUGGAUUUGAGAUGUCCUCCACAGGGUCUACUAGGAGUGGGGAUGCGAGAUGGAAGUAUUGUGUUAACCUGAAUAAGAAUGAUAAAAAGAAAAUUACUUGCAAUUUUUGUGGACAUAUUUGUAAUGCCUGCAUAAAUAUAUUUAAAAAACAUCUUGGCAGUAUUAGAGGUGAUGUUGGCCUUUGUAAGAAGGUUCCAGCGUUUGUAAAGAAAGAGAUUUCUGAGUACAUUGAAGUUGAAAAAAAUAAAAGAAUAACAAAAGAAAAGGAUAUAACAGAAUUGCGAGAAGGGGUCCAUGUUUUUUAUGACAAUGUUGACACUAAUGAAGAUGAGGAAGGGGAAGAUGAGGUAGGCAAGGUAGCAGUUACUCAGAGCUCUAAGAGUAAGAGGGAUUUUGGGUCUAAGAGGCGUCGUAUGAAACGGCCUAUUGAUAGUUUUUUUACAUCUAGCCUUGAGAUAGUAAUUGAGAAAGGGAAGGGAAAGGGAAAAAAACAAGUGACACUUGAAAAUAGAUUUAAGAAGGAAGAUAAAGGUCGGGUAGUUCAAUAUAUUGCUCGUUGGUUUUACAAUGCAGACAUUUCUUUUAAUACUGUUCACUUGAAAAGCUUCCAUACAAUGUUGCAAGCAAUUGGGCAAUUUUGGCCAGGGUUGAAAGGCCCAACUCCAUAUUAGCUUGGCGAGCUACUAUUGAAGAAAGAAGUUGAGCAUACUAGGGAAUAUCUCAAGACCCACAAGGAUCGGUACAAUGCUUCUGAGGAAUGGAGCAGGUGUAGGUGGUCCAAGGAUGCCAAAGGGAAGAAGGCACGAGAUAUAAUUCUUUCUAAAUAUUUUUGGCAUGGAGUAAAGCAGGUGAUACAAAUAUUUCUACACUUGGUGAAGGUCUGGCACUUGGCUGAUGCUAUGGUCUUUAUAUAUGAUGCACUAAAAGAAGCUAAAAAGUAAAUUGCAGAGAACUUCGACAAUGAUGAGGCCAAGUACGGCCCAAUUUGGUCAAUUAUAGAUGAGAAGUAGGAUCGACAGCUACAUUGACCAUUGCAUCCAGCGGGUUUGCAUGCGAUGGGGUACUUAUUGAACCAUAAGUUAUUUUAUGUUGAUGGUGAUAUUGAGGCAAAAGAUACAACUAUGGAUGGUUUCAAUGAGAGUCUUGAGAGAUUAGUACCCGAUCCAAAUAUCCAAGAUAAAAUAUCAAUGGAAGAGCUCAUCUUGAACAAGCAUGCUUUGAAGUCAUUCAAGAAAGAAAUGGCACUAAGACAAAGGAGCAAAGCAAAACCAGAUAAUAAUAAUAUAUAUUUAAUAUAAUUUUUGUUUGAAAAUUUUCUUUCAAGGUCCUAAUAAGUAAUAACCAGUGUUGAAUUUUAAAUUCACUAAAUUUCUUAAUGGUAAUAUUAAAUACUUACACUAAUUAUAUAGGUUGAACACAAAUUUUGUAGCUCAAUGGUGGAAACAACACAAGAGUAGCAUCCACACCUCCAAAAGAUGACUAUUAGGAUCUUAAGCUUGACAACUAGCUCUUAUGGUUGUGAGAGCAAUUGGAGUUCAUUGGAAAUAGUAACUUAUAUUCUUUUCUUGUUUACAAGUUCAUUAGUAUAUGGGUCAAUUAAUAGUAGUAGUAGACUAGUAGUACACUAAUACUCAAGCAUAUUUUAAUCUAAGUGUAUAAAAAUUAAAAUAAGCUUGAGAAAAGGAAGCUCAAUGACUUGGUUUGUGUUUGAGAGAAUCAGAGGCUCAAGGAGAAGUUUAACCAACAAAAGAAUGAUCUCAUCACUUCGAAAGAUAGGGAGAAUGCUUUUGAUUCGCUAGUUGAAGACCCUGGUACUCAUGAGAUCUUCCCCUGGGGGGGUUUAACCAGGGAAAUGGUUGAAGAGGCUUGGGGUCCAGCUUCUGAUCCUAGAAGCACCACAUGAGCAACGACUAUUGCUGGGGCUUCACACUCACAGAGGGCUAGGGAGAUAGAGGAGGUAGAUUCAGAAAAAACUGAGAAAGAAGAGCAAUAUGUAGAAGAGGGUGACAAUUCUGUUGAUGACGGCCUCAAUUCAUAUGCAGAUGCAAGCGAUGAUGAUGUUGAUUCUAAUUCUUACUGAUGAUGAUCGGAGAAAUGCAGAUGUACUCACUCUUUCUUUUGUAGCUUUCUAUUUCAUCUCUAUUGCACCAUCUUGGUUUGGAGACUGGACUUUUGAUUGGAAUUUUCGCUCUUUUGGAGUAUUGGUUUUUUGGUUUCUUACUUUUAAAAGUUUCUUGAAGACCUGGGGAGUUGGAAUCCAUGCCAUUAUGGAACAUGCAAAGUUGGAGACUAUUUACUAAUAAAUAGACUAUUAGACUUUAAACUUUAAACUUUUGCUAAAUUUUAUGUGAUUUGAAAUUUUGAACAGGUUUAUUCUUCACAUGCGAUAUGUUUUAUUGAAAAAAGUAUGUUACAAUACACACAAAUGCAACAAAUCACAAAAAUGACACAAAUAUAUGCAUAUAUGUGCGUUUGAAUAACACAUAUAUGUAUAUAUCUAAAAGAAUUGUACUAAAGGGUGCCUGAGGUUCUGGGCGUCAAGCCGGCCACCUAGGCGCCACUGAAACCUUGUUCACAAGAGGGAUUGCAGAUCUGAGGAGAUUGGUCGAACUCUAGCUCUGCGUUUGCCACAAAUGUUCAAACUCUAAGGAGAGAGGUAGUUGAUCGUAUAGAUAGGACAGUAAGAGGUGUGAAACCAAUCUCAAGGUUGAGAUCGCAACGUUAUAGAAGUUUAUCUAAGGACAAGCAUGAAGAAACUUUGUUCUUAUCAAAUGGUUCUAAAGAUCAGUACGUACUGGGACUUACCACCAGCCUUUGGCAAGUACCUAGAUGAAGAUUUGGGUAUUGCGAAAGAAGUGGGUGAUCAUAGCUUUAAUGGUGAUCCAAUUCAUAACUAGGAUUAAGAAGAAAAUCCUACAAUUGGAGAGGAUUUUAUGGAUGCUCUUUUCCUAGAUGAAGAAUUGGGUGAGAGCUACAAACUUGCUUAUGAGAAAAUGGGUAUAACUAAUGUCUUUGUCCUUGAAGGAAUUAGAGAGAAAAAUGAUGGUGUUGACAGAGGUAAUCAUGAUGAUGUUCUUCUUCUUCGAGUAUACCUGAAUUUAGGGUGUCACACGAUAUUCACACCAAAGAGCUGAAGAGAAUUUACCCUAAACUCUUAGCUGCCGUUUUUUAAGUUUUAACAUUGGAUAUACUCACCCAAGGCCGAAAUCUUUCUCUUUGAGAUAAUUCAGGCUGAGUCAUCACUCUGCUUUGAUGGAAGAACCAAAUCCAUUCCUUAUCAUCUUCCCCUGAAACCUAAAUCUAAGGAACCUAAUAUUUGCAUCUCGACCUCAAACAAUUCAACAAGAUCAAGCCUCAGAGUUCAAAGCUUUUUUUCCAUUCUAAGAGAAGAGUUUUCCUUAGCUAUGUUUAUGAUCAAUAGUGUUGUGCACUUGCAUUGCAGAAAUGCGACCUUUGAAUGUACACAAAAUAUUAUGGAUAAGAUGUAUAUAAGAGGCACCAUAAACUGGAAAACAUUGAUCUCUAGUUAUUUUGAAUUGUAUAUCUUUACGGUUGAGUUACAAUGUUACUAAGAGAUAAAAAAUUCUAGGUUUGGUCAAUUCAUUAUACACUUGCUAGUAUUGUUACAUCAAAAUGGUGUAAUGGAUGAUUGGAGAGUAUGAAAGCAGUUAAGCAGGCCUAUGCUAAAGCCAUGAAAUAUGUGUUUGGCUAUAAUCUGUGCACCGGCAUUGCACUCAUCAGUUCAUUGCAAUACAUGCUUAGCUUUUAUAAAUUAUUUUACCGUAUUCACUUUUAAUUUCAUACCAAGUCAAGUUCAUGGCCACAAAAACAAAUCAUAAAUAUCAUCUUAUAAUUUUAUCCAAAAUAAAGCAUGACUAAAAAAUGUAUCUUAAAGCCUUGACAAAAUAUUUCCUUUUUUACAAAUAUGGAGACUUUAUUAAGAUAUCAUCCAUCACAUACAACACAUCAUAUUAUAGACAUUAUUGGGAGGAUGGUCGCUAAGAUCGAGUUCCAUCAGAACACUCCCUUUGUGCUUACAUAUUUGAAUGAGUCACACCCAUCUCUUGUAUUUCAUCCUUAGGGCUCAAAUCCCUUUAUCAAGUCACAUCUUCAUGUGUAUUACUACCUUAAGUAGUUCAUACUCUAGUACAAUGAGGUACUAAAACACAUGGUAUUAAAAAAUUUGCUCUUUCAAAUUUGUUAGCACCUAUCACUUAAUGUCCAUACACUCCACAUAUAUUCAUAAAACAAUUAGCCAAAAUAUAACCAAAAUAUAUAAAAAUAAAAAGAUAUUGAAUCUUUUUCUCUAUAUGACCUUACCAUGUAAUGUGGGAUAGAUUUCAUACCUCAAAACCAUGUAGUGUGGUACCUGGGAUUCUUGAUUUAUUGCUUUUAUUUGUUUGGCAAGCUUUUGUGAUCUUGGAAGAGUAUGCAACUGAUGGAAAAUAUAUUGGUCAUGGGUUUCACAUGUUAUGAAAUAUCCAUCUUUUUGGCACUUGGAUUCUCUCUGUCUCACACCGUGAAGAAAUAAUCUUCUUCAUCUCAUGAUUUCAAAUAUUACAAUUUCGAUUCUCCCACUGAUCUUUAGCAUUUCUAUACUACCACUAAGUCUCUCUAUAUAUCCCUUGAUUUCGAAGCAACCAAUAUGCUUUUAUAGGUACUAUGUUCUUCUUUUUUCUGUUAUUCCCAAAUCGAACAUUCUUCAUAUAGAGUGUCUUAUCUUGCUAACUCUAUAUUUCAUCUCUCUGAAGUUGUACUAUAAUAAACCAUACUCAUGGCACACUAUAAAACCUUUUAAAAUGAGCCUAAAAAAGGCCUUCAUAAUUAGGAAUCCAAAGAUGUGUCUUAACAUUCUACAUCUUUUAAUUUACUGCAGCAUAGAACAUGAGCAUCCCACAAUAAAAGUAUGAUAUCACUCAACUUAUAAAAAUUUUCUCUCCUAAUUCUUUUGAGUACUAAAAUAGGCCCAAAAAAUAUAAAAUAGUGCUCAGUUCCAUCCCUAAAUUACAUCAUUUAGUGAGUCUACCUUUUAGUGACUUUUACAUCAUAAUGCAAUUUUUUCAGCAUAAAUCAAGUUGAGCAUCUCUCAAUAAAAAAAUUGUUUCUCUAAACCUCAAAGAAUUUCUUAAAUCUAUUGCAUUGAAAACUAGACUCAAAACCAAAUCAUAACAUCAUAAUGUGAAUCCUAAAUAAUACAUAUCUUCAGAGAAAUAAAUAAGGUGACAUGCACAUCACAAAAUAAAUCAUACUGCAGAAUUUUAGGAUAAACACUAUCUAAUAAAAUUGUAUUUUCUCUCUUCCCUCAUGGAGUUUUCCUUUGAAACAAAAUUUGUUUAAAAGUAGACACAUAAUAGUAGCAUAGAUAUUUCCACAAGCCUCAUAUCACUUUUGUUUAGUAAGCUUGCUAAAUAUAGUUAUUCAUGUCAGAAUGAAGAACAUACCAAAUUCUAGAAAAUUCAAGAAGACCUCUUUUUAAUCCAAAAUUUUUAUUCCUUUCUUCCCAUGGAUAUUUCUCUCUCAAAUAAACUAGAUUCAGAAUGGAAGUCUAAAAACUUAGUAUGAGCCUUAAAACAUUAUGUUAUGAAUACAAAUAAAAUCACGACUUCCAAGUUAUGGAAAUAGUUUUCGUUGCAAAAAACAGCACUUGCAUACCUUUCAAUAACUUGAUUAUAUCUUUCAAACCAUAAGGAAUUCUUGAUGAAACCUUUUUUGCUUGAAAGUAAACUCAAAUUUGUGAGUCAUAAUAAAAUUUCAGCAACAGAUAAAAUCAUAUGUUUGGUAAAAAAAAUUACAAAACUCAAUGGACAGUUCAUGGAUUUUGCAGGGUCAGAAUCGACACUCUUCAUUGAUGAUUCCAUAACUCUCAAUUCCCUUAAGAUCUCCCACUGAAAUUUUGUAGGUAGAACCUAAUCUCAAAUACACACAAUAUCAAUGAAGUAUGCAAUAGAAAAAUACAUCAUUAUCUUCUUCAUAUCACUGAUCCAAAAUAGCCCAAAAUAAUCAUUAUGCAGAGUGUCUUUUCGGUGUUUGAAUAUUUCAAUAAUUCUUUAACCGGGAUGUAUUACUUGGCCAUAAAGGCCAUUAGCUUUCUUAUAUCACAUUCUCAUGCUUGAUCUAGACUCAAUAAAGAGAAAAAAUAACUAAUGACAUCAAGUAUCAAUAGCUCUGAUGCCAAUGAAAGAAAUGUUAAUGCGAUCUUGUCGGGGAAUAUAUUUUUUUAUUUUUCUUCUUUUCACCCCUUGUCUUUUCUUUUUCUUUUCUUUUGGCAAAGAUCACUUACAAGUAGUCUUAUUAUAAUAAUUCUUGCUUCAAAGAAAAUAAAACUAACAAAUCUAAUAUCUUAAAAACCUUGAUGUCAUUAAACUAAAUUUCUUUAAACAAAAAAAAUAUCCACAAUUCUUAUGCUUGGGAAUAUAAAAAUAAUAUAAUUAAAUAUUACAAUAAACAAAAAGAUAGUGCCAGAAAUUACCUCAACCGGACUUAUUAUACCCCACAUCGAGUCACCACCAUCCAAUGGUGCGGGAUCAAUGAUCAACCUUCAAUCUCAAACAGGAAAGCAAGUUUAGGUCAAGCCACACCAAUAGAACAUGAACCCCUAUGGUCACAAACUCAAACCCUAAGUAAAUUCCUUUAGCAACCUAGUUCGAGAGAGAUAGAUUCUCUUUUUGUUAAACCUCAAAACCCUUAGUCAUAAAUCUAUAGUUGAGAGAUAGGAGAGAGAAGAACUCCAUAACCUAAACCCUUAGGUUCUUUUACAAUAUGGAAGAGAGAGAUCAAAGAUAAGAGCGUGGGGCGUGCCCCUUUUUUGGCUUUCAUGAGAGAGAGAAACUUUUCUUAAGAGAGAGAGAGAAAUUCUAAGUGGGAUAUGAGAGAUAAAUAUAGAAAUAGGUACAAUAGAUAAGAUUUAGAUAUUUUUUGGUAGAGACAAUCCUUUUUUAUAGGCUUUGAACAAGAUUAGGGUUUUUUAGGGCUUUCAUUGGCUUGCCUCUUCUUGUGAGAUUGAAUAUGAACCAUUGAUCGUGGGUGACUUGUGGGGUAAGAGAAUUGAGCCAUCAAUUCAAUAGAUGGGUCAUCAACAUUAUGAGAGAUUCAUGAAUCAUUAUCCCCAUUUCCUAAACUAUUUUUCCAUCCAUAAAAAUUAAAUAAAUUAAAUCUAAUCAACCAUAAAAUAGCACGAGUCAAGGCCACAUAAAUCUGAUGCGACCACAGCUCCUAUGGUACAUACUCGCACACGCAUACGUUUCACCCUGAAAGGUGGCUUACUUGCUUUCCCAAACGACCUAUCGAUAUUCAUGCCAUGUGAUGACACAUGGAUGCCAUUAUGGCUCCCAUCUCUAUAGGCUACCAUCACACACAAAGGUCACAGUGUCCUUCAGCUCACUCAUCCGGGCAUAUGCUCCGACCUCAUCAAGGGAUGACUCAUUAGAACCCUUCUCGGUUUGUUAUCUAUGUCCAUGUAAGAUGGGUUUUUCCCAACUGACUGGCCUAGAUCGUCAUGCACAGUUUAGUAUCAGUAAACAUCGUUUUUUUAGUAUGGUCCACAAGAGACCACACUCCCAUUAAGUUCAUGUUUCAUUAUAUUAUUUCAUUUUACAAGCACUCAUAAGGCCUUUAAAGGUCACAUAAACCCAACAGCUUAUGUCUCAAAAGCUUUUUGCUUACAUUUGAGAUCGUAUUUAAGCGAGAGAAAACAAAUUAAAUACAAGUUUUUUUUAUAAUCUUUAAAGAUCAGAAAAAAAAUUUAGACUUUUUUAUUUCUUGUGAAAUCAAAUAAUUUAAAAGCCGAAUGUUUGUGAGACUUGAUUAGUUUACAUUAUUUGUCUGUGAAAUCAAAUAAUGUAAACGGAUUUUUGGCAACCAAAGUUGACCGUUUGAUGCUAACUUUGAUUGGAUUUUAUAAUGGUUAAUGUAUAUAUAUAUAAUGAACAGUGAUUUAACCUACCUUCAUCACCAUCAAAACUUCAUCGUACGGUCAUAGUUGUCUAAUAGUAUUUCAAUUGUCAUUUUUUUUCUAUAAAUCAGAAUGAUCUGAAAUUUGGAGCAUCUAUUCAUCAAAAAUAGGUAAAUCUAGUAAAAAUAUAAAAAAAAUAAUUGUAGAAUAUAAAUUGACCAAUAUAAAAAAUAUUUACGUGGAUAUUUUGGUCCACUUAUAUUUUACGAAUUUUUCAUAUUUUUAUUAAGUGAGUCUCACUAAGAUGUACACAUACUCCAAAUUUCAAAUCAUUCUGAUUUGUAAAAAAAAAGAAAUGAAAAUUGAAACACUACCGGACAACCGUGACCGUCCGAUGAACUUUGGACGGUGAUGAGCAUAGGCACAAUCACUGUUCAUUUUUUUCUGUAAGCAUUGGGAAGACUUUUCUAUAUAUAUAUAUAUAUAUAUAUAUAUAUAUANNNNNNNNNNNNNNNNNNNNUUAUUUUUUUAUAUAUUUUUAUUAACUGCGGCUUGAUGAGAAAAACACACACCUAAAAUUUUAAGUGAUUUGGAUUUGUAUAAAAAAAAAAUUAAAAUUCUAAUAUUAUAGCACAUCCGUGAUUGUUAGAUCGGCCCAGAUUCAAUCUGGCCUGUUGGGCUUAUUUUUUUUUUGAGCCCACUGCUAUUGAUCUUCUUGAAUAGGAAACAAUUUGUUGUAUGGCAUCUACUUCAAGCUGUACAUCAACAGGUGUAGGUCUCUUAUAAUAUGGUAAAGCUGUGAUUGGUUUCCAUGUUUUACCAUAGACGAUUCUGUUUAUAUCAAUAGGUAUAGUAUCCAUAAAAGCAGAUUCUUGGUUUUGUAUGAUAUCUUAUAUAACUGGUUUCUCUUCUUGGAGCAUCAUUGUUUCAUGCACUGGUAUUUUUGUUUUUCCCUUAUCUGAAGAUUCUGGUAAAGGAACAGGUAUAUUGGGUAUUGGUAUAGAAAUACUGAGUUUAGGAGAAGGGAUUCCUUUGAUAUCUAAUUGGGCUAAUUUUGAUAUUAACUGAUCCAUUAUGGUUUUAUUAUUUUCGCCGAUAUGGAAUUUAUUUUUAUUGAGUUCUGGAGGUGAUUUAAACAAAACUACUUUAGGAAUUAUUCCCUUAGUUGGAGGAGUGACUAAUCUUUCUAUACGUUCUACUUGUUUUCCUAAAGAUUGCAUAUAUAAAUUAGUAUAAUUGUUUUGUUCCACGAUAUAAGGUAUUAGGUCUUGUUUUUUACCUAUUUCUUUAGGUAGGACUUUAUAUGGUGUUGCAAUAAUAUCAUAUAGAGAUUAUGGUGGUUCUCCUUUGCUUAAUAGGGUUAUGGCACCUUUGAGUAUUAUACUUUUUUCAGGAGGGUGUGUACUAGCAGUAGUAGUACCAUCCAUACUAAUAUAUGUUUUUUCUUCUAUGGUUUGAAGAGUAUUAAAUGGAGGAAUAUUUAUUUUAUAUUGAGUACAUAUUUCUUGUAACCACAUAAAAAAUCCUUUUGUUUCUCUUUCUUUUUUCAAAAAUUUAUUAUAUUUUUGAUGGAAUAAUUCUAUUAACCUAGGUUGGAAAGUUUGAAGAUACCAUUCCCUAAUACCUUGAUUUUCUGGAGAAAGAUAAUCGUUUUUGAGAUAAUUAAUAUCGAUUUUUCUCUUUUUUUCGUUCUAAUUUAGCAGCUAAAUAUGUUUCUAUAUAUGCAUCAUAUGCAUUAUUUUUAUUUAUAUCUUCUUCUAUAUCAUCUUCUAUUUGUAAUGUAAGUAUUUGAAAUUCAGCUAUGUCAGGUUCAGAUGUAUAUGUAGGAAUGACUACAUGAUCAGCUGUUCUUUUGACUCCUUGUAAUUGGAAGUCUGAAGAUGUUGUAGGUAUUGCAGGAGAAGGAAGUUUGAUAACAUCGGGAGUAGUAUGACAAGAUUUUCUAGCAGGUAUUAAUGGGUUUUUAUUUCUUUUCCUAUUAAUAUCUAUAUCAUCUUGUACUAUAGGUUGUUAGAAUUUUAUUUCAAUAAUUCCAUCCUGAUGUUCUAUUAUUUGGUUUGGAAUAUUAUUCACAGGUACUUCCCUGGGCUGGUUUGCAUUUUGCAAUGCCCAUGAUUGAGGUAGAAUAAUAUCGGACCAAGUAAUGGUUUUUGGUAUAAUCGUAUUUGAUUUUUCUAUAUUUGUUUGAAAUAAUAUAGUUUGAUCCUUUUUAUCAGCUUGCAUAAUAUUAGGACAGAGAGUAUUCAUUACUUUAUAAUACAUUCUGUGUACUAUUGCUAAAUUUUGAGAACUAUGUAUUAUAUUAAAUCCAUGACUUACCAAAUUAAAGGAGGAAAAGAUAGAACCUGGAAAUCAAAGUGAACUAUUGUGACCUGGUAUUCAUGAGCUAUGAGGUCAGGAUUGCGGUUGUCUAGCAGAGUGUCUCCGGAGAGAGAAACAGAGAAGGGAAGAGAUGAGAGCGGAAGAGAGCUUCUGAGAUCUGAGAAGAGAAGGGAGCUUGUUGUUCGACCUGCUAUUGUGAAGGCUGAAGGUGGCUUAUAUAGGCGAAGUGAGGAAGCUUAAGGACGAAGCAAAGAAAAAAGGAGAGGCAAGAUAUAAAGUAAACGGACAAGACAAAAGAGGAAAAAACAAAAACAAAAAGCAAAAGUAAAUAGUAUUUUUUGUCGGGAAUAGGACAAAAUGGCAUCUUGCAAUAGUACCUUUUUUGUCUUCUUGUGUCGGUAGGCUUUGUCAUUUUUCUUGAGUGGCUAUAGUCUUCUUUGUCUCAUAUGUCGGUGUGUACAGUGAUGGUAUCCUGGAAUAGUCUCUGUUUGUCGUUUGUGUCGAUGAAGAGCAUCUUGGUAUAGUCUUAUUUUGUCUUAUGUUGGUAGAGAGUAUGGUGAUAGUACUGAAUCAUGAUCGUUGAUUGAAUUCGUCUGGAACAUCUUCUUCUUCAGGGUCUAUUUCUUCCAGAGGAAAAUAUCUAUUGUUGUGUGUUGGUGAGGAUUGUACGGUUUCAUCUGACGAGACCGGUUUUCUUCCUGCUUCUGCAAAGAUUUCCUUCAUUUGUAUUUUCAAGGCUUCUUUGGAAGCAUUCGAGUUUGAUUGGAGCAUAUUUCAUAAAUAUGUGGGGAAGUCAAAGGAAGUAUUGACUGUAUUAUGUUCACUUGGACUAGGGUUAUAUGUGGGUUUUUGUAGAGGUAUUCUGUUGGGAACUAUUGUUGUGGGAUCCAUAUUAAAGAUGUCCCACCAUUUAACUGAGAUGGUUUUGCCCAAUCUUGGAAUAUACGUAUGGUCGGCUGUAUUAUUGACAGAGAUUGAGUAUUUUCAUUUCAUAAUCCAUGGGAGUUGGUAUAGUGCAACAAUGUAUAAGUGAUUGUCUGUAUUAUUAUCACUAUUAUUGAAUAUCACGAAUUGUUCCUGUACUUUUUGGGAAGCAGGAGGUAAAAUUGCAGUAGUUGAUCCCCAAACUAAAAACCAAUUUUUAAACCAGUUGGGGAAUCUUUCGAAAAUGGGUGAACGAAACUGAAUAUACCAACUAUGAGUAUUGUUUGGAUUUUGGUAAUAAAACAUUUUAUGCCAUGCUUCUAUGUAUUCGGCAUACUUGUAGUAUUUGUACGAAAAAUCAAGCUUGUGUAGUUUUUUGCCUUGAGCAGGAUUGCAACCCCACUCAUCAUAAGCAAGUAAUUUUUUGAUCUGGAUUUUUUAAUAUGCAAUUACUCUAGUAUUUUGUUGGUAAUAAUGGACAACAUAUAUGGAUCUUGUUUCCAUGAAGAUUGCUUCAUAGUACUCUCGAGUUUUGACUCCAUUGGUUGGAUUCAAAUGGUUUAUCAGGUAUAGUGGAGCAAGUUUGAUAGGGUCCAUAUUCGUAUGGUGAUCAUCGAUGGUAAUAUCCAUAAGAUAUGCUCUUUCAAUAUAUGCAGAUCUAAGAACAUUAGUCCUCUGCUUUGGCUUGGAUUGCGCUGGAGUAUAGGCGGGAGUGGAUGUAUUAGUCUCUGGGUAAGUGAUUUGGUGAAUAGGAGAAAUAGAAGGUGAAAGGGUUGCCAAAGGCGGGUUCUCACCUUCAAAUAGUAUUAUGGUCAGAGGGCGUUUCUCAUUGCGAGAAGAAUUGCUACGAGAGCCCAUGAGAGUAGGUGGAUUGGACAUAGUAUUAUUUUUAUUAGCUGCAAAGAGCUGUAGUGCAUGUGAUAGUGGUGAAUCGUCGUCGUUGGCGUCAGUGUUGCCCCCCUGCAAAAAUUCACGGGUGAGAAAAUCAGGAAAAGAAUUAGAAGACCCGUGAAGGUGUUCAAUAGUAAAAUCAAAGGCAGACAAGAUAGCCUGCCAGUGAGCAAACAAAUCAUUUUUGAAUCAUAAUUUUGUCUAUCAUAUUUACCGAAGGAAUUGUUAUUAGAAGUGGUUUAACAUCUGAGGUUUCUGGUAUAUCUUCCGGUGGAUCAGGACUAUAUGUUGUAAUAAGAUGAUUGAAUUCUAAUUCAUUUAUAUCUGACUCUUGAUGAGAUAAAUUUUGUAAUUCUAAAGUUUUAAUUAUAUUUUUUAAUUGAUGAACCUCUUUUUUUACUUCUUUAAUCUCAUGUUUUAAUUCUGAAAUAAAAGGUUCUUUUUUGUUUGUAAUAUGUUGCUCACUCACUCUUUUCAUAAUAGAGGCAAAAUUGUAUUCAUCAGAUAUUUUCCUCAUAUGAGGUAUUUUUGCUUUUGUUUUAGUUAAAGUAAUAAAUUUGGUGAUUACAGAUCUUUUUUCUUCUGGAUCUGUAAUUUUCUCAAUAAGGUCUAAGAUCAAAUUAUCUUCUUGGGUAAGCAUAUGAAGAUUAUGUAUAGGUAUAGGGCAAGUGCAAUUAGAUUCUUUCAUUGGAUGAGAUGAUUAUGUAUCUGUAGAAGAAUCUGAAGAAUCAGAUGAUUCUGUCCAUAAAAGGUCAUCAUCUUGAAUAUUUCCUAUAUUUGAUUCAGUAGAAUCUGAAGAUAUAGAAUCAUGAUUUAUUAUAUUAUAUAAUUUUGAUUUGAUUGAUUCAUCUAAGUGUAAUGAUUCUAUUUUCUUUUUUAAUUUUCAUUGGUGUUUGUAAUGACCAACUUUUCCACAUUUAUAACAUAUUGGAAGUUUCCUUUUAUUUUUAGUAUUUGGAGAAAAUUUGUUUAUAAAUUUUUGUUUAGACUUUUUAUAUUGUUUAUGUACUUUAUUGGAUUUAGAUUUAUAUUUGUCUUUUUCGUAUUAUUUCUUUUUCUUAUAUAAUUUUUCAGGUUUAUUUUUUCUAUCUAAAUGGUAUCCAAAUUGUUCACUGAAAUCACCAAGUUCUUUACGCUUGGUAAUUUGCUGUUUAUCUAACUGCCUUUUGAGUUUAAGAUCAGUACAUUAAGCUAAUCCUUCAACACAUAUUUCUGCUGAUAGUUCUCCAAGUGUAUAUGUCGAGUAUACUAUAACUCCAUUAUGUUUCUUUUUCAGUCUAUCUUUGACUUUAUCUGCAAAUAAGUAUGGUAGACCAGCAAUAAAUUUUUCUUUCCAAUGGUCUAAUUGACAAUCUUCUCGUAUUAGUAAUCUGGAGAAAAAGACAUCCUUGUACCAUUUAUAAUGGGAUAAUGUAGGACAACGAAGAUUGGAUAGCAGAUCUUCUGAUCUUACUGCCAAUAGGGCAGUACUUCCUACAAAAUGUAGUGUAAUAGUCUAUAUUAACGUGUUUACUGCAUCACUUUCAGUAUAAAUUAUUUUUUGAUUUUGUUCAUUUAUGGCUGUCCAUUGUCUUGUAUUGGUAAGGAUUCUAUUGGUGCUCCAAUCAAACCCAAAUGCUUCCAAAGAAACCUUGGAACAACAAAUGAAGGAAAUCUUUGCAAAAGCACGAAGAAAACCGAUCUCGUCAGAUGAAACCAUACAAUCCUCACCAACACACAACAAUAGAUAUUUUCCUCUGGAAGAAACAGACCCUGAAGAAGAAGAUGAUCCAGACGAAUUCAGUCAACGACCAUGAUUCAGUACUGUCACCAUACUCUCUACCAACAUAAGACAAAAUAAGACUAUACCAAGAUGCUCUUCACCGACACAAACGAAAAACAGAGACUAUUCCAGGAUACCAUCACUGUACACACCGACAUAUGAGACAAAAAAGACUAUAGCUACUCAAGAAAAACGACAAAGCCUACCGACACAAAAAGACAAAAAAGGUACAAUUGCAAGAUACCAUUUUGUCCUAUUCCCGACAAAAAAUACUAUUUGCUUUUGCUUUUUGUUUUUUCCUCUUUUGUCUUGUUCGUUUACUUUAUGUCUUGCCUCCUCUUUCUGUCCCAUCAAGGUCAUCUCCCUUUUUGUUUGCUUCGUCCUUAAGCUUCCUCACUUCGCCUAUAUAAGCCACCUUCGGCCUUCACAAUAGCAGGUCGAACAACAAGCUCCCUUCUCUUCUCAGAUCUCAGAAGCUCUCUUCCUCUCUCAUCUCUUCCCUUCUCUGCUUCUCUCUCCGGAGACACUCUGCUAGACAACAGCAAUCCUGACCUCAUAGCUCAUGAAUACCAGGUCACAAUAGUUCACUUUGAUUUCCAGGUUCUAUCUUUUCCUCCUUUAAUUUGAAAAGUCAUGAAUUUAAUAUGAUACAUGGUUUUCAAAAUUUAGUAAUAGUAUACAGAAUGUAUUAUAAAGUAAUGAAUACUCUCUAUCCAAAUAUUAUGCAAGCUGAUAAAAAGGAUCAAACUAUAUUAUUUCAAACAAAUAUAGAAAAAUCAAAUACGAUUAUACCAAAAACCAUUACUUGGUCCGAUAUUAUUCUACCUCAAUCAUGGGCAUUGCAAAAUGCAAACCAGCCCAAGGAAGUACCUGUGAAUAAUAUUCCAAACCAAAUAAUAGAACAUCAGGAUGGAAAUAUUGAAAUAAAAUUCCAACAGCCUAUAAUACAGGAUGAUAUAGAUAUUAAUAGGAAAAGAAAUAAAAACCCAUUAAUACCUGCUAGAAAAUCUUGUCAUACUACUCCCGAUGUUAUCAUACUUCCUUCUCCUACAAUACCUACAACAUCUUCAGACUUCCAAUUACAAGGAGUCAAAAGAACAGCUGAUCAUGUAGUCAUUCCUACAUAUACAUCUGAACCUGACAUAGCUGAAUUUCAAAUACUUACAUUACAAAUAGAAGAUGAUAUAGAAAAAGAUAUAAAUAAAAAAGAAUCAUUACACUUAGAUGAAUCAAUCAAAUCAAAAUUAUAUAAUAUAAUAAAUUAUGAUUCUAUAUCUUCAGAUUCUACUGAAUCAAAUAUAAGACAUAUUCAAGAUGAUGACCUUUUAUUGACAGAAUCAUCUGAUUCUUCAGAUUCUUCUACAGAUACAAAAUCAUCUCAUCCAAUGGAAGAAUCUAAUUGCACUUGCCCUAUACCUACACAUAAUGUUCAUAUGCUUACCCAAGAAGAUAAUUUGAUCUUAUACCUUAUUGAGAAAAUUACAGAUCCAGAAGAAAAAGGAUCUGUAAUCACCAAAUUUAUUACUUUAAUUAAAACAAAAGCAAAAAUACCUCCUAUGAGUAAAACACCUGAUGAAUACAAUUUUGCCUCUAUUAUGAAAAGAGUGAGUGAACAACAUAUUACAAACCAAAAAGAACCUUCUAUUUCAGAAUUAAAACAUGAGAUUAAAGAAGUAAAAAAAGAGGUUCAUGAAUUAAAAAAUAGAAUUAAAUAUCUAGAAUUACAAAAUUUAUCUCAUCAAGAGUCAGAUACAGAUGAAUUAGAAUUCAAUCAUCUUAUUACAAUCUAUAGUCCUGAUCCACCGGAAGAUAUACCAGAAACCUCAGAUGCUAAACCACUUCUAAUAACAAUUCCUUCAGUAAAUCUGAUAGACAAAAUUAUAAUUCAAAAAUGGUUUGUUCAAGUCACUAUAAUAGUAGUAGAAGAUUAUCGCUUUCAAACAUCAGCUUUAAUAGACUCAGGUACUGGCCUUAAUUGCAUCUAUGAAGGAUUAGUACCGUCAAAAUAUUUUGACAAAACAACUCAGAUCCUAAACACUGCAGAUGACAGUAGACUCUUUAUCAAUUAUAAAUUAUCCAAUGCUUCUAUUUGUAGUAAUCACCAAUGUAUCAAUAUACCAUUUAUUAUGGUCAAAGGACUAAGCCAAGCGGUUUUACUUGGAGUCCCAUUUCUUACAAUACUAUAUCCCUUAUCAAUCGAUCAAACAAGAAUAUCUUCGAAUUAUCAAAAUGUACCAAUACAUUUUGAUUUUAUUCAUAAACCGAAAUUAAAGGGAAUCAAUAACGUCAAAAAUCAAUUACACAAUAAAAAAAAAUUUCUUUGUACCUUAAAACAAGAAAUUAAAUAUAAAUAUGUAGAAGAAUAAAUACAUAAUCCUUUGAUCCAACAAAAGAUUCAAUCAAUUCAACAACAAAUCGAAACCUCUAUCUGUAGUGAGCAUCCUAAUGUUUUUUGGGAAAGGAAAAAGCAUAGUAUUAGGCUACCAUAUGAACCGGGAUUUGAUGAAAAACAAGUACCUACGAAAGCUAGACCAAUACAAAUGAAUAGUACUUUAGUAGACAUAUGUAGGAAAGAAAUUACUGAUCUCCAAACAAAAAAGUUAGUAUGACCAAGCGCAUUACCAUGGAGUUAUGCUGCUUUCUAUGUCAAUAAAAAUGUUGAAAAGAAACGAGGAGUUCCUCGAUUAGUCAUUAAUUAUAAACCCCUCAAUAAAGUAUUACAACGGAUUAGAUAUCCUAUCCCCAAUAAAAAGGAUUUAUUAGAUAGAGUAGCCAAUGCUUGCAUCUUUUCCAAAUUUGAUAUGAAAUCAGGAUAUUGGCAAAUACAAAUUCAAGAAAAAGAUAAAUAUAAAACAGCAUUUAAUGUACCAUUUGGACAAUAUAAAUGGAAUGUAAUGCCAUUUGGCAUAAAAAAUGCUCCUUCAGAAUUUCAGAAAAUAAUGAAUGAUGCUUAUUAUCAACUCAUGAUAGUUUAUAUUGAUGAUGUCUUAAUCUUUUCUGAAUCUAUAGAUGAACAUAUUAAACAAAUUAAUACUUUUAUUCAUGCAGUUCAGAAUGCUGGAUUAGUUGUAUCAGCAAGAAAGAUUACUUUAUUCGAAACCAAUAUUAGGUUUCUAGGAUACAAUAUUCAUCAUGGCACUAUUAUUCUUAUAGAUCGAUCCAUACAAUUUGCUGAUAAAUUCCCUGAACAAAUACUAGAUAAGAAAGAACUUCAAAGGUUCCUAGGAUGUUUAAAUUAUGUUAGUAGUUUUUAUCCUAAUCUGGCUAUAGACGCUAAGCCUUUACAUAAUAGAUUAAAAAAGAAUCCUUCACCUUGGACAGAUAUUCAUACUAAAGCAGUUCAACUAAUCAAACAAAAGGUUAAAACCCUAGUUUGCCUAUCUCUUCCUCAUCCUACUGCUUUCAAAAUAAUUGAAUGUGACGCAUCCGAAUUGGGAUUGGGCGGUAUUCUCAAACAACGGAUUGAUGGUCAUGAACAACUACUCAGGUAUACCUCUAAAGCUUGGAAUCCAACCCAAAAAAACUAUUCUAUUGUAAAAAAAGAAUUAGUAGCCAUAGUACAUUGUGUAACGAAAUUUCAAAGUGAUAUUCUCAAUCAACAAUUCCUUAUUCGAACUGAUUGCAAAGCCGCUAAAGAUAUUCUGCAAAAAGAUGUUCAAAAUGUUGCCAAACAAAUAUUUGCUCGCAGGCAGGCUAUCCUGUCCGCCUUUGAUUUUACUAUUGAACACCUUCCCGGGUCUUCUAAUUCUCUUCCUGAUUUUCUCACCCGUAAAUUUUUGAAGGGGGCAACACUGACGCCAACGACGACGAUUCACCACUAUCACUUGCACUACAGCUCUUUGUAGCUAAUAAAAAUAAUACUCUGUCCAAUCCACCUACUCUCAUGGGCUCUUGUAGCAAUUCUUCUCGCAAUGAGAAACGCCCUCUGACCAUAAUACCAUUUGAAGGUGAGAACCCGCCUUUGGCAACCCCUUCACCUUCUAUUUAUCCUAUUCACCAAAUCACUUACCCAGAGACCAAUACAUCCACUCCUGCCUAUACUCCAGUGCAAUCAAAGCCAAACCAGAAGACUAAUGUUCCUAGAUCUGCAUAUAUUGAAAUAGCAUUUCUUAUGGAUAUUACCAUCGAUGAUCACCAUACGAAUAUGGACCCUAUCAAACUUUCUCCACUAUACCUGAUAAACCAUUUGAAUCCAACCAUUGGAGUCAAAACUCGAGAGUACUAUGAAGCAAUCCUCUUGGAAACAAGAUCCAUAUCUGUUGUCCAUUAUUACCAACAGAAUAUUAGAGUAAAUGCAUAUUCAAAAAUCCAGAUCAAAAAAUUACUUUCUUAUGAUGAGUGGGGUUGUAAUCCUGCUCAAGGCAAAAAACUACACAAUCUUAAUUUUUCGUACAAAUACUACAAGUAUGCCAAAUACAUAGAAGCAUGGCAUAAAAUUUUUUAUUACCAAAAUCCAAAAAUUACUCAUAGUUGGUAUAUUCAGUUUCGUUUACCCAUUUUCGAAAGAUUCCCCAACUGGUUUAAAAAUUGGUUUUUAGUUUGGGGAUCAACUACUACAAUUUUACAUCCUGCUUUUCAAAAAGUUCAGAAACAAUUUGUGAUAUUCAACAAUAGUGAUAAUAAUACAGACAAUCACUUAUACUUUGUUGCACUAUACCAACUCCCAUGGAUUAUGAAAUGGGAAUACUCAAUCUCUGUCAAUAAUACAGCCGACCAUACCUAUAUUCCAAGACUGGGCAAAACCAUCUCAGUUAAAUGGUGGGACAUCUUUAAUAUGGAUCUCAGAACCAUCAAUAUAUAAUGUUUUUACUGUAGAUCCCGGCACGUUUUGAUCUAAGAGCCAACAGUAAAAAUAAUAACCUGUUAAGAGUUAAAGGUUACAAUAUUACUGUAGAAACCUAUUUAAAUUUACAUCUAAGAAAGUUGGUCCGAGAGUUAAGGCAAGAGACGAAAAGAAAAGUCUAGGCAAAGUACUCGCCAAGGCCAGGAAGAGCCGCUUAAGGGAACACGCUGGACCCUUGAUCGUCCAGAUUGUCAUUAUCCGCAACCUACAGAUAACAAAUUUAAUUAGGAAUCUUAAAAGUAAUAUUGCAACUCAAUCUCAAACCUUAAGAGUUAAAAAUAAAGAGGAGAUUAUCAUAAAUGACAUUGAAAAUCAUAUCCAAAAUUGGAAUAUUCCUAAAGUACCAAUAAAAGAUAUUUAUCAAAAAGGAUCAUUCAAAUUCAAAUUAGGUUAUGCUAUAAAAAUAGUAGAAGAAAGUCUGUCUGUAACUCAAAACCAGAAAGACUAUCAAUUAUUUCCAAGAAAAAUUAUUGAAAAACAUAAAGAAAAUAAUUAUAAAUAUUUGCACAUUGGAUUAAUCCAAAUAGCCAUUAAACCUUUAACCCGUCUAGGGCUAAACACUUCAGUGCUUAUAUUCCUAAGAGAUACAAGACACAAUAAGUUCUCAGAUUCACUCCUAGGCAUGGUAGAAUCCAGCCUAUGUAGUGGACCCAUAUAUUUUAAUUGCUUUCCAAAUUUUUAUGUUUCUUUAACAGACCCAAAUAUAUUAGAUAUAUUAACUAUAAAUUUGACGACUCAUGGAUUUAAUAUGAUACAUGGUUCUCAAAAUUUAGCAAUAGUAUACAUAAUGUAUUAUAAAGUAAUGAAUACUCUCUGUCCUAAUAUUAUGCAAGCUGAUAAAAAGGAUCAAACUAUAUUAUUUCAAACAAAUAUAGAAAAAUCAAAUACGAUUAUACCAAAAACCAUUACUUGGUCCAAUAUUAUUCUACCUCAAUCAUGGGCAUUGAAAAAAGCAAACCAGCCCAGGGAAGUACCUGUGAAUAAUAUUUCAAACCAAAUAAUAGAACAUCAGGAUGGAAAUAUUGAAAUAAAAUUCCAACAGCCUAUAGUACAGGAUGAUAUAGAUAUUAAUAGGAAAAGAAAUAAAAACCCAUUAAUACCUGCUAGAAAAUCUUGUCAUACUACUUCCGAUGUUAUCAUACUUUCUUCUCCUACAAUACCUACAACAUCUUCAGACUUCCAAUUACAAGGAGUCAAAAGAACAGCUGAUCAUGUAGUCAUUCCUACAUAUACAUCUGAACCUGACAUAGCUGAAUUUCAAAUACUUAUAUUACAAAUAGAAGAUGAUAUAGAAGAAGAUAUAAAUAAAAAUAAUGCAUAUGAUGCAUAUAUAGAAACAUAUUAGCUGCUAAAUUAGAACGAAAAAAGAGAAAAAUCGAUAUUUAAUUAUCUCAAAAACGAUUAUCUUUCUUCAGAAAAUCAAGGUAUUAGGGAAUGGUAUCUUCAAACUUUCCAACCUAGGUCAAUAGAAUUAUUCCAUCAAAAAUAUAAUAAAUGUUUGAAAAAAGAAAGAGAAACAAAAGGAUUUUUUAUAUGGUUACAAGAAAUAUGUAGUCAAUAUAAAAUAAACAUUUCUCCAUUUAAUACUCUUCAAACCAUAGAAGAAAAAACAUAUAUUAGUACGGAUGGUACUACUACUGCUAGUACACACCUUCCUGAAAAAAGUAUAAUACUCAAAGGUGCCAAAACCUCAUUAAGCAAAGGAGAACCACCACAAUCUCUAUACGAUAUUAUUGCAACACCAUAUAAAGUCCUACCUAAAGAAAUAGGUAAAAAACAAGACCUAAUACCUUAUAUCGUGGAACAAAACAAUUAUACUAAUUUAUAUAUGCAAUCUUUAGGAAAACAAGCAGAACGUUUAGAAAGAUUAGUCACUCCUCAAACUAAGGGAAUAACUCCUAAAGCAGUUUUGUUUAAAUCACCUCCAGAACUCAAUAAAAAUAAAUUCCAUAUCGGCGAAAAUAAUAAAACCUUAAUGGAUCAGUUAAUAUCUUAGCCCAAUUAGAUAUCAAAGGAAUCCCUUCUCCUAAACUCAGUAUUCCUAUACCAAUACCCAAUAUAUCUGUUCUUUUACCAGAAUCUUAAGAUAAGGGAAAAACAAAAAUACCAGAGCAUGAAACAAUGAUGCUCCAAGAAGAGGAACCAGUUAUAGAAGAUACCAUACAAAACCAAGAAUCUGCUUUUAUGGAUACUACACCUAUUGAUAUAAAAAGAAUCGCCUAUGGUAAAACAUGGAAACCAAUCACAGCUUUACCAUAUUAUAAGAGACCUACACCUGUUGAUGUACAGCUUGAAGAAGAUGCUAUACAACAAGUUGUUUCCUAUUCAAGAAGAUCAAUAGCAGUGGGCUAACAAAAAAAAAUGAGCCCAAUAGGCCAGAUUGAAUCUGGGUCGAUCUGACGGAUGUCUUAUAAUAUUUUAAUUUAAAUUUUUUUUUUAUACAAAUCCAAAUCACUUAAAAUUUUAGGCGUGUGUUUUUCUCAUCAAGCCGCACUUAAUAAAAAUAUAUAAAAAAAUAAUCCACAAAACAAAAAUUGACUAAAAUACCCCCUAAACAAUAUAGGGGUAUUUUGGUCAAUGUUUUCCAUGUAAAAUAUGUUUUUGAUCUUUUUCGAAGAUUCAUCUAUUUUUUAUUCACAUCCGCGUAAACUUUCAAGUGAUUUAUAUUUGUAGAAAAAAAUAAAAUUCAAACACUAUCAGGCAUUCGUGAUUGUCAGAUCAGCUUAUAUUCAAUCUGGGCCCUUGGGGUCAGUUUUACUUGUGAGCCCACUGGUUCACAGAAUCAUUUUCUAUAUAUAUAUAUAUAUAUAUAUAUAUAUAUACAACGGUUAUAUCAUAGGAUAAUAGAAAGACACUUCUAGAAAACCAUGUUUGUAGUAUUUGUAUGACCCCAAAUUUUGUACACACACUCUCAUCAUCUCAAUAAUCAAUCCCCCACAAAAAAAGUUCAAUUUGAACCCCUAGAUAUGGUAAAAAUGAGUCCCCUCCAAAAACAAAACUAGACCAUUCAAUUUGUGAAUUUCAAGAUCUUAGGUUUUAUGACCUCAAAAUCUUUUUUUUCUUUUUUAACAUUGUUCAUCUAAUGAUAAUAAAGCCAUCCAAAAAAUUUGAAAUGAAAAAAUUCUUCUAAGGCCUAGAUCUAAGCAUCUUACCAAAAUGAACGGCCUAUGUUAAUUGGGCUAAAUAAAUACUUUCUGUGUGUGUUUUCAAAUUUUCCUUUUUUGUGAUUGUUCAUUACUAUGAAAAGAGUGUAUAUUUCAAAAUUUGGAUUAAACANNNNNNNNNNNNNNNNNNNNNNNNNNNNNNNNNNNNNNNNNNNNNNNNNNNNNNNNNNNNNNNNNNNNNNNNNNNNNNNNNNNNNNNNNNNNNNNNNNNNNNNNNNNNNNNNNNNNNNNNNNNNNNNNNNNNNNNNNNNNNNNNNNNNNNNNNNNNNNNNNNNNNNNNNNNNNNNNNNNNNNNNNNNNNNNNNNNNNNNNNNNNNNNNNNNNNNNNNNNNNNNNNNNNNNNNNNNNNNNNNNNNNNNNNNNNNNNNNNNNNNNNNNNNNNNNNNNNNNNNNNNNNNNNNNNNNNNNNNNNNNNNNNNNNNNNNNNNNNNNNNNNNNNNNNNNNNNNNNNNNNNNNNNNNNNNNNNNNNNNNNNNNNNNNNNNNNNNNNNNNNNNNNNNNNNNNNNNNNNNNNNNNNNNNNNNNNNNNNNNNNNNNNNNNNNNNNNNNNNNNNNNNNNNNNNNNNNNNNNNNNNNNNNNNNNNNNNNNNNNNNNNNNNNNNNNNNNNNNNNNNNNNNNNNNNNNNNNNNNNNNNNNNNNNNNNNNNNNNNNNNNNNNNNNNNNNNNNNNNNNNNNNNNNNNNNNNNNNNNNNNNNNNNNNNNNNNNNNNNNNNNNNNNNNNNNNNNNNNNNNNNNNNNNNNNNNNNNNNNNNNNNNNNNNNNNNNNNNNNNNNNNNNNNNNNNNNNNNNNNNNNNNNNNNNNNNNNNNNNNNNNNNNNNNNNNNNNNNNNNNNNNNNNNNNNNNNNNNNNNNNNNNNNNNNNNNNNNNNNNNNNNNNNNNNNNNNNNNNNNNNNNNNNNNNNNNNNNNNNNNNNNNNNNNNNNNNNNNNNNNNNNNNNNNNNNNNNNNNNNNNNNNNNNNNNNNNNNNNNNNNNNNNNNNNNNNNNNNNNNNNNNNNNNNNNNNNNNNNNNNNNNNNNNNNNNNNNNNNNNNNNNNNNNNNNNNNNNNNNNNNNNNNNNNNNNNNNNNNNNNNNNNNNNNNNNNNNNNNNNNNNNNNNNNNNNNNNNNNNNNNNNNNNNNNNNNNNNNNNNNNNNNNNNNNNNNNNNNNNNNNNNNNNNNNNNGUAUCAUAGUGUUAUGCAACCACACAUUUAGAAAACCAUGUUUGUGGUAAUUAUAUGAUUCAAAAUUUUGUACACACACUCUUUUCAUCUCAAUAAUCAAUAAAAAAAAAAAAACAUUUCUAUUCGAACCCUAGAUAUGGUCUAAAUGAGUUCCCUCCAAUAAUAAAUCUAGACCAUUCAUUUGAUGAAUUUCUAAAUCUUAGCCUUUACAAAUUUCUAAAUCAAAAUUAUAUAAUAUAAUAAAUUAUGAUUCUAUAUCUUCAGAUUCUCCUGAAUCAAAUAUAGGACAUAUUCAAGAUGAUGACCUUUUAUAGACAGAAUCAUCUGAUUCUUCUAUAGAUAUAGAAUCAUCUCAUCCAAUGGAAGAAUCUAAUUGCACUUGCCCUAUACCUACACAUAAUUUUCAUAUGCUUACCCAAUAAGAUAAUUUGAUCUUAGACCUUAUUGAGAAAAUUACAGAUCCAGAAGAAAAAAGAUCUGUAAUCACCAAAUUUAUUACUUUAACUAAAACAAAAGCAAAAAUACCUCCUAUGAGUAAAACACCUGAUGAAUACAAUUUUGCCUCUAUUAUGAAAAGAGUGAGUGAACAACGUAUUACAAACAAAAAGAACCUUCUAUUUCAGAAUUAAAACAUGAUAUUAAAGAAGUCCAAAAAGAGGUUCAUCAAUUAAAAAAUAGAAUUUAAACUCUAGAAUUACAAAAUUUAUCUCAUCAAGAGUCAGAUACGGAUGAAUUAGAAUUCAAUCAUCUUAUUACAACAUAUAGUCCUGAUCCACUGGAAGAUAUACAAGAAACCUCAGAUGCUAAACCACUUCUAAUAACAAUUCCUUCGGUAAAUCUGAUAGACAAAAUUAUGAUUCAAAGAUGGUUUGUUCAAGUCACUAUAAUAGUAGCAGAAGAUUUUCGCUUUCCAACAUCAGCUUUAAUAGACUCGGGUGCUGACCUUUAUUGCAUCAAUGAAGGAUUAGUACCGUCAAAAUAUUUUGACAAAACAACUCAGAUCCAAAACAUUGCAGAUGGCAGUAGACUCUUUAUCAAUUAUAAAUUACCCAAUGUUUCUGUUUGUAAUAAUCACCAAUGUAUCAAUACACCAUUUAUUAUGGUCAAAGGACAAGCGGUUAUACUGGGAGUCCCAUUUCUUACAAUACUAUAUCGCUUAUCAAUCGAUCAAACAGGAAUAUCUUCGAAUUAUCAAAAUGUACCAAUACAUUUUGAUUUUAUUCAUAAACCGAAAUUAAAGGAAAUCAAUAACGUCAAAAGUAAUUUACACAAUAAAGAAAAAUUUCUUUGUACCUUAAAACAAGAAAUUAAAUAUAAAUAUGUAGAAGAACAAAUACAAAAUCUUUUGAUCCAACAAAAGAUUCAAUCAAUUCAACAACAAAUCCAAACCUCUAUCUGUAGUGAGCAUCCCAAUGCUUUUUGGGAAAGGAAAAAACAUAAUAUUAGUCUAUCAUAUGAACUAGGAUUUGAUGAAAAACAAAUACCUACGAAUAAAAAUGAAUACUACUUUAGUAGACAUGUGUAGGUAAGAAAUUGCUGAUCUCGAAACAAAAAAGUUAAUAAGACCAAGCGCAUCACCAUGGAGUUGUGCAGCUUUCUAUGUCAAUAAAAAUGCUGAAAAUGAACGAGGGGUUCCUCGAUUAGUCAUUAAUUAUAAACCCCUCAAUAAAGUAUUACAAUAGAUUAAAUAUCCUAUCCCCAAUAAAAAGGAUUUAUUAGAUAGAGUAGCCAAUAUUUGUAUCUUUUCCAAAUUUGAUAUAAAAUAAGGAUAUUGGCAAAUACAAAUUCAAAAAAAAGAUAAAUGUAAAACAACAUUUAAUGUACAUUUUGGACAAUAUGAAUGUAAGGUAAUGUCAUUUGGCCUAAAAAAUGCUCCAUCAGAAUUUCAGAACAUAAUGAAUGAUGUCUUUAAUGCUUAUUACCAAUUCAUGAUAGUUUAUAUUGAUGAUGUCUUAAUCUUUUCUGAAUCUAUUGAUGAACAUAUUAAACAUAUUAAUACUUUUAUUCAUGCAGUCCAGAAUGCUGGAUUAGUUGUAUCGGUAAGAAAGAUUACUUUAUUCAAAACCAAUAUUAGGUUUCUAGGACACAAUAUUCAUCAUGGCACUAUUAUUCCUAUAGAUCGAUCCAUACAAUUUGCUAAUAAAUUCCCUGAUCAAAUACUAGAUAAGAAAGAACUUCAAAGGUUCUUAGGAUGUUUAAAUUAUGUUAGUAGUUUUUAUCCUAAUCUGGCUAUAGACGCUAAGCCUUUACAAAAUAGAUUAAAAAAGAAUCCUUCACCUUAGACGGAUAUUCAUAUUAAAGCAGUUCAACUAAUCAAACAAAAGGUUAAAACCCUAGUUUGCCUAUCUCUUCCUCAACCUACUGCUUUCAAAAUAAUUGAAUGUGACGCAUCCAAAUUGGGAUUGGGCGGUAUUCUCAAACAACGCAUUGAUGGUCAUGAACAACUACUCAGGUAUACCUCUAAAGCUUGAAAUCCAACCCAACAAAACUAUUCUAGAGUCAAAAAAGAAUUACUUGCCAUAGUCCAUUGUGUUACGAAAUUUGAAAGUGAUAUUCUCAAUCAACAAUUCCUUAUUCGAACUGAUUGCAAAGCCGCUAAAGAUAUUCUGCAAAAAGAUGUUCAAAAUCUUGUUGCCAAACAAAUAUUUGCUCUAUAGCAGGCUAUCCUGUCCGCCUUUGAUUUUACUAUUGAACACCUUCUCGGGUCUUCUAAUUCUCUUCCUGAUUUUCUCACCCGUGAAUUUUUGCAGGGGGGGCAACACUGACGCCAACGACGACGAUUCACCACUAUCACUUGCACUACAGCUCUUUGCAGCUAAUAAAAAUAAUACUCUGUCCAAUUCACCUACUCUCAUGGGCUCUCGUAGCAAUUCUUCUCGCAAUGAGAAACGCCCUCUGACCAUAAUACCAUUUGAAGGUGAGAACCCGCCUUUGGCAACCUUUUCACCUUCUAUUUCUCUUAUUCACCAAAUCACUUACCCAGAGACCAAUACAUCCACUCCCGCCUAUACUCCAGUGCAAUCAAAGCCAAACUAGAGGACUAAUGUUCCUAGAUCUGCAUAAAUUGAAAGAGAAUUUCCUAUGGAUAUUACCAUCGAUGAUCACCAUACGAAUAUGGACCCUAUCAAACUUUCUCCACUAUACCUGAUAAACCAUUUGAAUCCAACCAAUGGAGUCAAAACUCGAGAGUACUAUGAAGCAAUCCUCAUGGAAACAAGAUCCAUAUCUGUUGUCCAUUAUUACCAACAAAAUACUAGAGUAAUUGCAUAUUUACAAAUCCAUAUCAAAAAAUUACUUUCUUAUGAUGAGUGGGGUUGCAAUCCUGCUCAAGGCAAAAAACCACACAAUCCUGAUUUUUCGUACAAAUACUACAAGUAUGCCGAAUACAUAGAAGCAUAGCAUAAAAUGUUUUAUUACCAAAAUCCAAACAAUACUCAUAGUUGGUAUAUUCAGUUUCGUUUACCCAUUUUCGAAAGAUUCCCCAACUGGUUUAAAAAUAAGUUUUUAGUUUGGGGAUCAACUACUGCAAUUUUACCUCCUGCUUUCCAAAAAGUACAGGAACAAUUCGUGAUAUUCAAUAAUAGUGAUAAUAAUACAGACAAUCACUUAUACUUGGUUGCACUAUACCAACUCCCAUGGAUUAUGAAAUGGGAAUACUCAAUCUCUGUCAAUAAUACAGCCGACCAUACCUAUAUUCCAAGACUGGGCAAAACCAUCUCAGUUAAAUGGUGGGACAUCUUUAAUAUGGAUUCCACAACCAUAGUUUCCAAAAGAAUACCUCAACAAAAACCAAUAUAUAACCCAAGUCCAAGUGAACAUAAUACAGCCAAUACUUCCUUUGACUUCCCCACAUAUUUAAGAAAUAUGCUCCAAUCAAACCCGAAUGCUUCCAAAGAAACCUUGAAACAACAAAUGAAGGAAAUCUUUGCAGAAGCAAUAAGAAACCGGUCUCAUCAGAUAAAACCGUACAAUCCUCACCAGCACACAACAAUAUAUAUUUUCCUCUAGAAGAAACAGACCCUGACGAAGAGGAUGAUCCAGACGAAUUCAGUCAAUGACCAUGAUUCAGCACUGUCACCGACAUACGACUAUGCCAAGAUGCUCUUCACCGACACAAACGACAAACAAUUACUAUUCAAGGAUACCAUCACUGUGCACACCGACAUAUGAGACAAAAAGACUACAGCCACUCAAGAAAAACGACAAAGCCUACCGACACAAGAAGACAAAAAAGAUACUAUUGCAAGAUGCCAUUUUGUUCCUAUUUCCGACAAAAAAUACUAUUUGCUUUUUCUUUUUGUUUUGUCCUUUUACUUUACAUCAUGUCUCUCCUCUUUCUGUCCCAUCAAGGUCAUCUCCCUUUUUUUUUGCUUCGUCCUUAAGCUUCCUCACUUCGCCUAUAUAAGCCACCUUCGGCCUUCACAAUAUCAGGUCGAACAAUAAGCUCCCUUCUCUUCUCAGGUCUCAGAAGCUCUCUUCCUCUCUCAUCUCUUCCCUUCUCUGCUUCUCUCUCCGGAGACACUCUGCUAGACAACAGCUAUCCUUACCUCAUAGCUCAUGAAUACCAGGUCACAAUAGUUCACUUUGAUUUCCACGUUCUAUCUUUUCCUCCUUUUCUUUAUACCUAGCAUGUGUGAUAGUAAUCUUCACUCUCUUCCUUCCUAUUGCCCUCAACACUGGAAACUAUUUUCCAGUUAUUGCAUAUGUAAACAGUAAGUGUGAUUUUUUACAGUUUGUUUACAAUUUUAUAAAUAGUUGUUUGUACCAAUUUGAAUACAGUCUGUUACUUGUAAUAUUAUAUCUUUUCGAUGUACUUGUACAAAUUUCUAUAAGAAUGAAAUAUUGAUGUUAUGCAAUUUAAAAUAGUAUUUAGUAUUAAAAUAGGGGAUUUCAACCACACAUAGUGGUUAGUGAUAGAUAUAUCAAUCAUACCCUUCAUCAGCAUAAUUCUAUUUUGUCUCAACUUUUAUAAAAUCUGACAAGAAAUACUAAAAUAUAACAGUUUAAAUUCACAUACUUUCUCUAAACAAUAUAUAAUGUUUUUACUGUUGAUCCCGGCGCGUUUUGGUAUAAAAGCCAACAGUAAAAAUAGUAACUUGUUAAGAGUUAAAAGUUAAAAUAUUACUGUAGAAACCUAUUUAAAUUUACAUCUAAGAAAGUUGGUCCGAGAGUUAAGGCAAGAGACGAAAGGAAAAGUCUAGGCAAAGUACCCGCCAAGGCCAGGAAGAGCCGCUUAGGGGAACACGCUGGACCCUUGAUGGUCCAGAUUGUCAUUAUCCGCAACCUACAGAUGGCAAAUUUAAUUAGGAAUCUUAAAGGUAAUACUGCAACUCAAUCUCAAACCUUAAGAGUUAAAAAUAAAGAGGAGAUUAUCAUAAAUGAUAAUGAAAAUCAUAUCCAAAAUUGGAAUAUUCCUAAAGUACCAAUAAAAGAUAUUUAUCAGAAAGGAUCAUUCAAAUUCAAAUUAGGUUAUGCUAUAAAAACAGUAGAAGAAAGUCUGUCUGUAACUCAAAACCAGGAAGACUUUCAAUUAUUAUCAAGAAAAAUUAUUGAAAAACAUAAAGAAAAUAAUUAUAAAUAUUUGCACAUUGGAUUAAUCCAAAUAGCCAUUAAACCUUUAACCCGUCUAGGGUUAAACACUUCAGUGCUUAUAAGCCUAAGAGAUACAAGACACAAUAAGUUCUCAGAUUCACUCCUAUGCAUGGUAGAAUCCAGCCUAUAUAGUGGACCCAUAUAUUUUAAUUGCUUUCCAAAUUUUUAUGUUUCUUUAACAGACCCAAAUAUAUUAGAUAUAUUAACUAUAAAUUUGAAAACUCAUGGAUUUAAUACGAUACAUGGUUCUCAAAAUUUAGCAAUAGUAUACAUAAUGUAUUAUAAAGUAAUGAAUACUCUCUGUCCUAAUAUUAUGCAAGCUGAUAAAAAGGAUCAAACUAUAUUAUUUCAAACAAAUAUAGAAAAAUCAAAUACGAUUAUAGCAAAAGCCAUUACUUGGUCCGAUAUUAUUCUACCUCAAUCAUGGGCAUUGAAAAAAGCAAACCAGCCCAGGGAAGUACCUGUGAAUAAUAUUCCAAACCAAAUAAUAGAACAUCAAGAUGGAAAUAUUGAAAUAAAAUUCCAACAGCCUAUAGUACAGGAUGAUAUAGAUAUUAAUAGAAAAAGAAAUAAAAACCCAUUAAUACCUGCUAGAAAAUCUUGUCAUACUACUCCCGAUGUUGUCAUACUUCCUUCUCCUACAAUACCUACAACAUCUUCAGAUUUCCAAUUACAAGGAGUCAAAAGAACAGCUGAUCAUGUAGUCAUUCCUACAUAUACAUCUGAACCUGACAUAGCUAAAUUUCAAAUACUUACAUUACAAAUAGAAGAUGAUAUAGAAGAAGAUAUAAAUAAAAAUAAUGCAUAUGAUGCAUAUAUAGAAACAUAUUUAGCUGCUAAAUUAGAACGAAAGAAGAGAAAAAUCGAUAUUAAUUAUCUCAAAAACGAUUAUCUUUCUCUAGAAAAUCAAGGUAUUAGGGAAUGGUAUCUUCAAACUUUCCAACCUAGGUUAAUAGAAUUAUCCAUAAAAAAUAUAAUAAAUUUUUGAAAAAAGAAAGGGAAACAAAAGGAUUUUUUAUAUGGUUACAAGAAAUAUGUAGUCAAUAUAAAAUAAACAUUUCUCCAUUUAAUACUCUUCAAACCAUAGAAGAAAAAACAUAUAUUAGUACGGAUGAUACUACUACUGCUAGUACACACCCUCCUGAAAAAAAUAUAAUACUCAAAGGUGUCAUAACCCCAUUAAGCAAGGGAGAACCACUACAAUCUCUAUAUGAUAUUAUUGCAACACCAUAUAAAGUCCUACCUAAAGAAAUAGGUAAAAAACAAGAACUAAUACCUCAUAUCGUGGAACAAAAUUUUUUUACUAAUUUCUAUAUGCAAUCUUUAGGAAAACGAGCAUAACGUAUAGAAAGAUUAGUCACUCCUCAAACUAAGGGAAUAACUCCUAAAGCAGUUUUUUUUAAACCACCUCCAGAACUCAAUAAAAAUAAAUUUCAUAUCGGCGAAAAUAAUAAAACCUUAAUGUAAGACAACGAAGAUUGGAUAACAGAUCUUUUGAACUUGCUGCCAAUAGGGCAGUACUUUCUACAAAAUGUAGUGUAAUGGUAUAUAUUAAGGGGUUUACUGCAUCACUUUCAGUAUAAAUUAUUUCUUGAUUUUGUUCAUUUCUGACGGUCCAUUGUCUUGUAUUGGUAAUGAUUCUAUUUAUGGUUUCAUCAUCCACAUAGAAAUCCCACCAGCCUCUUAACCAGCCAGUGAAUCCAUUUACUAUUGCUGUGGCAACCUCUUGGUCGGGAUUGCCUGCCAUUUUGUUUGCUGAAGCAAACAUUGUCAUAUGUCUCAUGACAUCUAAUAUUUUCAAUUCAGAUAAACCAUCUAUUGUCCAAUUAACUAUUGAUCUUUCGGAAUAGGAAACAGCUUGUUGUAUGGCAUCUUCUUCAAGCUGUACAUCAACAAGUGUAAGUCUCUUAUAAUAUGGUAAAGCUGUGAUUGGUUUCCAUGUUUUACCAUAGGCGAUUCUGUUUAUAUCAAUAGGUGUAGUAUCCAUAAAAGUAGAUUCUUGGUUUGUAUGGUAUCUUCUAUAGCUGGUUCCUCUUCUUGGAGCAUCAUUGUUUCAUGCUCUGAUAUUUUUGUUUUUCCCUUAUUUGAAGAUUCUGGUAAAGGAACAUGUAUAUUGGGUAUUGGUAUAGGAAUACUGAGUUUAGGAGAAAGGAUUCUUUUGAUAUCUAAUUGGGCUAAUUUUGAUAAUAACUGAUCUAUUAAUGAUGCGCUUGGUCUUAUUAACUUUUGCUCGCUGGCAGGCUAUCCUGUCCGCUUUUUAAUUGAUGAACCUCUUUUUUGACUUCUUUAAUCUCAUCUUUUAAUUCUGAAAUAGAAGGUUCUUUUUGGUUUGUAAUAUGUUGUUCACUCAUUCUUUUCAUAAUAGAGGCAAAAUUGUAUUCAUCAGGUGUUUUACUCAUAGGAGGUAUUUUUUCUUUUGUUUUAGUUAAAGUAAUGAAUUUGGUGAUUACAGAUCUUUUUUCUUCUGGAUCUGUAAUUUUCUCAAUAAGGUCUAAGAUCAAAUUAUCUUCUUGAGUAAGCAUAUGAAGAUUAUGUGUAGGUAUAAGCCAAGUGCAAUUAGAUUCUUCCAUUGGAUGAGAUGCUUCUGUAUCUGUAGAAGAAUCAGAUGAUUCUGUCCAUAAAAGGUCUUCAUCUUGAAUAUGUUCUAUAUUUGAUUCAGUAGAAUCUGAAGAUAUAGAAUCAUAAUUUAUUAUAUUAUAUAAUUUUCAUUUGAUUGAUUCAUCUAAGUGUAAUGAUUCUAUUUUCUUUUCUAAUUUGCAUUGGUUUUUGUAAUGACCAACUUUUCCACAUUUAUAACAUACUGGAAGUUUCCUUUUAUUUUUAGUAUUUGGAGAAAAUUUGUUUAUAAAUUUUUGUUUAGACUUUUUAUAUUGUUUAUGUACUUUAUUGGAUUUAGAUUUAUAUUUGUCCUUUUUGUAUUUUUUCUUUUUCUUAUAUAAUUUUUCAGGUUUUUUUUUUCUAUCUAAAUGGUAUCCAAAUUGUUCACAGAAAUCACCAAGUUCUUUACGCUUGGUAAUUUGUUGUUUAUCUAACUGUCUUUUGAGUUUAAGAUCAGUACAUAAAGCUAAUCCUUCAGCACAUAUUUUUGCUGAUAGUUCUCCAAGUGUAUAUGCCGAGUAUACUAUAACUUCAUUAUGUUUCUUUCUCAAUCUAUCUUUGAGUUUUUCUGCAAAUAAGUAUAUAUAUACACACACACACACAUACAUAUAUAGGAAAACACUUCCCAAAGCCUAUAGGCGAAAAUGAGCAGUGAUUUCACCUACCGCAUGGUCAUAGGUUUCUGGUAGUGUUUCAAUUUUCAUUUUUUUUUGUCUACAAAUCCAAGUUACUUGAAAUUUAGAGUGUAUGUAGUGAGGCGUACCUAAUAAAAAUAUAAAAAAAAUAAUUCACAAAAUAGAAAUUAAUCAAAAUACCCAUGAAAAUUUAUGAGGCUAUUUUGAUCAAUUUAUAUUUUACAAAUUAUUUGUUUCAUAUUUUUAUUAGGUACGACUCACUAAGAUGUACACACACUCCAAAUUUCAGAUAUUUUGAAUAGUAAAAAANNNNNNNNNNNNNNNNNNNNNNNNNNNNNNNNNNNNNNNNNNNNNNNNNNNNNNNNNNNNNNNNNNNNNNNNNNNNNNNNNNNNNNNNNNNNNNNNNNNNNNNNNNNNNNNNNNNNNNNNNNNNNNNNNNNNNNNNNNNNNNNNNNNNNNNNNNNNNNNNNNNNNNNNNNNNNNNNNNNNNNNNNNNNNNNNNNNNNNNNNNNNNNNNNNNNNNNNNNNNNNNNNNNNNNNNNNNNNNNNNNNNNNNNNNNNNNNNNNNNNNNNNNNNNNNNNNNNNNNNNNNNNNNNNNNNNNNNNNNNNNNNNNNNNNNNNNNNNNNNNNNNNNNNNNNNNNNNNNNNNNNNNNNNNNNNNNNNNNNNNNNNNNNNNNNNNNNNNNNNNNNNNNNNNNNNNNNNNNNNNNNNNNNNNNNNNNNNNNNNNNNNNNNNNNNNNNNNNNNNNNNNNNNNNNNNNNNNNNNNNNNNNNNNNNNNNNNNNNNNNNNNNNNNNNNNNNNNNNNNNNNNNNNNNNNNNNNNNNNNNNNNNNNNNNNNNNNNNNNNNNNNNNNNNNNNNNNNNNNNNNNNNNNNNNNNNNNNNNNNNNNNNNNNNNNNNNNNNNNNNNNNNNNNNNNNNNNNNNNNNNNNNNNNNNNNNNNNNNNNNNNNNNNNNNNNNNNNNNNNNNNNNNNNNNNNNNNNNNNNNNNNNNNNNNNNNNNNNNNNNNNNNNNNNNNNNNNNNNNNNNNNNNNNNNNNNNNNNNNNNNNNNNNNNNNNNNNNNNNNNNNNNNNNNNNNNNNNNNNNNNNNNNNNNNNNNNNNNNNNNNNNNNNNNNNNNNNNNNNNNNNNNNNNNNNNNNNNNNNNNNNNNNNNNNNNNNNNNNNNNNNNNNNNNNNNNNNNNNNNNNNNNNNNNNNNNNNNNNNNNNNNNNNNNNNNNNNNNNNNNNNNNNNNNNNNNNNNNNNNNNNNNNNNNNNNNNNNNNNNNNNNNNNNNNNNNNNNNNNNNNNNNNNNNNNNNNNNNNNNNNNNNNNNNNNNNNNNNNNNNNNNNNNNNNNNNNNNNNNNNNNNNNNNNNNNNNNNNNNNNNNNNNNNNAUCUGGGACGUUGGGCUCAUAUGUUUAUAUAAGCUAGUGGGCUAAUCCCAUCUUUUCCCACAUAUAUAUAUAUAUAUAUGGUCAACAGCCUCAUGUAGAUAAGCUAAAUACACCAACGGCCCAGAUUGAAUUUGGGCCGAUCUGGCCGUUGACGCAUUUAGCUUAUCUACAUGAGGUUGCUGACUAUAUAUAUAUAUAUAUGUGUGUGUGUGUGUGUGUGUGUGUGUGUGUGUAACAAAGUUUAUGUAAAAAAAUCAAAUUAAGACGCACAUAAAAAAAAUCACCAGAAGAGUUUGUUUUGAUGUUCAAAGAGGUUUGUUUAUAUAAGGGAUUUGGAUUUGUAUAAAAAAUAUUAAAAUUUAAAUACGAAAUACAAUCAUGACAAUCAGAUAUACUUAUAUUCAAUCUGGGGCACUUGGCUUGUACUAUUCCAUCAAAUAGUGGGAUAACAUCUUUUUCCAUAUGUGUGUGUAUUAUUUAUUUUUUAUCUUUUUAUUUUUCCACACAAAAUAGUUGGAAAAAUGUUCUAAUGAUAAUGAGUCUGGCAAUAUUUUUUUAGUGUCGGGUUUAGAUUUAUUUACUUUUAAAUUUUAGCUUUGAUUUGUGUUUGGACUUGCUGCCCCUUUCCAACAUUGAGUUUGGAUUGAGUAUAUUGACAUUUUAUUGAGAUUUGGAACAUGUUUCAUGAUUAUUUCUACCUUAUUUUCAAUUUGUAGUUACUUCCCCUCAAUGGUUGAUUUGGCGACUUUUGUCAAUAUUUGGGUUCUUCUUUUGUGAUUUUUCUGGUUUUUUAUUUCUUAAAUUACUAAAUUUUUCAGGUAUGAAUUGGGGUUUUUUCACCACAUUUUUAAUAAUAGGUUACUUUAUUCAAUAUUAGUUUGAUUUGUUGCAUCCUAAGCAUUAAGUUAUAUUUAUUGAAUUUUGGCUUUUGGUAGUUCCUUAAUUUUUAAGGUUUUAAGUGGCUAUUUUUUGGCUUUUGAGUAGAUAAUAAAGUCGUCUUAUGCGUCAAAUAAAGAAGUUGAUCUAGGUUGGAAAGAUGAAACACAAUUUUCGUAAUAGAAUUGAUAAUGUUGGCAUAAAUAAAACAAAGAUUUUGUUAGGAUACUCGUGCAUAGAGUAUUUUCUAAAUAUACUUAGCAUUCAUUGGAUACUCAUUACUCUUGUUUUGUAAUACAAAAUUUUUCGAACAAUGACAUUUUUUUGUCAUUAUGAAAGAUAUAAUAGAUAUUUUUAUAAAAAACUAGCGGUAUUUUAUUAAUAGUUAAAAACUAAUUAAUACUAUAUAUAAGUGAUGUCACACUUCAUGUGGACGAUGUCAUUAUUUACUAUAGUUAAAAACUACAAUUUUCUCUAUCAAGAAGCUCUAUUUUAUCUUUGGUUAAUUAUCUAAAAUACCUCUAAACAAAAGUUAUUACAUUGUGGGGAUAAGGGCAUGAAUUGUUCGAAACUAUUGAGUAUAUUAAAAAAAUAUGAAAAACUUAUUAAAAAAAUCCAAAACUGCACUUUCUAUGCAACUUAUCCCCAACUUCUUCUCACUUUUUUCUCCAAAAUACAUUUUUCUCUGCAAAUACUCCCAAUUAAAAAAUAAAAUAAGAUAAUACCUAAACUACCACCCAUUUUACUUUACCCUCGCUUACUUUACUUAACCUAACUUUUUAACCAAAGUUUCUCUCUCUCUUAACCGCAAUAUCCCUCUCUCUCUAUCUCUCGCUCUAAAUCCCGGCCCGAGCUUCUUCCCUCUCUCUCGCUCUCUCUCUCUCGCUCCUGGCCUAACCUCCCUCCCUCUCUCUCGGCCUAAGCUCUCUCCCUCUCUCUCUUCAAAGGACUGAAGGCCCACCUUCUCUGUGAAACGGCUCGGGCUCUCAAUAUCUUCGCCCUAGCCCAAGACCCCAAAGCUCGAGCUCGAUUGUUAGCUCAAUCUCUCAGCCCCAAAUCAGCCCCAUCAAAGGUAUGAAAGAGUUAAAGAGUUUUUUAACUAUUUCUUAUGAAUAAAUAUAUAGCAGAUUCAUGAAAGAAAAUCGCUAAAAUCUGUUGUUGGGUUAUUGGUUGUUGAAAUUUGUUGUAUUUGAUCUAUCAUUAACAAGGAAGGGAUUGAAUGCUCAUGGCUUAAAAAUUAUUGAAGUUUUUCUCAUGAAUUUGUAAUGAAGUUUGGCUUUUUUUCUCUAUUGUCAUUUGAGGGCUAGAAUGUUAUUGGUGGUAGAAAAUUUUGGGCGCAUUUUAGAUUGAAAAUCAUUCAGUCGUUUGAUCUAAAUUGAUUGCUCAUGGCUUAAGAAUUAUUGAAGUUUUUCUUUUAAAUUUGUUAUGGAGUUUGCCUUUUGUUCCCUAUUGUCUAUUGCCAUUUUAGGGCUAGAAUGUUCUUAGUGGCAGGAAAUUUUGGGUUUUUUUUAGAUUGAAAAUUAUUCAGUCAUUUGAUCUCAAUUGACUGCUCAUGGCUUAAGAAUUAUUGUAGCUUUUUUUAUUAAAUUGUUAUGGAGUUUGUCAUUUUUUCUCUAUUGUGAUUUUAGGGCUUGAAUGUUCUUAGUUGUAGUAAAUUUUGGGUUUGUUUUGCUGUAUCUGUUUUCUCAUGGUUAUCUUUGCAUCAAUUGUUUAUUAUUUGAUGAUCGAUGUUCAAAUUUAGUUUGUCAUUAAAAAAAACAAAAAAGCCUAGCUCUUGUUAAUAUUAGUAGUAGCUCUUUAGAAAAAAAAAAAACACAAACCCAAAAACAGAUUUUAGGAUGGUCUAUAUUUCUAGUUGUAUAUAUUGUCCUUAUCUAUAUUGUUAGAUUGAACUAUAGCUUAGAGAAAUGGUAUUGCUUAACUAUAGCAUAGAGAAAUAGUAUUGUUUAUAUACUAGAAAUUUAAGAAGAGGUUUUUUUUUAAUUUCAAAUGCAUUCGAAUUCACAUCUAUAAAGUCAUUUAGUUUUGUUUCAUUUCGCAAAAGAAAGGCAUUGUGCUAGUUUAACUUGGAUAUGAACUAGUUUUUACUUUGUAGAAUAUUGAAUUGCAUGUUCAUCUUAAAAGUUGGGUCCUCUUUUGAGGAUCUUUAUUUCAAGACUACUUUCCAUAAUUUACUAAAAAAUUCAUAAAUUAAUAGGUUAAAAUCGUUAAGAUUGUAGUAUUUAAGUAAUCAUUGUUAUAAAUGUUUUUGUAGGUUAUAUCCCCCCAACAAUAUGUCUACCUACCUCUUGUUAAAAUUUAGAUGUAACUCUUUUAAAAAGAUCUAGAUUGAGCCUACCAAACUUGAGCAAGUUCAAUGUGUGGAAUGUAAAUUAUUACAAAUCUUGCGCAGGACAAAAGAAAAUGAGUGAUAGCAGAUUGAUUUAUUGUAUUUUUUGUAGAGAACUCCAAUCAAAUGUCGAUGAGACUUUAGAUUAUAUUGGUGGUGAUGGAUGUACAUUUAUGAUUGACAAUAGAACUAAGUUAGAUGACUUGCGAAAAUACGUAGCAGAGAAUUUCUCAUUAGACAUGCACUUGAUAUCAUUGAGGUAUUUUGUCUCAAGAAAAAGAAGAUUUAUUGUGAAUCUAUUCAUUAACGAUGAUAUUAAGAGGAUAUUGAACGCACAUGAAGGCGAGAAUAAUGUGUUCGAGUGAACAAAGGGGUGGAAGUACUUCACAUAAUACUAGGGCAAUCGAAGAGGUCAGAUCCCCCCAAUCCUCUAAUGUUUUGGUCUUUGGUUUCGAACAAAGCAAUGCACCAAGAUUGCUUAGUCCAUGGGAAGAUGCACUUAUCGAUAUAGGGCAGCAAUUUGAAUCGCUAGAUGACUUCGGAAAAGCCCUUAGCAAGUUUGCUAUAGCACACCAUUUCACAUAUCGUCUUGUUAAAAGUGAGGGGUAUCGCAUAAAGGGCGAAAUGCAAUGGCGACAUAUGCAAAUGGGAGAUAUAUGCUUCGAAGUUUGGCAGGACGAAUGUUUUUAGCAUCAAAACAUGGAAAAGAGAACACUCAUGUAAUAUUGAGACAAGCAAUGAUGUACAGAGAAGAGUGUCCCAAAAAUUUGGUGCAUCAUUAAUCAAGGAUAAAGUAAGUGACACUGCGCAUUAUAAGGCUAAAGAAAUUAUGAAUGAUUUGUCUCAAGAUUAUGUGUUAGAAAUACCUUUACAAGGCUUGGCGAAGGAAAGAAACAGCCAUCAAAGACAUACAUGAUUCGCAAGAGGAAGCAUACACAACUAGUUACUCACAUAUAUAAAGCAUGUGAUGGAGACGAAUCCUGGUAGUUAUGCGACAGGACAAGUAUGACAAGAUGGUAAAUUUCGUUGAACGUUUUUAAGUAUUUAUGGCUCAAUAUAUGGCUUCAAAAGUGGAUGUCAUCCACUUCUAUUUCUCGAUGGGACAUCAUUGAAGGCACAAUACCUUGAGCAUUAACUCACUUGAUGGAGAAGAACAAAUGUUUCUCGUUGCAUUCGAUAUUGUGGAUGCCGAAAGUAUCGAAAUUGGUUAUGGUUUAUAGAAUCUCUAAAGAUUGCUAUUGGGACAGAUUGUGAAAUCAUUUUUUUGUCAGAUAGACACCCUGGUCUAGUUGAUACUGUCUGUCAAGUAUUUUAGAAUGUCCAUCAUGCCUUCUGUAAGCGUCAUUUAGCAGAGAAUUUCAAGAAGGAAGUAAAAGACAUACCUAAUGAUUUCAAGAAAGCAGUUGUAAAAUACUUUAUCGGAGCAUGUAGAGCAUACAGGCCACAAGAGUAUUUUGAGAAGGUAAUUGAAAUUAGAUCAAUUUCUGAUUACGCAUUUAAAUAGUCAAUGGAAGCAUCGCCAGAUCGUUGGGCCACAUCACUCUUCAGGGAUAAAUGAUAUAACCAAGUAACAACUAAUGUGGCUGAGUCAUAUAAAAAGUAGAUUCUAUAAGUUUAAUGUGGCUAAGUCAUAUAAAAAGUAGAUUCUAGAACUACGAGACAUGUCAAUUUUCCAAUGCGUUGACUUGAUUAGAUGACAAAUCAUGAAACUAAUGGCCACCUGCAGCUUGGAAGCUGAAACUCGGACUACAACACUAAUCCCACACACUCAAAAUGAACUAAGAAAUAUCAUAAAGCAAUUCAUUUCUAUUAGGGUCACUGUAUACAGUGGAGCAGUGUUUGAAGCAAUGGGUGAUCACAUGAAUUAUAACAGGUUUGCCCUGCAAGCAUGCUUGUGAAAGCCUUCAAUGGAUGAAUAGGGAUCUCAUUGACUAUUGUGACGACUAUUUCACGGUUGCAAAGUUUCGUGAAAUAUAUUUCGAUCCUAUAGUGUCAGAUACCUUGAUCAAUCUAUCUGGGCGUAUGCAUGGACAACUUCCUUCAAAUGGAAUAAAAGUACUACCUCACUCAAGACGACCCCCUGCCUUACCUAAAAAGAAGCUCAUUGAGUCGCAGAAAGUACCCGUGCAACCUAUUCACUGUAGUCAGUGCAAAGGAACUGGUCACAACAGGACAACAUGUAAAGUACCCACUUGAAGACAUAUAUUUGUACUUAUCUUCUUUAUUCUGUCUUUUUAUAUUGUAGCACCUACUCAUGGGAAAUUUUAUUAUUCAUAUAUUAAUGGUGUUUGUUUAUAGUAUUUGUUUCUCUUGUGUUCAUUUCCCACUAUUAGCGCACAUAUAUUUAUGUUUGUUUCUUUUCUAUUGGAGCACCUACUCUUGGGAAAUUCUGCUAUUACAUAAAUUAAUGUUGUUUGUUCCAUUUGUGUUCAUUUCAUACUAUUGGCGUACAUAUAUUAUAUUUGAUUCUUUUCUGUCUCUUUUUUAAUAUGAUAUGCCACUUUUCUCUCUCUCUUUAUUGGAUAUGCUACUUGUGGUUUUUUUUUUAUACCAAUUAUAAAAAUAGAAUUAGCAAUGCAAGACUCGGAACAACCAAGAGGCACAGGGUAGUCAUCCACUUCGUCAGGUCCAAGGUAAGAGGUACGAUGGUCUAUUUGUUUUAGUUAAUGAUUUACAUUAAUUAAGUAUUUCUCAUAUUAUUGACUAUAAUCAUGUCUUAUUAAUUUUCAUUUUAGGACAGAAAUAUACUUCGUAUUGACGAAUCAACUCAAGCCCUAGCAAAAUGGAAACUCAAUCAACAACAUGUAUUUUUUAUUCAAAAGAUUGGAUUGAGCCCAUUGAUGGAUAUUGGGUUCUCGCAUAUCGAUUGCAAUCUACUGAGGGCAUUUAUAGAGAAAUGAUGCAAUGACACAAAUACUGCAUAUCUAACCAUCGGUGAAAUGGCUCCAACCCAAUACGAUGUGUGGCAGAUAUUAAGGUUACUCGUGACAGGCCAACCUGUAACCGGCAUCAGGCUUAAAACCUAUGUUGCUUUUGUCAAGGAGUAUCUAGGAGAUUACCUUAAAGACGUCACCCCGAUGCAUCUUAAUCAUACAUGGUUGAAGAGAAAAUUUGACCAACUACCAAAAAAGCCUACCAAAUUACAAUUCACGCAAUACAUACUAGCGUAUCUCUUUUAUUUACUCGGCACAACUAUAUUUGCCAACUCAUCUAAAGGAUCGACGCUUACAAUGUACCUGCAAUUGUUUUGAGAUUUCGAUGAGGUAGGAAAGUAUGUAUGGGGUGUUGCAGUGCUUGUUUUCUUGUAUUGUUCCUUGUCUAAGGUCGCAUGCGGGGAAAAGAAUCAUUUUAGUGGGUCAGUGACCUUACUAUAGGUAUUUCUCACUAUCUUUAUAGCUCAUAUUUACAAUAUUACAAUUUCUUUGGCUUCUUUUUCUAAAGUGUUGGAUCUAUGAGCAUUUUUUAGCUCUAGCCACCAAGCUUACAAUGGUCAUCAACCUAGGAAUGCCUAGAGCUUGCAUGUGGAAGAAACAACCAUGCCACAAAGACAUCAUUUGAUAACAUCUCAUUUGAUAUGGUUAGUGGUUGGUUUAUGUGCUUAUAUUCUAGUAGAUAAUCAACUUAGAAAUGCCUUGGCUUGGUAGCUUAUAUGCUUAUUUAAUGUGUCAUGUGUUUUUUGUAGGUGACCUCGUAAUCAUAUGAGGAGUCACCUGAAAUUGUAGAGUACUUCAUGUACCGGUCAUACCUCAAAAGUUUCAACAUUGUAAAGUAUUAUAUACCUGAUCGCGUGCCGCGACAAUUUGGGAAUAUGCAAGGGAUUCUUGUUAUGCCACCCAAGCGGGAUAGGAGGGAGAAGGUUGGUAUACACCUUACAAAUUGGAUUGAAGAAUUGAGCGGACAGAUAAAAGAUUGGAAGCAACGAAAACGUAAUGUUGUCAAGGCAACCCUAGAUAAAUUUGAUAGUGUACCUACAAAAGAGUAUAUGGCUUGAUACAAUAUGUUUUUGCAAAUACUUAGAAAAACCCCCUUGUGCCCCCCAUCGCAGAUGCAAUCCUAUGUACAAUUCUCCACAGAUUGGUAUACUAUUUAUUCUAUGUAUUUUGUUGUCUUAAUAUAUCUUAAAAUUAUGAAAAAUAAAACUAAUGAUCUAUUUUUUUAUUUUAUUUUUCUACUUGCGGCAACAUACGUGCAUAGAGAUGCUACAAGCUGUACUUAAUGGUGAAGUAUUAGUUGGGGAAUUCAGCUGUUAUGUAUAGGCGGCUUAUGAUCUGCUAUUGAAUAACACUUUUGUAGAGAUAUAUGCCGAGGAGAUAGCACGGGCUAGAGGUGGAGAAGUGGAAAGUGAAAGUGAGAAGGACGAUGAUAGUGAAAGCAAAGAAGAAAACGAUGACAGAGAAGAGGAUGUUAAAGGCCACGAUGAUGGUGAGAGCAAGGAUAAAAAUAAGAGAAAAACAAAGAAAAAAGUUGAUCUCUUGCAAGAGGAAUCGAUGUGGAAUUUACGAUCGCGAAGAGAUGGGAAUGCCCAGGAGGGAAGGACUAUGGAGGAACCUGAUGUAAGGGGAAAGGGUAUUCUUAAAUGACCAAAAAACGCGUUGAGGCAGAGAAAUUGACCUUUUUUUUUUAGUUUGAUUUGUAUGUUUGAAACAUAUGUUAAGUAAAUAAUAUGGUCGAUAUUGAUUUUGAUGCGACGUUUCAUAUAUAUUUUUUGGAUUUGAUCGGUAUGUUUGAAACAGAUGUUAAGUAAAUGAUGUGGUUUAUAUAUAUUUUGAUGUUGAGUUUGAUAUGUAUUUUGGGAUUUCAUAUGAAUGUUCGAAACAGAUAUUAAAUCAAGGAUAUGGUUAGUAUGCAUUGAUGUUUAGCUUCAUACAGAUUUUUUUUUUAAUUAUCAUUUGAUUGACAUAUCCAUCUAGGAAAAAUUGUUAUGGUUAAAUCUAUUCCUUUCUCAAAUAAAAAUGAUGAAGAAGCUGGAAUGUGAAAAGAAAGCGGCCAUUUCAUUGUGACUGACAUAAAGAUUCAUAGGGAUUCCUUAUUGUCAUUUCUAAAAUCUCUUAGUGUGGUGAUCUUAGUUGCUAUAGGCCGUCCAGCAAACCCUAGUGGAGAAUGGAAAAUCAUUUUAUUAGAAGGAUAUUGUUUCAAGUACCCUGCUGAGACUGCAAGUACCAUAGUGAGACUACAAAUUAUAUUCCAUGUUAUUGCUAUUGUAUUGACCCAUAACAAGAACAAGUGUAAUUGAAUACUACAUCUUAAGCAAGGUCAAUUUGGUUUAUUUCAUAGGGCCACUCUCGCAGCAAUUUUUUUUGGAUACUGUAGUACCUUGGGAUAAGUUAUGAAGUACUGCCAUCAGUGUAUAUAAAAACCACUCGACGAAGGUACAAGGCCCUUGGCUGAGUCGAGUGGACUCGACUGAGCCCUAGUGCACUGAUUGAUAUAGAUGCCAUUAAUUCUCCAAAAUUAUAUUUGUUUUGAAUAUAAGAACACUGGAUUAAUGCAAAAUUUCCAUCAUGAAUGGCUUUGCAAUGUGAGAACCAAAUUACAUCCACAUUGCAUGCAUAUUGGAACCAUUUAUCCAAACGGAUUUAGCCAUCAAAUCCUUCUGCCACUUAAAAACAGUGUCUCCACCACCUAAAAGCAAUACGUAACUCCAGGUCUCCUUAUUAUUAGCCAACAUGUAACACCACCCAAAAGAAAAAAGAACAAAAAAAAAAAAAGUUGAGAGACAUAGAGAGAAAAGGGUCCGUCAAUCUAUGAGGGCGAUCCAGAAUAAAGAGUUUCUGGAAUCACAGCGCUCCGGCACUGUGUAAGUGCAAUCCGGCAGUACAUGUUCAGGAGUCACAGUGCUCCGACAAUUUCAAAGGACAGUCCGGCAGUACAUGUUCUUGAGUCACAGUGAUUCGGUAGUUGCAAAGGGAGGUCCAACAGUAGAACUUCUGAGUCACUGCUCCAAUAGUUGCAAAGGGAUGUCCAGCAGUGCAUGUUCUGGACUCACAGCGCAGUUGCAAAAGGCGGUCCGACAGUAGAACUUCUGAGUCACAGUGCUCCGACAAUUGCAAAGGGGGGUCCGGUAGUUCAUAUUCUGCAGUCACAGCGCUCCAACAGUUGCAAAGGGCGGUCUAUCAGUACAUGUUCUGGGAUCAUAGCACUCCAAAAGUUGCAAAGGGCGGUCCGUCAAUACAUGUUCUAGAGUCCCAGCACUCCAACAGUUUCAAAGGGCGGUACAGCAAUACAUGUUUUGGGGUCAUAGUGCUCCAGUAGUUGCAAAGGGCGGUCUGACAGUAGAACUUCUGAGUCACUAGGCUCAGACAAUUGAAAUGGGCGGUCCAUCAGUACAUGUUUUGGAGUCACAACACUCUGGCAGAUGCAAAGGUCAGUCUGACAGUAGAACUUCUGUGAGUCAUAGCACUCCGGCAGUUGCAAAGGGCUGUCCGACAGUACAUGUUCUGGAGUCGUAGUGCUCCUGUAGUUGCAAAGGGCGGUCCAGCAGUACAUUUUUUGAAGUCAUAGCACUCCGAUAGUUUCAAAGGGCAGUCCGGCGAUACAUGUGUUGGAGUCACAGCGCUCCGGUAGUUGCAAAGGGCGGUCUGGCAGUAUUCAGUUUCUGCCCGACAAUGCGAUGGUACGCUCCAGCAAUGUGCUACUGGGGUCCAAUAGUCAACGUCAAAUCUGGCCAAAUUGAUUUUUUUUUUAAUGGAAAGGGCAUUUCUAUCAAAAAAAUGAAAAAUUUCCCUUGGGGGUAUUUGCGUAGAAAAUUUGUUUUGGGAAAAAAGUGAGAGGAUAAGUUAGGUUGGGGGUAAGUUGCAUAUAAAGGGUAGUCUUUGGGGUUUUUUAUAAUUUUCAUAAGAAAUAUUAUAGAGGUAUCCUAACAAAAUCCAACAAUUAAAUAAGCAUCUUGUAAAGUCAGGAGAGAGGUUGACUCAUUUAAAGGCGGCCAAAAAGAAAAAACAAAAGGAAAAAGUUUAUAUAAGGUUGCAACCUUAUAUGUAGAACUACGGAUGUACCUCAAAAAUCCAUCGAAAAAAGUAGUUUUAAUGUCGAAAAACCCUUUGAUUGCUCAUCUCGAUAUCAAGAUGUAUGAACAUCACAAAUAAAAAGAUUUUAAGUCUCAGAAAUAGUGCAUUUUACAACAUGUUAUCUACACCGUUCAUUUUCAAGAUUUUCAUAUGUUCAUAGUUCUACUUGAUUUUCACCAUUUUUCAAACUUAAAAUUUUAUAAUUAGAUAUAAAAAUAGAUUUUGAGAUAAUCCUAAGGACGUUUUACAUCAAAAUUAUAUACCAUGAUAAAAUUUGAAGGUGUACUUUACGUCUACAGCUGCGGAUGCGUCCGUAUUCCAACCAAAAACAAAAAGAGCAAGAAAAAAUAUGAAAACAUUGUAACAUUAGUGGAUGUCUAUGGAGUAGAAGAUAAAUAUAAUAUUUACAUAUUGAGGAAGGGGAGCAGAUGGGAUACAGUACUAGGCAAUGGGGAUUUGGCAAAUGCAAAAUGGUCUAUGGACUCUUAGUUUCCUAUGAUCAUUAGGCUAUGAUUCAAGAAAAUAAAUACUAGAUAACUCUUUAAGAAGGAAGAUUGAUGGAUGUAUCAAGUAGGAAUUUCUUUCAAUGCUAUUUAACUAAAGAAUUCCCUAGCUAUCUUGGAAGCAAUCCAAGUUUGAACCAUGGUUAAAGGCAUCUCAGGGAGCCUCUACUAAAAAUGAUUUAGAACUCACAAAUAAGUGCUUCAAGACCCACAAUAAUGUAUGGGGAAUGAAAGAAACAUGGAUGAAUAGGAUGGAAGAAUAAAUGUGAACUUUCAAGUGAAUUGUCCAAUGUGGACAAUGUUUGUGAAGUGAGUGUUGCAUAUGAGAAUAUUCAUGAUGCUCCUAUAUAGGAUUCAUGGAAAGUUGUGGUAAUAUUUACACUAGCUGCUUACCUAACAUAACUCUUCUCUACCUAAAUCAUAGAACCGGCAUCGACGAGCAGGGGACAAGCCAUGGCAGAGUUAUUCAAGUAGUUACAAAUAUGUGAGCUAUAACUAUGCAGCUAACAAUCCGUUGGUGCUAAUAUGGCCACAAAUUUUUUUGACACCCUUUAUAGUGCCAUGCAUGGAUCUAAGGCAAUAAACGAGUUGAAAGUGAUAAAUACAACAUUGAAGAAAGCAAGAGCCACCCAUGUUUUUGUAUUCUGCAGCACCAAAGUCUUGUCAUGAUAAGGAGGAAGUUGAUAAGUCAAGGGUGACUAGAUUUUCUACUUAUCAUUUAACACUAUGAUCUAUAUUGGCUCCAAAAGAUAAACUCAGGAUCAUGUUUGCCUUUGAAGAAUGAACCCAAAGCAAGUACUCUAGAAAUGCAAAAGGAAAAGUGCGAUUAAUAAUUUAUUGCAAAUUUAGUUUCAUAAUGUCAUUGUCUACUCCCUCGAAGCAUUUGACUCAUUGGUAAUCAUCCAAGGUGGACAGCAGAAAAUAUUGGAUUUGGAGUCCGCCCCUUCGUGGGUGGAAAAGCAUCUGUGAUAUUUUCAACAUUCUUAAUAGCUAAUUGGAGAAAAUGGUGUCCAUGGAAUUUAGACUUGUUAAUGGUAGAAAGAAAAAAUAUGACAGUUCUAUAUAAUAUGGGAUUUCUAAAUAGAGAUAAAGUUAAUUUAAUGGUGCAUUAUCUAAAAAAGAUAAGAUAACUCCAUUUUUAGAUAAAAUUUCCUUUUGGGAUAUUUUUUAGAACGAGUGUUAAAGAUAGAUAAACAUGAAGAGAUUUUUACAUGGGAUUGUAUUAUCUCUCCUAAAAGGCUCGGGAUUUCUGUUGUGUAUACUAUAUUGUCUUUUCUAGUAAUCGAUUGUUGGCUUUGGGAUGUGAGCAUUGAGCUCUCGAACUGAAAGACAAACGUAAAAGAGAAUAUUCGAAGACCUGUGGGAGUUCAGAAUGGCUCAGGGAAAUUUUGUGCACGCACAAGUACGAACAAUUUGCUCUCAGGACGCUGGGGCAGGCCAAAAGGUACACAUGGUGCACUCUGCCGCCAUGGUCCCUUGGUAGUCCACCACGAAAGACUACCAAGCACCUCCAUGCAGGCACGUGUAGACCCGCGCGGUAUUGUGCAUGUGCUAGCGUGCACCGCCGUUGGUCCAGAAAGGUGAUCCACAAUGCAUCAGCAGGACCACGUAAUCAUCGUGGACUUUGGGUUGUUAGCCGAGACUGCACACAGUAUUGUGCGACUGCAGACACGUGUGUUAUGUGCGGCUUCGACCAUUUCAUCUGAGGCCGCACUUUGUAAGGUGCAUCCACAGAAUCACAGUAGUGUAGUGCGGCUUUGGUACUGUGACCUAAUAUCGUACAAAGUUUUCUUGCAGCUGGAGACUUUUGUGUUCUUGUGCGGCUCUGACCCAUGUUCCCUAGGGCCACGUGUUUAUUGUGAUUAUGCAACUGCACAUGGUUUAGUGCGGCCGCAACCUCACUGUACAUGCCUUUUUUUAUGAAUCUACAGUGACACUAUUCCAAUGCAUCCUCAUACUUUUAGGGGCAUAUAUUACGUCCGGAUGUCCAUUUUUUGGCAAAUCUUAUCUUUUUUUUGGGCAUCUCCAAAAGCUGGAUGUAACCGGCAAGAUCUCAUCUACUUAUUGUAUCUAGGAAAACAUGUUUUGGCCCUAAAAUCAUAUUUUAAGCCCCAUUUGUUAUUUGUUGUGAUCCAAUCUUCGAUGCUACUAGGGCGUAGGCAAUCUCAUUGCAAGUCAUGUGGGAUCAUAGACUAGGAUCAUUUGCUUUUUUAAUUUGGCAUUUCACAUCCGGGAUGCAAUCACUUCCUUGAUAAGGACUAGGAGCCUUGCUCUUGAGAUUUGCUCGGAUGUUGAUUACUAGCCCUAGCCCCUAUAUUUCUUUGUGAAAUUUUUGCUUUCGAUUGCUUUAGAAGUAGGACUUUUAUGGUUAAUGAAGGCUCAAGGAAGUAUUAGAAACAAGGGAAAAUUACUAAAAACACUCCAAAUUGUACUUUCUAAACACUUUACCUCCACCUUAAUUUUUUCUCACUAAAAUUUUUCAAAAUUUAACUUUUAUAACUAAUACCUCCAAUCUCAAAAAAAUUGAAAACAAGACAAGUUGCCUUUCACUUUUUAACCUACCAAAUUUACACUCCAUAUGGAAUGCACUCUGGAGAAUAGUUCACUGUUAAAUAGGCAGUCUGGCACUUAUAAAAUGCGCUUCGACAACUUUAGAAUUCACUCCAGCAAUUGAUGAACUCGCUCUAGCGAAUAGUUGACUGUAAAAUAGGCAUUCUGGCACUUGUAAAACACACUUUGGCACCAUUAGAAUGCACUCCAGCAUUUAGUGAACUCACUCCGGUGGGUAGUUCACUGUAAAAUAACAACUCCGUCACUUGUGAAGAGCGUUCCCGCAUGUGAAAAAUAUCGAACCGGCAGUUUCCUCCCUUGAAAUUUUACAGUCCGGCGAUUCACUGCAUCAACCCAGCGAUAUGCUUCCUGGAAACACAGGCACUCCGAUGAAUACACUGAAGUAGUCCGGCAUAGUUGAAUAUGGCUAUGUCAAAUAGUCUGGAGUUUUGGAGCUUCAAUCCGUUAAUUACGUUCCUGACGGGUCUGUCCGGUCAUGUCUUUGAGCAGUCUGGCGAUUUGUUUAAUGUGCAGACCGGUGAUUUGUAAUAUAACUCCGAUAACGUUACUACUGGAGUGGGUUCAAUCUGGUGUUUUAGAUAUUCGAUCCGGCAUAUUGUUGUCUCAUAAGCACUCCGGUAGUUUAGAAACUCAGUCCGGUGAAAGGUUUAUUGGGGCCCGUCCGAAGGAUUUGGUCAUACGUUCAAGUUACGAGAAGGGGUAUUUUUGUUAAAUAAAAUAUACCUUUUUCAGAUGGGGGGUAUUAGUUAGAAAAGAUGGUUUUUACCAAAAAGAAGUGAAAAAAGAUUGAGGUGGGCGUAAAGUGUUAGGAAAGUAUAAUUUGGGGUGUUAUUAGUAAUUUUUUCUAGAAACAAUGAUACUUUUUUUGUGAAUGGGCACCUGUGUGAACAAACGUCUACCAAUUUUUUUGUUUGCUGUGAUUUUCUGUCCUCAUUCCUGGACAUACACUGCUAGGUCAUUCAUAUGUUUGGAUUGCCCAUAUCCUUAGGGGGGAAUGUUUAGAUGGUGGGAGCUUUCAAAUAUCCGAGUUUCUCCAGUAAGCAGGCAUUAUUGAAAAUCCAACCCUCAGCAUGGAGCGCCCUAAGGUAUGGGUAGACGAUUUGGGUUUGUCACUAGAUGGAGACUUGUCCAUGCCCAAGCGUCAGUGGAGUUGGAUAAGUAUAGAUUCUAAAUACACUCACUUGGACAAAUUUGGGAAUAAAAUAAAGGACUAGAAUCCAGGUAAAUACAACAUUUAAAGUUUCAUUGUGAAUUCGUGACUGGAGUGCUUCGUAACUUGACUACAUUUUAUGUAAUGCAGCUUCAUGUUGGCCACACACGAGGAAAGCGCCAAGCAUUUACGAUAACCAUGCGCACUUUGAAUUUGACUUGAAGCUUGAUUUGUUUAAGGUUGAGGCUCUAAAUAAUCCAGCGCACCUUGAAAUAGUGUCGAAAGAUAUUAUUUUAGUACUGUAACUUUUUGUGGUGGCCUAAAAAUUUAUUUUCAUCUCCAACUAUAAAAUUUAAAGCUUAAAAAUAGUGUAUAUCGAGCAUAUCUAUAAACACUUGAUAAUCUUCAAAAUUGACACUCAAGAAAAUGCAUUACAAUAUGCACUAUUUUCAAGACUUGAAAUCUAUUUUUUCUGAAGUUCAUAUAUCUUGAAGUCGAGAUGAUCAAUUCAAUGAUUUUUGAACAUCGAAACAACCUCUUCUAGUGAAUUUUUGAAGUGCGCCGUAAUUUGAUUGUUUAGGGCCUCACCCUUAUAUAAAAGUUUUCCUAUUACAAUAAUAUAUUCAUGGAUUACCUAAUUGAUACAUACAAAGAAGAUAAACGAGCUCAAGGAAAAGAUACAUAUCAUUCCUAUUUAUGUUCAGCACACUCAGUUGUUAAAGGAGCCCUAUAAAGGGUGUCAUAUCAAAUUGACCCCAUUUCUAUGAUAUAUGGAUAAUUUCAUUUAGCAGUUUGCCAGUACUGAAGAAAAUGCAAUAUUUCCUGGAAAGAGCUUGAGUACUGGAUCUAAGCACGAGGCUGAAGAACCUCAUUGAGCCCAAUGCAGACCACUAGAUCUAAAUCCAAAAGGAAGGCCAGGAGCCCAAUGCAGACCACUAGAUCUAAUUCCAGAAGGAAAGGCAGGAGUACAAAGAGAAGGAUCAUAGGAAGUAGGUUAACUUACGAGGAGCCUAAUGGAGCAUACCAAGGGAGAUAACUCUGAUGAUGAUGGUAACAUGACAUUAUUGUAUUCAAAAUAGUCGGGUGCUGAUCUUGAUGCUGGUGGUGAUAGUAAUGAUGAAACCCAUUUUGAAAUUUGCAUUAAUAAAAUUUGUUGCCAUAUUUUAUGUUGCAAUUUUCGAGUCUCGAGUUAUGGCUUUUGAUGUGAAUUGUGGAUCGUGAAUCUUUGGCUUGUAAUGACAUUAUUAUUGUAAAAUAUUUGAUAAUCCAUACAAUUUUGUAUGAAUCUUGAGCAAGCUUCAAUCUUCUAAAAUUUUAGCAAUUCAAGUUUCAAACUCAGUACGGAAUGGUACAACACAAUAAUGCACACAUAACACCAUAAAUAUAAAACUUCUCAAUUACAUAUUUUACAUACCCUCAAAGCCCAUGCCCUGAUUGGGCUGCCUCCAACACUGGAAGCCUGGUCGCGUUGGCCACCGAAUCUGUCUUUUGAAAUCCUGGCAUUGUCCAAGCUUCUUAUGGCAAAAAUGAUCUAGGUAAAGUGUAGGACCAUCAAUAAGAAGGGCAAAAAGAAGGGGUAUUACAGCCACAAAUUUUGAGGAGACAAGAAUGUAUAAAAUUGUGAGUGAGUGAGAUAGAAGAGAUUGUAACAAGUUGAUCGAGAACUCGAGAUCGAGAGAGAGAGAGAGAGAGAGAGAGAGAGAGAGAGAGAGAGAGAGAGAGAAGAAGAGACUACUAAGUAACGUAGGUAGGUUACGUACGUCGUCGUCGUACGUACGUAACUAAACGUAACUAUAGUUAGUUACGUUACUCGUCGUACUACGUUAGUUUAGUAGUACGUNNNNNNNNNNNNNNNNNNNNGAGAGAGAGAGAGAGAGAGAGAGAGAGAGAGAGAGAGAAAGAAGCUCAUAAACGAUGGGGUUUAGACUUCUGCUUGCUCUUAAAAACGACAUGAUUUAGACUUCUGCACAGUUUUUAGAGACUUGGGAUCGUAAAUGGUGAGAUCUACGGUUCCAUAUACAGUUAAUUGGAUUCUUACAAACUUUGAAAGUCAUGUUACAUCCUUUACAUUUUUCUAAUGCUCCUGUUUGAUCUUUCCACAACUAAAAACAACUAGUAUUCUCAAAUUCUUUUUCCAAAUGGCCAAUGGUCAAUAAUUUCCUAAACAAAAUUGAAUGGCCCAUCCGACCUAGGGCAAAUUACCCGGAGAAUCACAGCCUAUAGAGCUUGAGUUUGCUGGCAAUCGUCAGAGCGAUAUAUAUUUACAGAGAUUGAAGGUCCUGCAAAAUGAAAAUUUCCAAAUAUUAUUUUUUUAUUUUCUUUCACAGCCUGAAAAUUCAUUAGAGAGGUUACAUAAAAAAAAAAUAUGCAGGCCCAUCAUCACAGUAAAAAAGAGCCAUCACGCCCUAAUAGAUGUGCGUAUCAUUCAUGGAUGGAUACAUGCAUGUACAUAUGAGAGACAAAAAUAUACACAUGCGUACAUAUAUCACAUCUAUGUAUAAGUGCGUGUGACAUGCGAGUCACAUAGCAUACAGAGAUGACCUAAUAAAUCAGUGGAGCUAUGCCAGCUCAAGAGUCAUGGGUCAUGCUCAUGCAUGAACCAGUUGCGUCAAUCAAUCUUCAGUUUUCUUCCAUGUAACCAGAAUGAUCAAAGAACUAUAACUCCAACAGGCUAAAUAUUAUUUGGAAUGACAAUGUUAGUUCAAGGAGUGUUAGCGGUCAUACUUGUAAAAUGGUCCGUGCCAUACUAAAUUGAGGAUUUUUUCUUUUUUAAAGUGUUAACUGAACUAAAUUGAGGAAGUUAAUAAUUAUUUGAGCAUACUGAUCUCUAUUUUGGGUUUGUUAAGCUAUUCCCUUUUUCUUAGUAUCUAUUCCCUUACAAAGGUAUCUACAUAACCUCCUUAACAUCCAUUGGAUACCAAGUAUUAUUACCCCUUAUAUAAAAGCGUAUAACUGAGGAUAGUCUAUGUCAUCAGUGAAGGGUAGAGUAAAUAUUUCUAGAAGACAACAGCACUUUGUUAGUUGUUCACAAGCAUCGAGUGCACCAUGUCAUUGAUGUCACACCCCAUAUGGAUUACAUUAUUCCCCACUCUAUAGAAUAAAUGUUGUUUUACUGUACCGAAAAAUUCUUCCCUUACACAAGUUACCUACUACACCAUUCAACAAAGGUUAACUGAAAUGAGAAGGAUAUUAAGUAUUCAAAUGCACCAUAUAGUAUGUAUAUAAAUUGUUUAUUCAAAGUUAAAGGCAUAUAUGACUGUAAUCAUUCGAAGCUAAAGUAAUUGGACUUCAUUAUUUUAGAUAUCGGCGUCUCGAAUUGAGAUUUGUUAAACUACGAGCUAUAUAAAUACAAGCUGCUCAUAUUUACCCCCAAAACAGGACCCUAGGAAAAGUGUUCACCAACUUCAUCUCCAUUUGGCGUGCAUGUUUGACAACGGUGAAGCUUGUUCCCUAACAAUCAUAACUUCACACAAAGGGAAGAAGAAAUCCAGAGGCUAUGAAGAAAGCAUGCAUAAGUUGCAAUCCCUGGUAGACCAGGAAAGCAGUAAAUGACUGGACAAACUGACCCAUAAAUAUAAAGAGAUCUUUGCCAGAUAUCAAUGCCUCAAUGAAUUCCCAUCACUAUCGAACUUAAUAUGACCCUCAUUGGGGUAAAUCAGAAGCAACCAAUAUAAAUCCCGAUGUCUAACAACAGAACAACAGUGUCAUAGUUGUGGCACAUGUAGAAGGAUAGGAACUUGUGCAAGAAAAAAGGAUAAAUUUAUUAACCCACUACAUCAAUCCAUAAAAUUAUUUUCUUGGAGAGUUUGAUUCAAAAUCAUAUCCUAUAUAGUGUACACAUUCUAUCUUAAUCGACUAUUAACAUGAAGUAUCCACCAUACUUAUCCUAAAUAAGAAAAGAAUUAUCUGUUCCAAACACCACACACACACACACACACAAGCCAAGCUUCACAAUCUCGACUCAACAACACAACUAAGAAAAGGAAGGUACUAUGAGAAAGACCACCCAACGGAUUGUUGUACAUUGGCCAAGCUUAACAAUUUUGGUGGUAACCAACAAGCCUAAGGAUAGAAAACUACUACAAGGACAUAAGUUUUACUCUGAUGAAGUUCAAGUCCCUCCAACCCUAUUUCCUGUUGUUCUUCAGACCCAUUUCGAAGGCCCAUAACAGCAUAAAAAAUGUAUUCAUAAUUUCACAACGGACAAAAUUGAACAGAAAUAAAUCAAAUCAAAAUUUUGUAUGACAAGGUCAUACGGCCAUUACAAAAUGAAAAACCUAUAUUAAUUAUUAUAUUUUCUCCAUAUAGGCUUGGUAAGUGACCAGAAUAGAUAAAGUAAUAGCAAAUAGACAUGUAAAUUUGAUAUAAAAUUUGGAUGAGAAACAUGGUGAAGGCAAUACCUUCAGGACCCAACUCAAGUCCUCACAAAGCUAAGCCGUGCUAGAUAAUUACUCUCAGCAAAAUCAUGCAAUGUACGAUGAGCCCGUUUCCCUUCAUGUUCUAUGGCACAAAUAUCUUCUUUAAAGGCUCUUCUGCACUCAGUAGGGUUCUGGAAGGGACUAGAUAUCAGUAACUUGAAAAAAAAAAAACUUAAAAAAAUAAUACUAGUCACCAUCAACAGAGAGUCGAUCCAUGAUAUUAUAAGUUACAAAGUAUGGCUAAUUCUGGUCUAUACAAGCUGGUAGUAAAAUUUGAUUACAGAAAGAGCAUUUAGAGUAACACAAACCCAUCACCAUGUUACAAGUCCAGCUAUCAUAAAAGACAUUAAAAAGUAGCACACACCCUCCAAAAUCAUCUGAUCUCCAUAUAAACUUAUUCCCCAACUUGGGGAGCCAAAACCAAGUCAAAUCGCUCAACUUGGAAAAAGUCCUUUGGAAAACUCAGCAAUGUCAAUUCUUUUUUACAGAUAACAAGUUAAAACCGCAAAAUAUCAUCUCAAGAUUUAUAAAGUUAAUCUGUAGCAUUAUGUUAGGGUACACAUACAUGUGAGCAUUUAUGAAAUAUACUCAACAUUUUUUAACAUUUAAUACCCUUAUCCUAUAAUGUAGUAACUUUUUAUCUAGGGGUAUUUUAGGAAAUUAUUCAAGGGCAAAGUAGAAUUCAUGAUAAAACAGAAGAGCAUUCGUUGACUAUAGUGGAGAAUAACAUCAUCCAUAUGAGGUGUGACAUUACCCACAUAGAGUAUUAAAUGCCACUAAAUUCUUGUAGAAAUAUCUAUCCUACCCCUCCUAAUGAUGAAAAAUACCGAUGCUAAAAAAACUUUUGCACUACAAACCAAGGGUAAUUAGUGUCAAAAAAUGUUGAGUACAUUUAGUAAAUGCUCACAUAUAUGUGUACUUUAACAUAAUCAUAUAUGUAUUUAUGUAUAUAUAUAUAUAGGAAGAUACUACAAAACGCCUUUUGGCAAAAAUGAACAGUGAUUUCGCCUACCCUCCUCAUCACCGUCCAAAGUUCAUCGCGCGGUCACGAUUGUCAAGUAGUGUUUCAUUUUUCACUUUUUUUCUACAAAUCGAAAUGACCUGAAAUUUGGACUGUUUUCAUAAAAAAUAAGCGAAUCUACAAAAAAUAUCAAAAAAAAUCUUUUACAUGAAAAACAUUGACCAAACUACCUCCGAAAUGUUUCGGGGGUAUUUUGGUCAUUUUUUUAACGAAUUAUUUAUUAGGUGCGCCUCACUAAGAUGUACACGCCCUCCAAAUUUCUGGUCAUUCCGAUUUGUAGAAAAAAAAUGAAAAAUAAAACACUACCGGACAAUCAUGACCGUGUGAUAAACUUUGAACGGUGAUGAGGGUAGGCGAAAUCACUGUUCAUUUUCGCCUACAGGCAUUGGGAAGACUUUUCCAUAUAUAUAUAUAUAUAUGGGAUUGUAUACAAUGAGACCAUUUAUCUUUUAUACAAGGUGGUCACAAUUCCUUACAGCCAUUUAAAGUAAAAUUUGAUAGCUUCGACGUGUCACAAAGUUCGAGAAAAUUUCUUUUAAAGUUUGAGCUAGGUCAAUGCAACUAACCAAUUUCACAUCCAAUGUUCAAAAUUAAUGUGACCAACUUGUAUCAAACGUAAAUGAUAUCAUUCUAUACUUUCCCUAUAUAUAUAUAUAUAUAUAUAUGGGAAUAGAUCCUAUUAGCCCACGGGCUAACAGAUACAGUGUCAGCCGAUGCCCCAGAAUGAAUCUGGGCCGAUCUGACGGUCACGACUGCAUUUGGUAUUUGAAUUUUCAUUUUUUUUGCAAAUCCAAAUCACUUGAAAUUUUAGAUGUCCAUUCUUCUCAUCAAGGGGCACCUAAUAAAAAUAUAACAAAAAUAAUUUGUAAAAUAUAAAAUGACUAAAAUACCCUUGAAAUGUUUUGUGGGGUAUUUUGGUCAAUUUAAUUUUUGCAUAUUAUUUUUUUAUAUUUUUAUUAAAUUCGCGUAUAUUUAAAGAAUAAACGCUCAAUUUCAAGUGAUUUGGAUUUGUAGAAAAAUAAAUAAAAAUUCAAAAAAGAAAUGAGGUUGUGACCAUUGGAUCGGGCCGAGAUUCAAUGUAAACCAUUGGCUGACACUGUAGUUGUUAGCCCAUGGGCUGACAGGAUCCAUUCUCUCUCUCUCUAUAUAUAUAUAUAUAUAGAGAGAGAGAGAGAGAGAGAGUCGGUGGUGGAGGGUAGGUGGUUGGUUGGUAGGAGUGAGAGAGAGAGAGAGAGANNNNNNNNNNNNNNNNNNNNNNNNNNNNNNNNNNNNNNNNNNNNNNNNNNNNNNNNNNNNNNNNNNNNNNNNNNNNNNNNNNNNNNNNNNNNNNNNNNNNNNNNNNNNNNNNNNNNNNNNNNNNNNNNNNNNNNNNNNNNNNNNNNNNNNNNNNNNNNNNNNNNNNNNNNNNNNNNNNNNNNNNNNNNNNNNNNNNNNNNNNNNNNNNNNNNNNNNNNNNNNNNNNNNNNNNNNNNNNNNNNNNNNNNNNNNNNNNNNNNNNNNNNNNNNNNNNNNNNNNNNNNNNNNNNNNNNNNNNNNNNNNNNNNNNNNNNNNNNNNNNNNNNNNNNNNNNNNNNNNNNNNNNNNNNNNNNNNNNNNNNNNNNNNNNNNNNNNNNNNNNNNNNNNNNNNNNNNNNNNNNNNNNNNNNNNNNNNNNNNNNNNNNNNNNNNNNNNNNNNNNNNNNNNNNNNNNNNNNNNNNNNNNNNNNNNNNNNNNNNNNNNNNNNNNNNNNNNNNNNNNNNNNNNNNNNNNNNNNNNNNNNNNNNNNNNNNNNNNNNNNNNNNNNNNNNNNNNNNNNNNNNNNNNNNNNNNNNNNNNNNNNNNNNNNNNNNNNNNNNNNNNNNNNNNNNNNNNNNNNNNNNNNNNNNNNNNNNNNNNNNNNNNNNNNNNNNNNNNNNNNNNNNNNNNNNNNNNNNNNNNNNNNNNNNNNNNNNNNNNNNNNNNNNNNNNNNNNNNNNNNNNNNNNNNNNNNNNNUAAAAUAACUUUGAGACGUCGGAUCUAAGAUCAAAAGGUGAGUGGCACCCUUGAUCAAAAUUGGACAACUGGAUGGUAGGGGGAGCAUACAGCUUCUAUGCUGUAGGGGAAACCAAAAAUAAUACCAAAAAAUCUACAACAGAUUUUCGUACUAGUUAUGGGAUGUUUAUUUUAACAAUAGACAAACUCAGCUGAAUAGAACUCAUACACGAGCCAAGUUGAGCUCGCAGGUGAGUCGACUUGACUCAGAUUGAGUUUUUCUAAUCAAUGAUCCUCACUAAUAUGGAUAACAAUGUAAACUACAUCAACUCAAUGGUGAAUGACAACACCGACAGAAAAGCCAAUAACAUGAUGACUAUUGAGCCUCUUCACAUAGAAAUGGAGAUAGAAGACUUCAACAUGGAACCCCAACUAAAUCCAGAAAGGAUAGUGAAGGUAAAUAAGACCGAGACAAAUAAGGAAUUUCAUAACAUCAACAAUUAAUUAGAGUGCAUGAAGAAGUAUCGAGGAAGAGGAAUUCAAUACACGACCGACCAUCUUGGCCCUAGAAUUACUCAAGUUCCAGUCUGGUUUCGUGAUAUUUGUAGACAAUGAUGUGAGUCAGUAUUUUAAAGUAGCAGAGAAGAAGACAAGUUCUAUAUGGGAUUUCCUCCAAGUAGACCAGUAUGAGAAAAGAUGUAGUUAUUUUGCACCACCAACAGGCUGCUCUUGUUAACAUCAUACCAUAUAUGCAAAGGGAGAGUAUGAAUUUAUGUUACUUAAACCCUCUACCAAAGAUACGAAUGUAAAGUAUAUGUAUACCUGUAAGAAUUCCAGCAUUUGCUCUUCAAUGGUACCAUACAUGGCCAAUGUUUCCACAUGAAUGGGACGAGUUGCUCCCAUGCGGUGGGCACGACUAAUAACCUGUUCCUCCAUACUGAUAAUAUACAAGAAUAAAGAAGGGCUCAGCAUAGGAGACGCUUAGGAGUUGCAAAUAUAACUGAACGUCAUAAAAGUUAAUAAGAAAAAAAAAUCAUGAACAAGAUUUGAUAUUAUGGUAAUAUCAUGGAUUGUAAAGAAGAAUCCCAGUUAUAAUGUGUGAAAGGAAAUUCUAUGGAUAUAUGCAUGAUCCAUUCCUCUUUUUUUUUCUUUUUAAAAAUGCUAUAAUAAGGUAAACCAAAUCCCCUGCCCCCUUUCUCUUUUUUAAAACCUGGUAAGCAGGUAAUAUUAACAAAGUUUGCAAUGAAAAUCAAAGAGUUAGCAGCCACCUCAAUUUAUGGUCUGUAAAGAGGCAGGCACAAUUAAUCUAGAGCUCAAUAGAAACUUAAAUUUAAUAUUACAGCUAUGGUAACAGACAAUUCCAUUACUGAAUUAUUAUUACCUUCUGUCCCAUAUAGGUUCCAUCAAAAAAACAUGAGUAACAAAGCUUAAAUCCAGACCCAAGGCUGCACUGCCAUCCAUUAGAAGCACCAUACAGUUUGCAUCAUGUUGAAAAGUCAUCAGCGACUUCAUCUAAGAAAAAUUCGCAACGGUAAGCCCCAGAAAACACAUUUUGGAUCCAGAACAAGAACUCUGGAAAGGUGAAUUCCACUACAAUCCCAAUGGACAAUGAAAAUCCAUAGUACAUUGAGUCAUCAAUACCCUACUCAUGGACAAUGAUGUGGGAGAGAGUGGGACCCACCAACCUGUUAUGAUGAGCCCCACUCACUCCAAUCGCUAUCAUUAUUUUAUCCUACAAUUAUGCACAGCUCUGGCGAUAAUACAAACCUUGUUGCUCGAAUGCAUUGGACUAUACAUUCCAGCAAAUCUGACUCCAGCAACUGUCAACUGUAAGACAAAGGAUGAUAAGACAAAUAUUUUUGAGUAUUGCAAGACGAAAACAUGAAACUGGAGCAUAAAUUAAUUCCAAAACACUUUGUUCAGCUACCUGCUGUUCAAUGACAUGUAUAUGCUCAAGAAACUGUGAGAAUAUGAUCACUUUCUCAGGUAGUCCUUUAUUGAAAUUCAUGCUUUCAUCAUGUAUUAAAUCAUCUGAACAAUCAUUUGGAUAAGAUAAAGGAACCUCUCUGGUUGCUCCUAGACCAUCCCUUUUAUCAAGACAAUAACCCAACUGUCUAUUUGCCUCUUGCAAGGCUUUCAAACUCUCUACAAGAUAGGCAACUUUGCUACUUGAUGUUGAUUGCCAAUCUGGAUCCCAAUUAUCCUGCACAUGUUCAGAAGAAAUUGAUAUACAUUAGAAAGGGAGGGGGAAAAAAAGCUUCAUUCAGUAGCCAGACAAUAAAAUGAACCAAAGAUCUAUUAUUAUUUCAGGGGCCUAUGAAACCAUAUUCCAUUGCAAGCCUCACCCUCCUAUAAAAUGAUGACUGGUGAUGGAGAGAGUGGAACCCACCAUAGGAGUCAAGUACUGCUCUAGUAGGUCCCACACUCUACUAGUCACAUACCAUCAUUUUAUUGGAGAGCGAUGAUUCACUCCUUGGAUUAUAGAACACUUUAUUAUUAUAUAUGCUAGGGCCUCAAAACCUGUUUAUAUGAUGGUUGCAACUCAAUAAGAUCUUGAGGAACAGCCACUUGGGAUUAGGGUUUUCUGGACGGGUUAGUAUUUCAGGACUCUGCAUCUUAUAUGGAUGCCCACAUCCAGGAAAGGUACACCUCUCACUGUCUAGGGCAACACAAUCGAGGCACAACAAAUGCAUGCAUGGCGUGAUAACAGGCAAGCGGCACCAUUCCUUGCAUCUGAAAUAAAGUCAAACAUUCACCACUUGCAUACAACUGGUCAUAAAAGACUUUACGGUGAUGAAAUAUAUAAAACAGAGGUAAAAACAUUACUCUCACAUUGCAAGCAUCUUUUCAGAAAACUUUUCAAAGAAAAAAUGACUUGCAAAAUGACUUGCAAAUUGACCAGGUUUAAGCUCGGUCCGAGUUUUUUAAACUCGGAUACGGAGCAAAAGAUUGGCGAAAAGAACUAAAUGUUAAAAUCCACACCUGAUACAAUUACCCCCAUUCAGGAGUGCGUACUUUAUGAGAACAUACUCUUCCGAAUCAGGAUCCAGAUCUUGUUGCACCAGUAUAUCCAUCGUUUCCUGGAUAUCUUGACCUGCAUCUGUCACUUUAAUAUGCCCAGCAACACAGCAAGACAGCCUCACGUUCCUGAUCAAAUUGCUCCUGAACUUCCAUUGCUUGGGAUUUAGGAGAGACUCAACAUGAGAAGGAUCAUUCCAAUCCGCCAUUAGAAUAUUUCUACGAACUGUAACCACCAGUUCGUUGUAACUCUUAGCAUGCUCUUCAGUGAAAUGGAGGAAAGUUAUCUUCUUGAUACAAGGAGGGAUUGUUAGUAAAUCUGCUUUCCUGGCACUAAUCAUGCACCUCCUAAGAAGCUCCAAAAGCCUCAUCCUCCCCUCCUCCAUUUCUGCUUCAAAUGGCCUGAGAAUACCACAUUCCCAUGACUUCUGGUUAUCCCCAUAAGCCUCUUCAUGGAGGAAUUUCAACAUGGGUUGAAGAUGAGCAACUUGGCUACUGGGUGUGUUCGGGAUGGGUGUUCCAGUUAAUAACCACCGAGCUGAAGCAGCCAAAGAGAUGGCCAUUUGUAAUUUAUUUGUCAAGUUUAGACCAGCCCCAAGUGUGUGCCCCUCAUCCAACACAACCCUAAGCCAAUGCACUUCCAUUAAAGCACUCCUCUUUCGCCGGCCCCAUUCUAUGCUUAAACGGUGAAAGGUUGUAAUGACAAUGUCAUAGUCCCACGCAAGAUUGUGGGCUUGAGGUUUCUUGUUAUCAGUCCAUACAUAAACACGCAAUUGCCCAGGACUAACAUGCCUAAAAAUUUGGUUUUUCCAGUGUUCCACUAAAUUUGCUGGGACAACAAUUAAAGUUGCUCUUGACAAAUACAGCCUGAAUAUAUCCAGUGGUUUGGUUAAGGCAAUUUUCAGAGCAUCCAAAUCAAAUGCCAAAUUAUGGAGGUUGCGAGGAUAAAACCACCUAAUAACACCCUUUUCAACCCUUUUUGUAAGGCCAAAUGCUUGAAAAAUUUCACGGUAAUUAUGGACAUCUUUUCCUGAGACAGCAACCAUAUUUAAAGAUGGUGGAGGUGCAAUUCCUGUUGUUUCCAUCUGUAAAAGUUUAUCAGAGGAAAGAUUAGCUAGCCAGGUUAAAGCCUUUUUUGUUUCGUUGUUUAUUAAUGAACAAUGCUCCUUAAGUACACCCAUGAAAAAUGAUACAUUUUGCUCCUCUCCAGAAGGUGCUUCUUUGUUAUGGAAUCCAGGUAAGUAUGUUAUGGACUUGCUGUAGUCCCAAGACUCCUCCGGGUCAGUGCAAUUUUGGUGAAAUGGGUCACUGUUCAUACUGCAAAACCAGGCAACCUUAGAAUCAGGUAUGCUUUUGUCCUUAGAGAGCUUCCGCCACUUGCUACAAGCAUCACACUGAACCCAAGUCUCGUUUAAUUCAGAACCCCCACCAUGAAUAUUCUUAGGCUUCUUCCGAUUAUCUGAUGUUGGUGAAAAAGAAAAACUACCCUCUUUUAACCAAGUUUCAGCUUUAGGACCACUCAAUAUGCUUCGCUUUUCAUGAACCUCUUUCUCCAGCUUAUCUUCUUCAUGACUUAAGCCAGAUUCCUGCCCAUAAGUCUCCAGAAGGUUUCUCUUCACUCUGGUCAAGCUUCUGGUGCACCGAACAAAAUGGGUUUUCUGCAAAGAAAGUCUAACUUUGGACAAGGAAUCCCUAGAUGAUGUAGAAUGGGUAGUUGGUAACACUAAUGCCCAUUUUGAAGAAUUUGAGCUAAUUGGUGUUUCUUCAAAUUUAUUUUCUGGAGAAAACAUAUCAGAACUUAUUUGCCCCCUCCGCCCAUUCUGUCCCAAGAGCCUUUUCCAAGACGAAGUGAUUUUAGAUGGAGUAGAGUUACUCUUUGCACUGAGUUCAUAAUACCCACAUUGCUCAUCGGGAUUAUGAGAACACCAUUUAACCUCCACACCACUUGGUGGUCCAGCCAAUGUUCCAUGGGUUUUGAGGAUAAGGGAGAGUGCAGUUAUGGUUUUCCCCAAUCCAGGCUCAUCACAAAACAGUCCCCCCCGAAAAUCUGUGAUAGUGGGAACAGCCCCAGUAGAUAUCUCACCAGAAACUGAAUUGAUAUAAAAAUGGAACCCAUCCUCGGUGGAAAAAUCCAUAUAAAGAGGAUGUGGAAGAACCUCAGCAUGGCGUUCUCUCUGCAACAUCCACUUAACUGCUUCUUGCUGAUGGGGAAAAAGCCUAAGCUUCAUACAGGGCAUGAUUGACACUGCCAAGGACCUUAGAUGGCGACAUGUAGCAGAAACCUUAAUGAGGUCCUUUGGGUUAAGAGCACUUAAAACACCAGUCAAGAGGUCGUCAGAUAAAUCCCAUAUACCAGAACCCAAAGGAGCAGUUUCAGAUCUGAUUCUAGCAUAAUAUGACCUCUUCUCCAUCCCCAGACCAGGUAAGUUCUUGAAGAUCUCAUGAAGUUCAAAUGGGUUUUUCUUUUUGGAACCUGAUCUACUACAGUGGACUUUGCAUCCAAGGACAUGACAAUCAGAAGGGUUCCAAAUGCGGUUACCAUCUCCCUGAAUAACUUUUUCAUAAUUUUCAGGGUAUUCAAGCAAUGUAUUCCUCUCUUCCCAAUUACAGCUGCAAAUAAAUAUUCCAAAGAAACAUUACUGUAUUCGCUCUACAGAAAACUGGGAGAAUUUUCUAGCUAGUAAUAUCACAAGAUAGCAGUUCCAACUUCGACGAACUAAUUGCCAAUCUCUAUCUUCAAAUGAAAGAGUAGCAGAAAAUGAAAUGGAAACUUGAUACGAAAUUUAAUCACUAAACCAAGUUCUAUGGUAAUCCAUGAUUCCCACAUAUCAAUAUUACACAGUUAUGAACUAGUCAUGCACAAAUGUAGAGACAAGAAGCAAAUUCAAAUAAGGUGGUUAAAAAUUAUUCAGUGUUAAAGUCAUCCAUUUCAAAAAGCAAUGAAGGCAUACAAUUUAUAAGACAUAUAACAUGAAGAUAUACAAUUUAUAAGAGAUAUAACAAGAUAUCAAAAAACAAACAAAUUAACAUUGUAAAAGGGAUAAUCUAAUACAAUUUGAUAAACAUGAACCAAUGAACGAAAAAAUGGCUGCCUUGCCACCUAGGCAGCUUUUUUUCAAAAAUACCUAGUCAUGGACUAGUCGGCGUGCUUAAGGCGGGUCUUUCAAGGCGCCGCCUCGCCCAAUGGCGGAAAGAAAAUAUUGGACAAUGGAUAAAAUCGUCAUGUUACCCCCUAAAAAAGGGGAGAAAAGGGUUUUGGUGACCAUUCUUGCUCCCAAAAACAUUGUUAGUGAAUUUUAGAGUGAAAAAAAUUGAAAAAAAAAAAGAUUUUGAAGAUUUUUAGAGAGACCGAAAUUUUUUUUGACUUCCUCGAAUUGUCAACGAAAUUAAAAGGAUAUUCAUCCCCAAUCCUUCUGAGGCUUUUAGUGGUUGUAAAAGAGGAGAAUUGGGAACCAAAACAUUUGGUUUUGGCCCAAUAUCGAUUGAACUUCAACAAGGUUGGUAUAUUUCAAUAGUGUUUAUUAGGUUAUGUAUUUGAAUUUUUCACAAUGUCUUAUGAUGUUAUUCUUUGCUAUUUAUAUUAUUUUUUUUGUAAUACUUAAUGAUAUGUCAUUCACUAGUUGCAUUAUUAUUUUCCCAUUUUGAGAUGUAGUUUGGAUCUUUGGGAAAGCGAUUCAAUAAAAAAGUCCAUUGGCCCCAAAUCAAAUGAAUAUUGUUUUUUCACCUUUUUUUUAGUUUUUUUAAUGUUACUUUUGAGUUUUAACUAUUUAAUUUACAGUUUAAAGCCGCAAAUCUUUAUGUACCAUAUGUACUUCUAACUUCUGCAUUCUAAACAAUAUAUUAUAUGCGAAACUUAUUUAUUAAAUAAAAAAGUGUCAUUUCUAUAUACAAUGAAAGGGGGAGAGGUGUGGGGGGCCAAAAAUCUGCAAGGAUCUGCACUUCCCCAAGAUGCAGGCCACCUUUGUCUCUAGGCGGCCGCCUAGGUGCCUAAGUGGCCCAAAAACCAAACCGCCUAGGCAGCCGCCUCCACAUUUUUUAACAUUGACAACAACUUAUCCUGGAGCCCAAAGUGUUUUUGGUAUCUAGUCAAUUAUAGGAUAAUAUUAUCUCUUUUUUUCCAAUAAAGUAUUUUUAGAUUUUAGAGUUUAUACUUUGACUUGUCCUAAGCCCGGGUAAAGCGGUGUGUUGCGUUAGGUAGGCAAUCAGUGUAAAACUUUGCCACAUCUUAUCAUUAAUCUUGAACUUAUGUUAUAUGCUCAUGCUAAGGCAUCCUCUUAAACAACUCGCUGCACCACCUGGGCGCAGCGAGAAAUGAGCGAUGGCUAGCUAGGGCAUUCCCACAAAGCGACGUGCUGCACUAGUACUCUGGUGCAAUGAGAAAUGAGCAAGGGUUAAUUAGGGUGUUCCCCCAAAGCAAUGCGUCGCAACUACGACCGAUUAAGGUGAUAAGUAAGCAAGGGUUCCCAUGUCAUUAUGGACAAGAGCGCGUAAAGAAGCUAGUCCAAGAGAAUAGGAUUUGUCUGGCCAAAUGGAAUAUAGGAACGCUAACAGGUAAGAUUAUAGAGUUAGUGGCAAUGAUACAUAGAAGAAUUAACAUAGCUUUCUAAAGGAAACUAACUGGAGAGGGGAAAAAGCUAUAAGAAAAUUGAUGGAUAUAAACUUUGAUAUAUAGGAAAAGAUAAUAAUAGAAAUGGCGUAGGCAUAAUAAUAGAUAAAGAUUUAAAAGAUAAAAUUCAUUAAUGCCAAGAGAUGAGGUGACAGGCUCCUAUUAAUUAAACUCGUACUAGGGGAGGAGAUAAUUAAUGUAAUUGGUGGUUAUGCACCGCAGGUAGGACUAGAGGAUAGAAUUAAGAGGCAAUUCUGGGAGGACAUGCAUGGACUAGUCAAAGAAAUACCAAAUGGAGAGAGGACCUUUUAAGGAGGGGACUCAAUGAUUAUUUAAAAAACGAUAGUAGAGGAUAUGAAGAGGCAUAUGGGGAAUAUGGUCUUGGAGAAAAAAUUGCAAUAGGUGAGGCAAUCUUGGACCUUUCUAUGGCCUUUGACCUAGCAAUAGCAAACACCUACUUUAAAAAUGAACUGAACAUUUCAUAACUUAUAAAAGUAGAUCAUACAAAAGCUAAAUAGACUUUUUUUUAGUCAAGAAGGUAGAUCGACCAUCACGUAAAAACCCAAGAGAGAGUUUGACCACAUAACAUAGGCUCAUUAUUAUGAUGUAUGCUUAAAGAGACAGAAGAGAAAGUGUGAAACUAAUAGGUGUGCAAGAACUAGGUGGUGGAAUUUAAAAAGGAGAACAUAGACUUACUUAAAGAUAAAUUGGUAAAAGAAGGAAAAUAAAAUUUUGAGUACAAAGUUAAUGUUAUGUGGAAUGAGAUGGUCGACUAUAUUAAGAGAGUGGCAAAAGAAGUUUUAAGAGAAACUAGAGGGAAAAAAAUUUUUAACAAACCAACCUGGUGGUGGAGUGCGGAGGUUCAAAAGACUACUAGCUAAAAGUAAUCAUAAAGCUUGGAAAUGUAAUAGAAUUGAUCAAAACUUUAAAAAUAUAUAUAUAUAAAUGCUCAUAAAAAAGUUAAGAAAUUGUAAGGAUAAACUUAAAACAUAUGAUAAACUUAUAAAAUAAACAAGGGACAAGAGAAGUGAAAAAGACGUCUUCAAAGGAUCUUGGUGAAAGAUGUCGAGGUCAACGAAAGGUGGAGAAUUUGUUUUAAAAAAUUGUUAAAUAACGAACACUAUGGGAACAUAGCGGCAACAAUUUGCGUCAUUUGGACGGAAAGAAACUCAAGGAUUUUCCGAGGUGUCAAGUGCGAAGCUUCGGCCCUCUUCCAUAAGAUCACCUCUCAGGUCAUCUUUUGGGUAUCCAACCAGAAGACCUUCACCAGCAUUUUGGCAGCAUCUUUCCUACAUAAUUGGGAAGAACUCCUCCACUUCCACUCCCCCCGGGUUCCACGAGCCAACAACUAGUUGCGUCCCCCGGCAGGCCUCAUCAAACUUAAUUUCGAUAAAUGCUCCCUCAGUAACCCAAGACCAGCAGGAGCGGGUGGGGUCUUCAGAGAUCACCACGGCAACAUUCCAACUUCCUUUUCCAAGAAUAUUGGCCAUGCAGACUCUUAGUUCGCGGAGUCUACGACUCUCCUCCUGAGCCUCAAAUUAUUCAAUCCUUUGUAGGGAUUACCACUAAUUGUUGAGGGCGAUGCCAAAAACAUAAUCUCUUGAGCAGCUGGAAUUGCCCCUCGUCUGGUACCGGGCCCCGAUUUUUUAUGAGAUUAUGCAUAUUUGCAAGGACAUAAUUGUCUCAUGAAAGGAUAUCUGGAGGACGUCAAACGCCAUGGAAGACCAACUGGCAAAGGAGGGUGCGAGGCUCCAAGCUGUAGAUUCAUAAAAGCUGCGACUUGUUGCUUGCCAUUCUCUGGGUCAUGGUCCCAUUUUUUGCUUCAGACCAUUGUUUACGCUUCUUACAUUUUCUUGUAUAUCAUUUUUAAUUGGGCAUAACUUAUAAGCCGCACACACAGUUUCAAAAAGCAUUAGGCGGGUCCUGGGCGGCCAGGGGGGUCCAAGUCGCCCAGCGCCUAAACGAGCGCCCAGAACCUGAGCGGCCCAGUUGAAUCCAAAUAAGGAUAUUGGCCUUCUUCAUUGCACCUGAUAUCUCAAUUAAACCGCCAAGAGCCACAAGCAUGAGGUCUAUACAAUGUGUUGCACAUGGUGUCCAAAAGAUUCUAGGAUAAGCUAUGUACAAACAAAUUAGAUGUAGCAACAUUAGGAGCAGCAUUGUUUGUGACAACCUGUACAACAAGAUGCUCCCCAACUUCCUUGAUUCCCUUCUCUAUCACUUGAAAUAUGUAAUGGGCAUCAUGGAUAUGAUCAAAGGCAUCAAUUGACCUCAAAGAAAAAAUCCCUGCAGGACAAUUCACAAAGCAAAUUCGUCUGACUUCUUCUCUUCCUAUCACUCCAACCAUCAAUCAUAAUAGAAACCCCAUACUGAGCGCAUGCAUCCUUCUUAAGUUCUACAGCUUCCUUUGUGGCACUCACUGCCUUUUUUAAAAAAGGCUUUGAAAGCUCAUAUGGGGUUGAGGCUUUCAUCCCAGGGCCAAAUUGGCCAACUGCCUCUAUCGCAGCAUAGAAGCUGCUUAAGCAAGCGGUAUUGACAAGAAUGCCCGCCUCAUAAAAUCAUGUAGCAAGAUAAUACGCAGCUCUAUCUCUCUCUUCUUCUUGAUUUUAUUUUCAAUGGUGGUUUGCUUUUUUGUUUUCUCUCUUGCAACCUCAGGGUCAGGCCGAGGUAAAAAACUAUCCAUAGGGCCUCUAACCCGAGGCUUCUUAGUCUCAGAACCGGAAGCAAUUACAACCCCCUUCCCCUGUCCCCUAAUAAUGAAUUGCUCAACCUCUUGACAUCCCUCCUCAAUCCUUUCCUCAUCACUAUCAUCAUCAUCAAAAUUGACCCGAGCCUCAGACCUAAUCUCUGUUAUAGAGGCAAUUCUCUCAUCUUUUUUCAUUUUCACUAUGUUCAAUAAUUUCUUUAUUUCCUCUUUAACAGCAUCAGGAAUCAUUUUACAUGGGGCAACAUCCCCCCGAUACCGGCAAGAUGUUUCUUGAACCGGUUUAUGCCCCCUUUUGUAUCCUUUUCACAAAAUUUGCAACUUAUGCAAUUUUUAUCAUUAGCAUCUAGGUUAUAGCCAUAUUUCCAAUCGGGAUCACCACUCCUAUUAGAUCCUGAAGAAGCUAUAUAAAAAAUAAUGCAAAUAAAUCAAGCAAUAAAAAAAAAUCACGUACUUUGAGUUUGAUUGCUCAAUUUUCAAACUUCUACCUCAAAGAUGCUUCUAAAUGCUCAAAAUCUUCUAAAAAAAACCCUAAUAACUUUGCAAAAAACAUCAAAAAGUAAAUAUAAUACCAAUGGGUGAUGUUUUGAUCAAUUUUUGUUAACUUUGAGUAACCCUUCGAUCCUUAAAAAUUCACCACAAUCUAGUCAGUUGGGGGCUUUCUCUCUCUAAAUUUGGCUCCAACAAGUUUUAGGUUUCAAACGAACCUAAAACCCUAAUUUUUUGCCCUUAAAAACAAAAAAAAAGACGAAAAAUGCCCUCAUCGAAUGGUUUUUCCGCCCCUAGGCGAGGCGUAGGCCUUGGAAGCCCGCCUAAGCAGGUUCUGUACUGCCUAGGUGGCUGCCCUGGGUUCGACCGCCCAGAUUGGCCCCUAGGCCUGGGCAAUACGCUCAAGCCUUCUGGACUGCCUAGGUGGCCACCUAAGCGUUGGGCUGUCCGCUUUUUAAAUCACUGGCCGCACAAAUUUUUUGUACAAGGCUCCUAAUGGGUAGUCUAUUUUUUUGUCGAGAGGCCUGGCCUAUGGGCCUCUCGAUGGUAUACUGCAAUUUCUUCCUUUUAAUAAAACAAUUAACUUCAUUAAGAAAAAUGAACAUUAAGGGAACACAACGUUAAGAGGAUCAUUUGACGCAAAUGAGUGCGGAGGUCACGAUUACAUUCGCAAGAUUCUAAUAUUUGUAAUGAAAUAAACUUUGAGAAAGAUGAAGAUAGGAAUAUCUCAACAUAUGUUUGGAAGUGCAUGGGGGAGAUUGAAGUAUGCAGGCCUACCAAGCUAUUCAACAAGAUGUUGAGAACAAAGAAAAUGCCAAACAAAUGGAGAAAAAGUAUUGUAGUAUCUAUUUACAAGAACAAAUGCGACAUACUUACCCACAAAAAAAAAAGAACAAAUAAGACAUAUUGUACAAACUAUCGAGAGUUAAACUUAUGAACCAUACUAUAACGCUGUGCGAGAAAGCAAUUUGAGCAUCAACUAAGACGUAAAAUUAAUGUAUCAGAAAAUUAGUUUGGUCCUAUACCAAGGAGGUCAACUAUCAAAGUUAUUUUCCUACUUACGCAGCUAAGUGAAAAGUUUAUGAUGAAGGGAGAAGACCUUCACAUGGUCUUUAUUGAUUUAGAGAAGCAUAUGAUAGAGUACUUAGAUUUAAUUUGGUAGGUGUUGGAAAAGAAAUGAGCCACCAGAUGCUAUAUUAACAUAAUACGAGGGAGCGCUAACCUGUGGACAACUAGUAAAGAGACAGGUGAAUUCUCCCUUAAGCAUUCAAAAAGCUGUAACAAACUCUACGAUAGGUAAACAGACAUCAUGAAACAUAGCAUACCCAUCAUAAGUCAUUAUGAAAAAGCACUUAGAGAGAGAGAGAAGUACGAUUUUUCUGAUUUUCACACACCAACCAACCUCUUUUCUCUAAAAUGAAAACGAAUUUAUAAGGGAGUGGAUGACUGCUCAUGAAAAUAAAGGACCACAUCAUUAUCAAAACAUGAUCUCAUCUGAUGUCAACACAACAUGACCAUGUGGCAAAUAAUAAGAGUAUUAAAAGGAGAGAGAGAUUAGAAGGCGCCACAUGUCGCCCAAAGCUUAAGGAAAUCAAGGAGACUCCUAAGAGUUAACCGACUAAAGAGAUAAAAGAGUAAGAAAAGAAAGUGUGGUCCCUAGUACCACCCAAAGUAAAGAAGUCAAGCGUAAAAGAAGAAGUAGUAAAGAUUCGUUUGUUUUGAAACAAAACAAAACAGUUUUAACAAUCCCCAACCUGUUCCAAAACAAAAGGACUGCCAAAGAACACAUCAGGAAAGAGAAUGCAUAAGGGAAGGUGUCUAGGAGACUUGAACCUUCGCAUGGUGUUAUACAAAACGCUUAUCAGGACAGUGAGUGAACAAACCUUGAAUUAUGUCCAUAAAUGAUAAGCCUCCCACAUACCACACAUUUCCUUUCAAAGACACUGAUUUUCUAAAAGGCUUGCCCUUAUCCUGUUUUCAUGAGCGCUCUAGGUAAUGAUGCCCAGUUUGCAUAGGAAGCGGCCUCCACCUUCACACUCAUAUAGUGAGUCCAUGAAAGAUGCCCUGCAAUGCGAAACGUGAGCCUGGGCCUUACAUCAUCUAGGUAAAUGGAAUCAUUAAGAGCAAGGCUCAACCUCUUUUUCGUUGUAAUAAAUACACCACACAGCCAAGGAUGGGGCAGAAAUCUUACAAAUUUCCAUAAUAUAAUAUUUUAUGUAUAAACUUACAUCAAACAUCACACAAGUGAUUUGUUUUUCACUUUAAACCUUAGACUUGGGAUCUCCUUGUCCUUAGGUAGGGUUCCCAUCACUCUGUGGCAUAAUACAAAUGGGCUUCAAUCCCAUCCAUCUAGCUGACUUCCAGGCUUGGUCCCUUGCAAGGCCUUUAGUUAAUGGAUCUGCCAAGUUCUGGUUAAAGCAAACAUGGAGUAUUGAAAUAACUCCAUCUUCCAACAAAAGUCUCAAUUGGUUGUGCCUCAAGCGAAUAUAUCUAGAUUUUCCAGGAUAAAUUUUGCUUUUCACUCAGUAUACUGCAGCAUCCCAGUCACACCAAAUUGAGACUGCAGGCAUGGGCCAGAGACAAGUGGUACGUCUACCAACAAGUUCCUUAGCUACUCAGCCUCUUUACUAGCGACUUCCAAGGCUACUAACUCUGAUUCCAUCGUGGAUUUGGAGAUACAAGUUUGCUUCUUGGAACUCCAAGCAACGGCAACUCCACCAAAAGUGAAGAUCCAUCCACUAGUAGACAUGGAUUGAUCAGAAACCGUAAUCCAGUUUGCAUAGUUGUAUCCUUCCAAUACAGCGGGUUCACCCACAUAAUGUAGGCCAUAGUCAACAGUUCCUUUGAGAUACCGCAGGAUCCUAUUGACUACAUUCCAGUGCUCUUGACCUGGGUUACUGGUGUAUCUACUCAGUUUACCCAACACAAAGGAUAUAUCAAGUCUAGUGCAAGACAUUGUAUACAUUAUACAUCCAAUGACUCUAGCAUAGUCCAAUUGGGAAACAGGACCUUCAUGGUUCUUUCUAAGUUUAAUGUGAGCAUCAUAAGGGGUCGAAACUGGCUUGGAAUCAAAGUGAUCAAAUCUUUUGAGCACUUUUUCUACAUAGUGGUUCUAGGUUAAUACAUUCCCAGCCAAUUCCUAACUAUUUUAAUUCCAAGUAUCACAUCAGCUUGUCCCAUGUCUUCAUAUUAAACUCAGAAGACAAUAAGUUCUUUGUGUCCUUUAUGCAUGCAAUAUAGCUGCCUAGUAUAAGCAUAUCAUCUAUAUACAAGCAAAUUAUAACACUGCACUAUCACAAACUCUGACGUACACACAUGUAUCAGCAUCACUGAUCGAAUCCGUGUGAUAAAAUAAUUCUAUUAAAUUUUUCAUGCCAUUGUUUGGGUGCUUGCUUCAAACCAUAUAAGGAUUUCACAAGUUUACAAACUUUGUGCUAUUGUCCCUUAAGGACAAAUCCUUCAAGUUGCUCAAGAUAAAUUUCUUCAUCUAGUUUACCAUGGAGAAAAGCUGUUUUGACAUCCAUCGAAUGAAUUUCUAGAUGGUAAAUGAAAGCUAAGGCAAAGAGAAAUCCAAUGGUAGUAAUCCGAGUGACUAGAGCAUAAGUGUCAAAGAAAUCAACACCUUCCUUUUGCUUAAAUCCUUUUGCAACCAGUCUAGCUUUAUAUCUUUCAAUAGUACCAUCCGCCUUAAUUUUCUUUUUGAAAAUCCAUUUACAUCCUAAGGGCUUAGAACCAAGAGGUAAAUCUACCAAUAUCCAAGUAUCAUUCCCCAGGAUCGAUUUCAUCUCAUCAUUAACUGCCUCAGUCCAAAAAGAAGCAUCACGUGAGGACAUGGCAUCCUGGAAAUUCCAAAAUAUACAUUUGAAAAUCAGGACAAAAAUUUGUUGAUUUCCUGAUUCUCUUACUUCUCCUAGGUUUUAUAUUCUCAACGUUCUCAUGCUUACCAAUUUUACGUUUAUCGCGUUGUUCUUCAUAUUCAUUAUCUUGCUCACCAAUAACUGUGUGUUGAAAAAAUUUUGCAUCCCUUGCUCUAUAAUUACAUUAGAUUCCAGGUCCAAAAAUCUUUAUGCUUUGCUGUAAUUAGCAUAGCCCACAAAAACGCACUUAACAGAUCUAGGUCCAAUUUCGGGCCUCCUAAAGUCAGAGAGCCUUACCAAAGCUGCACAACCCCAGACCUUGAGGAAUCCUAAAAGAAGUUUCCUUCCUUUCCAAAGUUCAUAUGGUGUAGCAUAAGAUUUUGAAUAUGGUAUCCGAUUUAAAAUGAAACAAGCUAACAUUAAAGCCUCUCCCAAAGAUUUGCAGGGAGGUUAGAACUGAUGAGCAUGGCAUUCACCAUAUCCAUAAGAGUGUGAUUUUUCCUUUCAGCUAAACCAUUCUAUUGCGGCAUGUAUGGGGUAGUAACCUGGUGAAUUAUUCCAUUUUCUGCACAAUAAUUAAUGAAGUCAGCGGAACAAUAUUCACCACCUCUGUCACUUCUAAAAACCUUAAUUCUUAAAUUCAGCUGGUUUUCAACUUCUAUUUUGUAAACCUUGAAUUUCUCAAAUACUUCAUCUUUGUUUCUAAUCAAAUAAACAUAGGUGUAUCUUGAGAAAUCAACUAUAAAAGUGAAAGUAUUUCUUCCCACCACAAGUCCGUACGCCUAUCAAAUCACAGACAUCACUAUGUAUCAAUUCCAAUAACCUAGAACUUCUUUCCGCUUUAGGAAAGAGUUUUCUUGUAAUCUUUGACCGCACACAUACAUCACAAAGAGUAUUAUCUAAAUUCGCACACUUAGGAACUGGUCUAAAGUACUCAUUUUUCUUAAUGCAUGAAAACUAGCAUGAUCUAAUCUACCAUGCCAUAAAGAAAAGGAGUCGAGCAUAUACACAAAAGAAGAUAUACAUGUUUCAUUGAGAACACUCGGCUUGAACAUGCCCUCAAUAGCGUAACCCCUUCCCACAAAGACAUCAUUCUUGGACAAGAUAAACUUGUCAGACUCGAAAACAAGUUCAAAACCCCUCUUGUUCAAAAGGUAUGUUGACAUCAAAUUUCUCCAGACUUCAGGGGCAUAAUAUACAUCCAAGAGGGUGAGGACUUUACCUAAUGUGAAUUUUACUUCAACCGCCCCUUUACCAAGUACCUUAGAGGAGGAUGAAUUGCCCAUAUAGAGGACAGUAUCCUCCCCCACCAUUUCAUAGGCCCUAAACAUGUAUUUUUUGUUACAAACAUGUCAGGUAGCUCCAGAGUCAACCCACCAUUCUAUAGUGCCCCAUACAACAUUAACUUUAGACAUCAUAGCGACAAAUUUUUCUUCGACCACAUUAGAAUGAGCUAGCUGUCUCAUUCAAAUUCUACAGAAUUUCGUCAUAUGAUUGACAUUGCCACAAAAAUGGCAUACCAUGGGUAUCUUACCCUUAGUCUGAGUUGUCUUUGUAUUUAAAACUUUCGGGACCUUUUCCUCUUUCUUAUCUUCAAUUUUCAUUCCUUUUCAGUUCUUGGCUUCUUCUUUCUCGGACCUUCAACUACAUGGGCUCUGAGGACCAUCUGAGACUUAUAUUCUUUCUUAUCCUGGACUCUGGUCUCCUCUUCAAUCCUCAGAUGGGUAUUAACUGUUCAAGGCUGAAGUCUUCAUGCUUGUGCAUCAAUGUGCUCUUGUAGUCUUCCAGGAAGGCGGCAAUUUAUCAAUUAUUGCCCCAACAUGGAAUAUCUCAUCAAAUUUAAUACCAUUAGAUGCGAGUUCAUUGGCUAUGAUUUGAAAAUCAAGAAUUUGAGCCAAUACCAAUUUUUCUUCUGUAAUUUUAAAAUUAAACUAUCUAUUAAUGAGAUACUUCUUUCUACCAGCAUCUUCUUCUUUAUAUUUGGCUUCUAGAGCCUCCCAGAGUUCUUUUGUAGUUGACAUUCCUGAGUAAAGAUCAAACAAAUGAUCAUUUAGUGCAUUCAGGAUAUGUCCUUUAUAUAUGUAAUCAUUUUCAUCUCAUGCUUCAAUUUCUUCAGCAAUCCGAUCUGAAGUAGUCUGAUCACUGGUAUUCUCCGAGGAAGUAGUUGGAGCAAUGGGACGUGGUUUCCUUAUUACAUACUCUACUUUUAAGGUCCUCAGAAGAAAUAGGACCUUAGACUACCAUCCUCUGAAAUUAAUUCCUUUAAAGCAAUCUAGCUUUACGAAAUCCUGGGUCAUUGAUUUCAACGAGCUUCCAGCAGUUAUCUCGUAAAAUUAAACACUUCAAAAUUGUUAGUUUCAGUCACGGUAGAUAACCAGGCAGGCGGUGGAUACCCUGACAAACGGUCUAAAACCUGACUGAUGUUUGAUGGCCUGACUUACACUGACUGAUGUUUGAUAGCCUGACUUACAGUCGAUGGCCUAACUUACAGUCGAUGGCCUGAUUUAAAGUCGAUGGCCUAGCUUACAGUUGAUGGCCUAGCUUACAAUCGAUGGCCUAACUUACAGUCUCAAUUCCCUGAAAAAUUUUGGCAACACCUCUCCUUAUUCGGGAUUUGUGACAGAAGAAUAAUACCAAAACACUCCUAGUACCAGUCGGACUCCCGUAGGAAUCGGAGCAGUUUCGGACAUAAUAUCAAGGAACAGAACACUCCUACUACCAGUCAGACUCCCGUAGGAAUCGGAGCAAGUUUUGGAGGUUAUAUCGAGUGACUAUGUAUAUCUGGAAUCUGGAGCCACGAGAUGAGCUCGCAUUCUUCAAAGUCUUUAAUGCCCCCAACUCGAUUAUAAAACCGAUAUGCAAACGGUACUGGGCAAGGCCACUCUUAGGAUAUAGCCAAAUCAGGAAGAAAUUCUUGAAUCUCUGAGUUGCACGCUCAAAGACUCGCUCAAAAUCACAGCAAAAUCAAACUGAUAUGUUCUUCUCUGUUACUAAAAUAUUUUAACAGACUAUUUCAAAUUAUACCCAAAUAACUUCUCUAAUUUAAUAUGAAGAUACUCCUGUAAGCAUUCAAAAAGUUGUAACAAACUCUAAGAUAGGUAAACAGGCAUCAUGAAACAUGGCAUACCCAAGAAACAUGGUAUACCCAUCGUAAGUCACUAUGAAAAAGCACUUAGAGAGAGAGAGAGAGAAGUACGAUUUUUCCGAUUUUCACACACCAACCAACCUCUUCUCUCUCUAGAAUGAAAACAAAUUUAUAAGGGAGGAGUGGAUUGGUCAAGAAAAAAGAGGACCACAGCAUUACCAAAACAUGAACUCAUGUGAUGUCAACACAUCAUGACCAUGUGGCAAAUAAUAAGAGACUUAAAAGGACAGAGAGAGAUGAGAAGGCACCACAUGUCGCCUAAAGCUUAAAGAAAUCAAGGAGAAUCCCAAGAGUUAACCGACUAAAGAGGUAAAAGAGUAAGAAAAGAAAGUGUGGUCCCUAGUACCUCCCAAAGUAAAGAAGUCAAGUAUAAAAGAAGAGGUAGUAAAGUUCUGUUUGUUUUGAAACAAAACAAAAUAGUUUAAACAGUUUUUAAUUAGGAUUUCUAUUUUAGUAAGAAUUAGGAUUCAUUGGAUUUUGAGUAGGGGUUAUACUAGGGCAUUUCUUUUGGAGUUGGAUAUUAUUUGCUUUGAGAGUCAUGGUAAGCUAGAGAGUUAAGAAGCUUGGUUUGACGCAUCUAUCAUUAUUUUUAGUCAACUUUUCAGUUCAUUGAUUUCUUUUUAUAAGUUCCCCACUGUAUCAUCUGAUAUGUAAAUAGACCCAUUCCCAACACCAUGAUUGGAGGUUAAGGAAGCUAGGCUCGUGGUGAUGAUGAUGAUGAAGUUACAUGAAACAAGUUCAAUGAUCAGAAGACGAUGAUUGAGGAACUAGCGUAUGAGGUACGUCAAAAACAUUAGAAAGGAGGUUCAAGUAUCUGAUGCACAGGGUGCAUACAACCGGCUCCGAUCAACAAUUAAUUGUUCAAGACAAAGGCAUCUCUAGAUCCUACAUAAUCUGUGACUAAGAAUUCUUUCUAUAACCAUGGAAUGGAUGAAGCUUUGCUUCACGAGAUCUUUCUCAUGAUGACUGCCUAUUUAAACCUAUCUUUGAUGAGGAAGGAGAAGAUCAACAAGAAUAAACCUGCAGCAAUGGCUUUCGAUUUUCCAUUUAAAUCACCCUUAUUUGAUCCUAUAAGUGGUUCGAUCUAUGAUGAAAAUGAGAUAUUAUGGAUGAACCAACUUUAUGAAGAACCUUUGGAAAAAUUUGAGGGUCCCAAGGGAUACUAAGGGGAGAUUAAAUUUUGGAACGGACAAAUAAACCCCACAUGACACAGUAAACCAGGAAACCCUAGAUGUUGGGGUUUGUAGCCUUUAGAGGCCUAAAGAACAUGUACAUAAAAUUAAUUAUAAUGGAUUAUGCACUUCAGUGGGAGUGUAUACGUUUGACUUGACCUAGGGUUGAACAAUUUAUGGCCCAGGUCAUGUCCAAAACCCUUACCCAUAGGCAUAGGCACUACUAUUGAUGGUUUAUUGUGCGUCAUCCCUUAUUAAGGUCAAAGAGAUGCUUAGUGACGUUAUUUGUAGGCCAGGAAGUUGUGUAGUCUCCUGUAUACAGAGGAAGGGCCCGUGAGAGCGAUGGUCAAAUCUUCAACAAAACUUUCGCACAGCGUGUACAUAUGCAUAAAAAACAUGAACAUGUGCAUAAAAAAAGCCCCCAUGCACUAUAGCGAUAUGUGCAUUUCAACUUGCUCUAAAGGGUGGAAUCUGAAAUCCACAUACUAAGACUAUGGUUCCACUGUUUAUUGGCCAGUUUUAACAGGCCAAUCAUAAGCCCCUGCACUUGAUUGUGGGUCAUAUGUCUUUUUGAGUUGGUUUUAAGAAGAAAGUAAAGGAUUAUGGAUCCUAGCACAUCACUCCCUGACAUUCACUUGUUUUAGACUUAUAAGGUACCAAUCCACUUCUAUUAAGUCUUCUUAAGUGUUUUAAAAUUUUAAAGACUCUAGAAAUAUUGUUUUUAACUAAAAUGUCUUCUUGUGCGUUUUGGAUAUUUUCAUAUUUUAAAAUAUUUUAUUUGCAUAAAAAACCCUUAAGAGGGUAUUUUUGUAAUUUUAUAAAUCUGAGGGGGCAUUUUUAGAAACUAAUAAUAAUUCGGUGGGACCCACGUGGAGGGGCAAAGGGCCAAUCCCCACAUAAGUGGGGCCCACUUGGGCCAAACACCCCCAUUGCCCAUUAUUUGUGAUUUUAAUUCUUAAUUGUGUUUUAAUUAAAAUAAAAUAUUCUAGUUGAUUAUUCUUAAAUAUUUUCUUAGUAAAAAAAUUUAGUGGAUUUUUUUAUCUAGAUAAUCUUUGACCAAUUUAAAUUAAUUUGAAUUCCUAAUUAUUGCUUUGUGAGGGAAAAGGAAUUAUAAAUUUACCUAGAUUGUUCUAGAAUAUGAACUUAAUUGGUCAUAGAUCUCGAUAAAGAUUGAAGUUGAUAAUGGGUUAAAUCUUAGCUAGGUGGGUGGAGUGGAGAUGUGCAUUUAGAGUUUUAUGUGAUCGCCACAUUACCAAAAAAAUUGAAGGGAAAGUUCAAUAUGAUGGCUGUAAGAGUAGCCACGUUUUAUGGGAUGAAAUGUUGGGCGUUAAGAAACAAUAUAUCCAUAAAAUGAGUGUAUUUGAGAUAAUGUAAUUGAGAUGGAUGAGUGGCAAGACAAGAAAGGAUAAAUUUUAGAAUGAAUACAUCUGAGGGAACUUAGGGUUAGUUCCAAUAGGCAAUAAGAUGAGGGACAGUAGACAUAUGUGGGUAGCAUGUGCAGCAUAGAUCUAAUGCAACACCUGCUAGGAAGGGCGAUUAGAGUUAAGUGGAAGGCUCUAAAAGGGAGGCAAAUGCCCAAAAGGAAAUGGAUGGAAGUAGUGAGAAUAGAUAUAGUGACUUAUGAUCUAACUGAGGGUAUGGCCCUUUGAUAGAGUAGAAUGGUGGAAGAGGACUUAUGUAGCAGACCCCAAAUAGUUGGGGUAAAGCUCAGAUGGUUAUGACCAAUGUAGGAAAAAUCGAACUGGAACAGCUCAUCAAACAUGGGGCCAGAACAUUGUUCGCAAAAUCGACCGAUCUAACCACUAACCGCCCGGUUAGAUUGGAACCGGCCAGUGCCGGUUUUGGGCGGUUAGGGUGAUCAACCGGUAUUUUUAAAAAAAAAAAAUUCAAAAAAAUGUAUAUAAAUUCUCAAAAAUAAGGAAUUUGACUUGUAAUGCAUUUUUAAAUAUUCUUUACAUUAUGGUAAAGAUUAAAAAUUGUUUUGGUCAUUAAUACUCACUUUUAUAUUUUCCCAUCUUUUUAGAAAAUUUUAAAAAUAGCCCUUCGAAAAUAUAAAAUGGGUUAAAAUCCAUUUUUUUAAUUAAUUUUCAACUUCAUUUGAAUCUGUUUUGUUUUAAUCAUUCUUUAUAUGCUUUUCAUAUUUUAGUAGAUUUUUUUUGUAUUUUUAUUUAUGUUUUUUCAACACUUUUUUGAACGCCCGAGACUUGCCUGGUUAGAGCGGUUGAAUCGACCGGUUUACCGGUUAGGCCGGUUAAACCACUUCCGAGCCCAUGGCCGGUUAACCGUUCCGGUUCGAUUUUGCAAACACUAGGCCGGAAGCAAUUCAACUGGCCUAACCGAUAAACCGACCAGUUCAACCAGUUUAACCGAGCAAGUCCCGAACAAUUGAAAAGUGCUAAAAAAAUGCAAAAAAAAAAAUCCAAUAAAAUAUGAAAUGUAUCCUUAAAACAUGAUUAAACAAAGCACAUCCAAGCAAAGUUGAAAAUUAAUAAAAAAAUGGAUUUUAAAGAAUUGAAUUGUGCCCAGGGGUAUUUUUGCAAUUUUCCAAAAAAAAGGGAAAAUGUAAAAAUAAGUAUUAAUGUCCAAAACAAAUUUAAAUAUUUGCCAAAAUCAAGGAAAGCAUUAAAAAAAAUGCAUUACAAACAAAUUCCCUUAUUUGGGAUUUUAUAAAAUUUAUUUUAAAAUACCCGGCUGGUUAACCAAAAUUGGCCGAAACCGGAAGAAGCCACUAACCGAGUAGUUACGACUUGAACUGCCCAUUUUUCCCAUACUAGUUAUGACAAUGAUGAUGAAUCUAUGAGCGUAGUUUUGACUUGUCCUUGAGGGUAGGAAGAGAAUUGAGUGACGAAAAAAGGUGGUUUCUAUAGAUAGAGGAUUGGACUAUAGUUGCAAAGUUGAAGCAGGUUAUUAAGGGAGUUUGGGUUGUCUAGGAUUAAACAAAGAAAACAAUGAAAGAUAUAAGGUGAUCUAGAAAGACGAAUUGGGUUUAGGUGUUGGGUCACUGAGGGUUGUUUUCCUGAGGCCACAUCAUGUGUUUAAAGCAGUGUUCGCAAAAUCGAACCAGAACGGUUAACCGGUCAUGAGCCUGAGAGCAGUUCGAACCAAAACCGGACUAAUCGGAGCUGUUAACCGGACUAAUCGGUCAAGUAGGUUUUUUUAAAAAAAAAUGGGUCAAAACCCCCCAAGAAAAAUAGAAAAACUUAGAUUAAGUAUACACUACCAUAUUACAUACAUUUAUCUUAUAAAAAAAAAUUCAAACAACUUUUUAUAAUUUAAUAUUUGAAUAUUAUGGAGAUAUGCGAGAAAAUUUAUAAUUUCACAUAAAUUCAAUUGAUGAAGUUACAAAGUCCAACUAACAAUGGAUGAUGCAACGAUAUAUGCUUUUAUAUUUUUUUAAUGUUGAUGUUGAAAAAUGUUGUUUUAAUGUUGAAAAACCCUUUAAUACGGUUUAGAAUUGGAUUUCAGAGCGUAUUUUUUUGUAGAAUGAUGUUCCCAGUUUUUCGAAGGGUUGUGAGUCAAGGUAGUAAGAGAGAGCACCUCAUAUACUCAGCAACUUGGUUAUCAAAUCCAAGGUAUGGGUCAAGGUGUUAAGUAUUGCUUCAAAUGGCCAAAUCGCAUAUUUUAAAAAAUAUGGCUAAGUCGAUUUUCAAAUGGCCAAAUCGAUUUUAAAAUGACCAAACCUCAUUUACUCAGUACCCUUUUGAGUUAGGUUUUAACAUGAAAAAAAAAAAAUUAUAUAAGAUGGCAACUUCAAAAUCUAGAAUUAAGAUGCAUAUUAAUAAUAAAAGAAAAAAGGUUAAUUUUUUAUCCAUUUCAGCAUGUGGAAACAUGAGAGAUGAGAAACGCUUUUUAGUUUCUACCUCUUUUCUUCAUAGAGCUAAUAAACAGAUUUAAGGAGUAUGAAGUUGCAAAAAAUGAUUGAUAGCUUGAAACAAAUAAAAAACAAAUUAGAAUGAAAUGUCAGAACUAAACAAGAAGUUGAGAACUAAGAUUACAGUAACAAGCACCAAAAAAAAUCUUAAAAAGAAAUAAAUUUUUUUCUCAUAUUCAUCACAAAAAAAAAUAUUUUUAUAAAAAAAAUAUAUAACAUUAAAACCAAUCCAACAAGCUCACCAAAAAUAUAUAACAUUAAAAAGAAGCAAAUAUUUUUUUCUCAUAUUCAUAAAAAAAAGGACAUAUUUUUGUAAAAAACAUAAAUAACAUAAAAAACGAUCCAAAAAGCUCACCAAAAAUAUAUAAAAUUAAAAAAAAAAAAGAAUAUAUUUUUUUUCUCACAUUCAUCACAAAUAACAUAUUUUUAUAAAAACAAAACGUAAUUUUAUUAAAAAACAAAUUUUUUUUAAGAACCCUAACAUCGAGCCAAAUAACACAUAAACUUUAGAGUCAAAAUUAACCCCAAAUCUUUCAUUUUUUGAACAAAUUGACAAGGGGAUAUGAUAGAUACUUUAAUUAAGAUUCAAAUGGCCCAAAUUUCAUAAAGAUUCAAUCACUAUUGAGAUAUUUAUCCAAAAAAUUGCGGAUUUAAUUAAUAGUAAAUCAAAAAUUGAUAUAAAAAAAUUUAAUUAAUAGUAAAUCAAAAUAAUUAGUUUAUUUGAUACAUGAGGCCUUUAUGAUCUCAACGAUCAAUUCGAUAAAAAUUGAUCAAUUUGUUUGGAUAUAAAACAGUUCUUCGAGCAGCAGUACUUCGGGCCCAAACAAACCUCAAAAUCUUCAUCGUUUUGGAAAAUUUGAAAUAUGUGAACGUUGAAUCCUUCAACAAUGAAUCAAAGCCCUCCACGUUUAUGAAAAUCUAUGAGGUAUUGAAGCUGCAUUUGAUAAAAUGGCAGAAAUUUCUAAUUUUCAAAAAACCCUAUGUCAAUCCGCCGAGAACUCUUUGUUUUUGGAAUUUUGAUUCAAUAAUCGACAAUUUAUAGAAACUUUCCGGUGUAUAACAUCAAUAGUUGACCGAAAAAAACAAAAAAUAUACAAAAAAAAAAGCGAUAAAAUCUUGUUCUGUGAAAAAUAACAGGCAUGUAUCAAAUAACGGCCGUUAUUUGAUGCGUUGAAAAACACCGUUAUAUCGGGCAUUAAAAUGGUAAACCGAACUGGUUAGGAAAAACUGGCCGAUUUGUACUAAAAACCGCCGGUUCGACCUCAAACUGACCGGUUUUGGUGCCGAUUUUUUUUGGACACUGCCGUCUUAUGAGGUGUGCCGUAAAACCGGCCCUAACUGGACUCGCUACCACACCGGUAGCGAUCUAACUGACCAGUUCCGGUUCUAACCGGUCGGUUUUGCGAACACUGGUUUAAAGAAAGGCUCUUGUGAAUUUUCGUGGCAAUCUAACACCAAACAAUGGAAAUGGAAAUGUUUGCAAGGAAUCCAUGAACUUUAAAUUGGUUGUUUAACAGGAGAAAACAGGAAUCCAAGUCAAUAAUCAUUUAUUUUAAAAUGCAUGGAUUUUGAAACUUUGUGGCUUCAAUUUUUCUCUUACUCAAACGGCCCCUUUAUGGAAUUUUCGAAUUUCUCCUAACAAUAUGUCCAAUCAUUUAAACUAAAAGGCAUGUGCAUUAAAAAGUAAGGGCAUGUUUGGACGACAAUUACUUCUGUCAAGAGUAGACUAUCUUAUACAAAAUUAAUAUAUUGUGUAUAAUAUAGAGUAUAAUAUUAUUUUAUUAGCUAUCUGGUACAUGUGUUGUAUUAUACAUAUCAUUGUUGUUUAAAUUUUUAAAGUUUAUAGCGAUUUUCAACUUUUCUAGUCAUUUUUUACCAAAGAACACAUGAUUUUUUUAGUAAAUUACUAUGAAUAUGAGGUAACAAUAGUUUCAUAAAAAGACAAACUCGUAUGUAGAGCUGCCUAUAAGCUUAUCUCAGAUAAUUUUAUGACGGGUAUCGCCAAACAACGGAUAAUUCAUCAUCAAGAUUUUUAUCGAAACAAUGAAUUAUCAACGAUAACAAGUACAUCCAAAUAAGCCCUAAGAAUAUUUAACUCAUUAUCAUCAAAGCCUUUUCCCAUCUAAUUGGGGUCGGAUCCCUAAGAAUAUUUACGUACUUAUCACAAAAGUCGAGUUCAACACUCUUCUCCAAGCUCCGACCCUAACCUAUUGUGGCUAUUGCUACACUCAUAAGCCACAUCGAAAAUACACAACACAUAUCUUGUGCUCUCCAUUAUCAAGAUGAGCGAUAGAUAUGACCCGUAGUAUCGGCAUUACACUAAAAACUUCAUCUCCUCCAUUCUCAAGUUGAACAGUAAAUGCCCGGGCUGCAUAUGACAUACCAUACACAAGAUGUGCAUGGCUACAUCACAACAAUCCUAUGUUAGUUCAAGACAGAAAAACAAAAGAGCAUAUCGUCCCAACAAUGUAUAAAACCAACUCCAAAUGAAAAAACAGUUUCGGAAUAGCAUCAACACUACACCUUAAAGAUUCACUAUGUUUUGGGGAUAUCUAAUGGUAUCAUGAACUGCCUCUCAUUUCUACACCUUAAGAAUUAUGUCAAUAUAAACAAAAGCCUAACAAUUAACAACGACCAGUUUUAUGCUAUAUGACCUAUCCGCGUGGUUUCUAUAAGAGUACUUUAUUCCCUAUUUGUAUACUCGUUAUGUGCGCUUUUGGUUCAUAUGUCACUGUAAUGGAAUCUAUGAGACUUGGGGCUUCAUUAUUUUGUUAAUAAGUGGUAGCUUGUGCAUUUCUAAGGGAAAUAAUAAAUUAGCUCAAUGAUACGAUCAAGUUGUUUACCUUUGGUAUAAGAAGGUUAGAACAUAACUAACUAUGUAGUUGGAAGUAUACUAUUGACAACACUCAGAACUCUAAAGAGUUCUCCUCAAACUUUGACACUAGCUACAUGAUUUUACAUCUAAUAAAUAAGAGUAGUUGUGAUCUCCUCGUACCAAGGUAAAGAGUAUUAUAGUAUACAAUCUGAUAUAAAAUAAGUGUUAAUACAAAGAAAAACCAUUUUGAGUCAUUAUAUCCCUCCAAUGCAAUGAUUAUCCAACCCAUCAUCAACACAUUUCCUAAUUUCACAUAUUAAUCAUAUUAGGUUACCACUGUAAUCAAGUACUCAAAAAAAAUCUAACAAUGAUGAAAAAACAGUGUUGAAUGCCAAGAGAUAGAAAGUGGGGGUGACGGAGUAAUUUAAGAAGAAGAGGGAGAUGUCAAUGAAUCAAUCACAUACCUAUAAACCAAAAAAACCAAGUACAACAUGCCUCAGAGAGAGAGCGAGAGAAGGGAAGAGAGAGAUGUGCAUCAAUUAACUCACCCCUAUAAUUCCCAGAAAAAAGCAAAUGCAAAAUCAUGCUUCAUGUGGGUGGGAAGAGAGAGAGAGUGUGUGUGUGUGAUAUUUUCAGUCCGCCUAUAAACCAAGAAAAUUGCAAACCCACAUACCUCAAGUGGGCGAAGAGAGAAGCAGCCAUGGCGCCAAACUUGGGGAAUUGCCAACCAGACCAGAGAGAAAGGGGCAAGUAAACAUCCACAAUAACAACCGCUCUAGCCCCCUCCACUUCUCUCUCUAAAACCCUAAUUAUUCGAGCACAAAUUCUAAUACACUUGUUGGCGAUGAGAACAUGGAGAUGCCGCACAAUGCUUGUGCCUCCAUGGCCAACUCUCCUUCGUUUCCUACUAGAAGAGCCAUUUGGGGUCAUCUGCUUUUGGCCAGAGGGGAGAGAAGGCUCAUUUGAUACAGGAGAGAGAAGGUGACCCGCUCCAGUACGAAAACCCGCAUUGGGUCCCUCGGAGGAGAGAAAGAGAGGAGAAUCAAUGGUUAAUUGCGGGGACUCUUCUGGUUCAUGGUGCUCUUGUUCCUGGUUUGGUGGGUUGAGAGAGAGAACGGCGAGGAGGAAGCCGCAGAGCUUGUGGUCAUUGGUGUCUGGGAUUGAAGGUUUACGAGGCGGUGGCGCAGGCAUGGUCGGACCACGGGGUUUGCAGACCAUCUAUCUUCUUCCCCUUCUUCUCUCUCUAGACAGAAUGAAACGGGACUCAAGCUCGGGUUGGGAGUUGGAAUUUCAGAGCCUGCACUUUGCUCCCCUAAUAAAUAUUAUGAGAGAGGGCAGGAAGAAGAGGGAGCAAAAUGGAGAUAGAUUUGACUAUGAAGAGAGGGCGAUUACUUGUUAAAUGGGGACAUUUGGGAGAGAGGGUGCUUCAUCAAUGGAAAAAGUUUAUGUAAGGAUAGAGGGUGCUUCAUCAAUGGAAAAAGUUUAUGUAAGGAUGCAACCUUAUAAUGUAGAACUACGGAUGCACCUCCAAAAAUCCAUCGGACAAGGCAUUUUUAAUGAUGAAAAACCCUUCGAUUGAUCACCUCGAAAUCGAGAUAUAUGACCAUGAAAAUAAAAUUAUUUUAAGUACCAAAAAUAGUAUGUUUUAUAACAUAUUAUCUACAUCAUCCAUUUUAAUGAUUUUCAUAUGAUUUUAGAUCUACUUGAUUUUAACCAUUUUCUAAAUUUAAAAUUUUAUAAUUAGAUAUAAAAAUAGAUUUGAGAUAAUCCUAAAGACAUUUUCCAUCAAAAUUAUAUACCAUAAUAAAUUUUAAAGGUGUUUCUUACCUCUACAGUUAUGGAUGCAUCCGUAUGCAAAAUUGCACCCUUCAUCAAUUGUCAUCAUAGUUUUUUUAUUUAUUUGGUUUGGACUGCACAAAAUUUAGUCUGUCUGGUUGCUUUACGAGAGAUAUAUUAUCAAUCAGGUCUCAUCGAUCCACACUAUUUUUUAAGCUUUAAAUUUUAUAAUUAAAGAUAAAAAUAUAUUUUAAGGCUAUCAUAAAGAUUUUCCAUAUUGAAAGCAUAUUUCUGGACACUACUUGAAUGUGGGCUCUAUACAAACCGCACCCUUGAAAAAGUUUAUAUUGAGCCGAGGCUCUAAACCAUCUAAUUAGAGCCCGUCUCAAAACUUUCACCAGAAGAGGUUGUUUUGAUGCCCAAAUAUCCACAAAUUGAUCAUCUCGGCAUCAAAAUGCAUGGAGAUGAGAAAUAAAUGGAAUUCAAAAUUUGGAAAUAGUGCAUCUUGUAAUGUAUUUUUGGACUGUCAAUUUUCCAGAUUUUCAAGUUUUCAAUAGAUAUGCUCGAUCUACACUAUUUUUUAAGUAAUAAAAUUUAUAAUUAAAGAUGAAAAUAUAUUUUUAGGCUAUCACAAAGAGUUUCAGUAUUGAAACCAUAGUUCUCGACACUAUAUGUUCCAAUUUGAUUGUUUAGAGCCUCGGCUCUAUGCAAACCACACCCUUUUGUUAAGGAAAAAGUUUCUAAUAGAGCCGAAGCUCUAAACAAUCAAAUUAAAGCCCACCUCAAAACUUUCACUAGAAGAGGUUGUUUUGAUGCCCAAAUAUCCUCAAAUUGAUCAUCUCGACAUCAAAAUACAUGGACAUGAAAAAAAAAUGGAUUUUAAGAUUUGGAAAUAGUGCAUCUUAAAAUGCAUUUUUGGACCGUCAAUUUUCAAGUUUUCAUAUAUCGGUUAAAUCAACACUAUAUUUUAAGCUUUAAUUUUUAUAAUUAAGGAUGAAAAUAUAUUUUUAGGCUAUCACAAACAUUUUCAGUAUUGAAACCAUAUUUCUCGACACUAUUCGAAGGUGGACUCUAAUUUGAUUGUUUAGAGCGUUGGCACUAUACAAACUGCACCCAUUUGUUAAGAAAAAGUUUCUAUAGAGCUGAGGCUCUAAACAAUCAAAUUAGAGCCCGCCUCAAAAAUUUCACUAGAAGUGGUUGUUUUGAUGCCCCAAUAUCCUCAAAUUGAUCAUCUCGACAACAAAAUGCAUGGACAUGAGAAAAAAUGGAUUUCAAGUUUCGGAAAUAGUGCAUUUUUAAUGCAUUUUUUGACCGUCAAUUUUCCAGAUUUUCAAGUUUUCAAUAGAUCUGCUCGAUCUACACUAUUUUUAAAGUUUAAAUUUUAUAAUUAAAGAUUAAAAUAUAUUUUAAGGCUAUCACAAAUAUUUAUAGUACUGAAACUACAUUUCUUGAUACUAUUUGAAGGUGGGCCCUAAUUUUUUAGAGCCUUGGCUCUAUACAAACCACACCCUUGAAAAAAGUUUAUAUCGAGCCGAUACUCUAAAUCAUCAAAUUAGAGCCCGUCUCAAAAGUUUCACUAGAAAGGUUUGUUUUGAUGCCCAAAUAUCAUCAAAUUGAUCAUCUCGAUAUCAAAAUGCAUGGACAUGAGAAAAAAUUGAUUGCAAGAUUUGGUAAUAGUGCAUCUUGUAAUGCAUUUUUGAACUAUCAAUUUUCAAGAUUUUCGAGUUUUCAAUAGAUCUGCUCGAUCUACACUAUUUUUUAAGCUUUAAAUUUUAUAAUUAAAAAUGAAAAUAUAUUUUUAGGCUAUCACAAAGAUUUUCAGUAUUGAAAUAGUAUUUCUCGAUACUAUUUGAAGGUGUGCUCUAAUUUGGUUUUUUAAAGCCUUGGCUCUAUAUAAACUUUUUCCUUAACAAUCAAAUUAGAGCCAAGGUUCUAAACAAUCAAUUUAAAGUCCACCUAAAAAAUUUCACUAGAAGAUGUUGUUUUGAUGCCCAAUUAUCUUCAAAUUGAUCAUCUUAUAGGGUUUAGUUUAUUUUAUCCUUUGGAACUCCAAGUUCCAAAUUGUUUUUGCUUUUUGUUUUUUUAUAUAUUUAUUUUGAUUCCAAACUAUAAUUUUGCCGAGCCAAUGGAUAGUCUACUCUCUAUCUAAGGUAAAACCGUUUAUUUUAGGACCCCAAAUUUUGAGAAUAAUCAUCUCCUAAUUCUUAAGUAGCUGCCAAUUUGCAGAUUGAAAUUAUUAUUUGAGCAGAAGUAAAUUAUGCUCCCCAGGGAGCAAAAUAUAUGGGCGCCUUUGUAAAACGCUUACGAGCUUCAAUGUCCAUUCGCGUGUCGAUUCAUCAGGAAAUUGUUCCUCAUCUGCAUGAGCUUCUGUCAAUCUUUGUUUUUGAAAGUGUUAACUUUUAUGCAUAUAGUAAGGGAAGUACAAACGAGGAAAGGAAGAGAGACGCUAGCAGAAGUACAGGGGGAGAGAGAAAAGAGAGAGAAGAAGAGACUGAAUAAAAUGGCCUUCUUUUUUAGGGUUACAUUGAUAAACAAAACAACCAUAGGAAAGAAAGCCAUCCCAAAACUUCAUUGAAGUCCUUCCAGAGCCGCUCCUUUGGCCAGAGCAUCCACCUCGUGGUUUGAUUACUUCGCAAAGGUAGUAGAUUUCAUCAGUGAAACAGUAUCCAUGGAAUGGAGGAGAAUAAACCACCUUCAUUCCCAAUGCAAAUACAUCUGAAACAGAAUGGUAGUUCUAUGUUUUUUCGAGUAGAUGUACAUUUGAAACUUUGGAAAUCCUGGGUCACGUGUUUGGUUGAAAUCACAAUAACCACAGGGUGCUUAAUAUGUUUUGAUGCUUUUAUCAGUCUCAUGCUGUAAAAGAAUUAGCAAUAUUGUCAAAAACAUAAUUUACUGUCAAGAUAUUGCUGUGCAUGCAUCUCAAGAGACCAUAAACCUAAAGAUCAUAUGCUAAAAAAAACAAUUCGAUAACUCUUCAAAACAUGUUCUUUUAGAAUGCAUAAAGCACACAUCAAAUUAAGUGUGUGAUUUGAUUCAGGGUUCAUAAGCAUAGACUGUCGACAUCUUGAAGGGAGCUACAAGGAUCCAAACACCACUAUCAUCUAUACUUCCGAUGCGAACUAUGUGGACACCGGAGAAGUUAUGCCAAUCGAUGACAGCACUCAACUGAUGCAGUACCGGUAUCUUCGAAUGUUUAAACAUGGACAAAGGAACUGUUACAAUGUGACUGGCUUGAUGGAUAACCGCAGAUAUCUGAUCAGGGCUUGGUUCUUGCAUGCAAACUAUGAUUCCAGCUUCAAGUUGCCAAAGUUCGACCUGUACUUGGGAGUAGACUUCUGGUACACUGUCAGCUUUAAGAGUUUCUAUGAUCCAGUUUGGACUGAGAUUAUCAGCUUGAGUAAGGCGAAUUCUAUGGCUAUAUGUCUACUGAAUACAGGCAUUGGGUAAGGCGAAUUCUAUGGCUAUAUGUCUACUCAAUACAGGCGUUGGGACACCUUUUUUAUCUGCAUUAGAGCUUCGGAUAUUGCCUGACUACAUGUAUACUAUAGUUAAUGAUUCAUGGUCUUUGACGACUUACUAGUGACCUGAUGUAGGUAGCCUUUCGCCUAUGAACAUUAGGUUAGUGAUGACUAGAACCUUUGCCUUCAUCUCUAGUUUUCCUAAUGAUUGUGGUUGAAGAUCCCGGAACAAGUGGGGUCGGGGUCGGGGUCGUGGUCGCAAAUUGCCUCGAGAGGCUAAAAUCAAAGCAAAUUAUGUAAAUAGCCUCGAUUUUUCUACGUUUAAAUGUUUAAUUAAUGUAUUUAAAAAAGAACUCCACAGGACCUUACCCCUCAAAAAACAAAUAAUGGGAAAAAGUAGCUGUUUUAUACUCUUUUUAUAAAGUUACUAGUUAAAAUUUAGAUUGGAUGUCUUAAACACCUGAUAUAUUUAUGGAGAUGCUUUAUCAUGAUAAUUUCAUAAGGAGAGAAGAUUAGGUGCCGAAUACUAUGGAGACAUGUAAGAUGGCCUUAGAGAAACCUAGUCAAGUGGAUUUCAAGAACCUCAAAACUAUCUCAUCAAGGAAUUGCAUUCAAAGUGUAAGCCACUACUAUCUCGUCAGAUGCUUGUUUCAUGUGCUACUAACCAUAUUUUCUGUUAAAUUCAAUGUCACUCUUAGGACUAACCAUAUCUCAUUAGAAGUAAGAACUAUACAGAGAGCAUUCUGUCAAGAAACAAGGAAAAAGGAGAGAGAGAGAUCACCCCAUCAACAACCAGCAUUCAUUAUUACACAUAGAACUAGAGUAGAAACAAGGGACUCAUCAAAUAAAGAAUAAAAAAUAAUGGAAAACACACAAAGAUGCAAUCUGAUGGAGAGUGAGGGGCACUCAAAACUGCUGCAUUAGAUAACUUAGAAGUAAGAACUAUACAAAGACCGAGCAUCUCUUCAAAAAACAAAGAACAAAGGAGAGAGAGAGAGAUCACCCAUCAACAACCAGUAUGUAUUAAUGCACAGAACCAGAGCAGAAAUAAGGGACUCAUUGUAAGUAAAAAACUAACGAACAGAGAGAGCGAGAGAGAGUAGCCAUAAGAGCUAGGAGCAGGGGCAAAAACUGGACUGCAAUCCAUGCCAAGUGCAUCGACUAGGAACCCCAGGCCAAGAGUUCCAGACUCGGGUAGGAGCAGUUGCACUAGUCGUGCCUCCACAUCCACAUCAUGCCAAGGGCUCCAAACCAUGUUACCAUUAAAUUAGGAGAAGGUAAACGAACUGAUAUUUUGAACCAUUGUCAUAAGGGACAAGCAAAAAUGCUUAAAUGCUUAACAAAAGUAAUUAAAAUCUCAAGAUCUUGACAUUUCAACCAUUGACACAAACUGAACCCAUCAAAAGUAUGAAUUUUAAAUAAAGCAAGGAAGCCACAACAAUGUCAAAAAUCACCCAAGAAACAGUGUCAUGUAUGCGUUAUUCUAGAGAGAGAGAGAGAGAGAGAGAGAGAGAGAGAGAGAGGAGGGAGGGGGAGGGGGNNNNNNNNNNNNNNNNNNNNNNNNNNNNNNNNNNNNNNNNNNNNNNNNNNNNNNNNNNNNNNNNNNNNNNNNNNNNNNNNNNNNNNNNNNNNNNNNNNNNNNNNNNNNNNNNNNNNNNNNNNNNNNNNNNNNNNNNNNNNNNNNNNNNNNNNNNNNNNNNNNNNNNNNNNNNNNNNNNNNNNNNNNNNNNNNNNNNNNNNNNNNNNNNNNNNNNNNNNNNNNNNNNNNNNNNNNNNNNNNNNNNNNNNNNNNNNNNNNNNNNNNNNNNNNNNNNNNNNNNNNNNNNNNNNNNNNNNNNNNNNNNNNNNNNNNNNNNNNNNNNNNNNNNNNNNNNNNNNNNNNNNNNNNNNNNNNNNNNNNNNNNNNNNNNNNNNNNNNNNNNNNNNNNNNNNNNNNNNNNNNNNNNNNNNNNNNNNNNNNNNACGUCUCUCUCUCUCUAUCUCUCUCUCUCUCUCUCUCUAAAACUCUAACUCUUGCACCACCCUGCUGUUUUUUUCAAUGGACCUCUUGCAGCUUGAAACAUAUAAAUAAAGCAUCAGUCUAAAACAAAGAUAGUCCCACAAAUUUUGGUAGCCUGUAGAUUUCAAAAUAGGAUGAAGUAAGCAACAAAAGCUUAAUUUCAAAUCUCACCACAAAUAUAUGGCAUGGACUCCAUUGGAUGGAAAUUAUAUGAACCACAUCACACUGCUAAAGGCACAAACAGAAUACCCAAAACAGAAAACAAAUCAUGCAAUUAUCAAACAAGGAUAAAGUAUAAUUUGCUUGCAAACCUUGGUCCAAUUUUUCUGAAUACAGUUAUGCAAGAAACAAACAACAAAGCUCUAAACAAUUGUCCUUGUCUACAACUCCAAUUAUACUCAAUUUCAGAACAUUGUAUUUCAGUAGAAUGCAAAAUGUAGAGACAAACCACAUUAAUUGAGAGAGAACUUUUUAAAAUCAGUAAUACUAUGCAUUGAGCCAUGCUCAGAGUGGGCCGUUCACAUUCAUGAGUUCAAUAAAAUAGGUGGAAAGUAAAAAAAAAAACACUUAAAACCAGUAGUUCAUCAAGAAUUCAAGAUCUUCAAGACCACAUUCAUGAGCUCUUUUUUUUUUUUCCUGAUAAUGUUGACUUUUAUAGAGUAUAAAGGGGAGUAUAGAGAAAAGAGGAGAAGUGCUUUUCCACAGGCGGAAAGCUAACAGAACCCUUAUGAAAAGGGGGGUGAGAGAGAGUAGAAUCCAAAAAACAUAUAUUUUUAGUAGUUACAGAAACAAAGCAACCAUCAAAAACAUGCCGAUCCCAAAAAUCAAACGUGAACUAAAGCUGCUCCAUCUUUAGCUAGAAGAGAGUCCGCUGCCUAUUUUCCUUCCCUCCAAAUGUGCCUCCAUGAGGCGUGCAUAUCCCUGCAAAUAUAGAAACAAAGCAACCAUCAAAAAGAUGUCGAUCCCAAAAAUCAAAACGUGAACUAAAGCUGCUCCAUCUUUAGCUAGAGAGUCUGCUGCCUAUUUUCCUUCCCUCCAAAUAUGCCUCCAUGAGGCGCGCAUAUCCCUGCAAAUAUAGUGAACCUCAUCAAUCAAAAAUGUAUGCCAAGUUCCAAGGUGGAGGAGAAAAUUUAGAGGGCGAAGCAAUAAUAUUUUUGGAGUCUCUUUGAAUUAUGAGGGGCUCCGAGAGGUAAGGAAGACAAAGUUUGAGGCCUUCAAGAAGGGCAGUUACUUCUGCCUCCAUGAAUCAGAAUGUCCAAUGGAUUUGGAUUGGGAAGCUAGUGUGGUGCCAGAGCUAUAAGCUCUUUUUCUAUAAGUCUGAUGUAUAAUUAAAAUCAGCAAUGCUAUGUUAUGAGCAUCAAAAUGCAUAAUGAAGGUGUGCUAGAGACCAAACUCAUAUAGCAAAAUGCAUAAUUAAAGCAAGGGACAAUCAUGGAACAAAGAUUCAUGAAGGCUCAAUUCCCAAAUACAUUAACGAAUCCUCAAGCGCAUAAAAAAAAAAAACAUACAACCUGUCAUAACACAUGUCCAAUGUUAUAGAGAGAUUGAAACCCAUCCACGUCAUUUUUGGUGGUAGUUGUACCCUCUAAAUUUGCGAUUUUACUGUAGAACUCUUCUAAACCGGCAUCAAAUGUUUUCAUCUUCAUAUAUUAUCAUCACUUGAAUUGAUUUAAUAAAUUUGGUGUGACUUGGUUCAUUUAACACAUUUCUCAUGAUUCACAUACAAGAACCGUGCAUUGGUUAAGUUUAUUGUCCAUGUAUUUUUUUUUAGUUGCACUGUUCUACUACAACAGUAGUUGCAAUAGAAAGUCAGCAGCUACAUCAUGAUCACUUUGUAAUGAGAUUGUGUUUAUGAAAUAUUGUUAGAAUGAAUAAGUUUCACCCUCUCUCUUGGGUACCAUCUAAAAAUAGUUGUAGACAUCUUACUUUUUGGGUUAUGACGUGGAUGGGUUUCAAUCUCUAUAUAACAUGAACAAUCAACUUAACCCAAAAAGUAAGACAUCCACAACCAUUUUUAGAUGGUACCCAAGAGCGAGGAUGAAACUAAUCAAUCCUAACAAUAUUUCAUAAACAUCAUCUCAUUACGAAGUGAUCAUGAUGCAACUGUUGACUUUCUACUGCAACUAGAGUUGGAAUAGAACAGUACAACUUAAAAAAAUUACAUAGACAAUCAACUUAACCAAUGCACGGUUCUUGUAUGUGAAUCAUGAGAAAUGUGUUAAAUGAACCAAGUCACACCAAAUUUAUUCAAAUGAAGAUAAUAUAUGAAGAUGGAAACAUUUGAUGCCUGUUUAGAAGAGUUUUAUAAUAAAAUCGAAAAUUCAGAAGGUACAACCAUCACCAAAAGUAAAAUAAAAAAAUCAAUAUGCAACUCUUUACCGAUCUUAUCCAGAGGGUACAACCACCACCAGAAAUAAUAUAAAAAAAUCAGUAUGCAUCUCUUUACCAAUUUUAUUCAUAGGGUAUAACCACCACCAAAAAUAAAAUAAACAAAUCAGUAUGCAUUUCUCUACCAUUAAAAAAGAGAAUAAACUACCAUGCAUCUCUUUGAUAAGCUAGAACCACCACAUAAUAAAAACCAGUACAAUCUCAGCAAGAGUGAUUGCAGCCAGUUACUAAAAAUCGUUGCAUAUGGAAAGUCACAGAAAUAAAAAUCAGUACGCAUCAUGAUCCAUGACCGCAUCAAAAAAGAUCGAUGUGCCCUGAAAACAGAGUAAAGAAUUAUGGCAAUUGUAGAAACACAGCAACAUAUGACGAUAUGACUGAAUUUGAGAAGAUAAUAACCAACCAAUCAAAUGAUCUUUCAAAAAAACAUCUUAAUCCAACUACAAUCGAUUAAAAUAUGUGUGGUCGAACAAUAAAAUAUGUGAAAAUCACUAUACAUGUAAUAAAUCAAUAAAAUCUGAUUUUUAUCAAAAUAGAUUAUUCAAUGUUCUUAUUCAAAAGCUUACCAAAAACUAGUUCAUUGAGCACUUUUCAGGUAUUUAGUUUUGAAAUUUUAUUUGGUACUUGAACUAAAGCAAUCAACAAAUCUGUUAAAACGGGAUGGAGGUUUUGUUUCCUCUAGAGAGAGAAAGUGAAGAGCUUGAUCCACAGAGGGAGUUGAGCUGGGAAACGGUGGGGAUGGCGGUGUUGUUUCCUCUAGAGAGAGAAAGUGAACAGCUAGAUCCACAGAGGGGAUUGAGCUGAGAAAUGGUGGGGAUGGCGGUGUUGUUUCCUCUAGAGAGAGAAAGUGAAGAGCUUGAUCCACAGAGGGAAUUGAGCUGAGAAAUAGUGGGGAUCCCGGUGUUGUUUCCUCUAGAGAGAGAAAGUAAAGAGCUUGAUCCACAGAGCUGAGAAAUGGUGGAAGAGGGUUUCCUUCUAGAAAGAGAGUAGAAAAUUUCUCCAGAGAUAAAGGCGCAGGUGGAUUUCUUUCUAGAGAGAUUUGAAAAUUUCUCUAGAGGGAGAAGAGGGUUUUCUCUAGGACUUUCCGAGAAUAUUCCCAGAAUCCGAACUACUUCUCGUGGCACAACAUAUGGGCCGUGUGAGAUAACAAUUGGGUCAGGGAGAAGGAGAUCUUGAAGUACAGCAGCAGCAGGGACUUUUCUGAUGCCUCUCGUAGUGCCGGGUUUUCUCACGGAGAGAAACUUGUUCCGUGGGUCAUUCUUCAUCCUGACCGAAAAGCCAAACCUCAUGGCUGCCUUGCCUGCCUGCCUGCUAUUGAAAGGAUAAAUUUAUUGUAGCGAAUUCUUACAAGGUAACAAAAAAAAAAAA